rnacentral:lncRNA from 1 species
AUUCUCUUCAAGGUACUCGGCAGAAUGCUAAUAGGUAAGGAGGUAAGAGACUUACAAUCUGUAAUUACUAAUUUAACAAUCUGCUUCAUUCCCUGAAGUUGAGAUGUCAACACUUCAGCAUUAGAACCAACAACUGUAAACCUUGUUAAUUCAAAAAAAGGAGUUUCAGGAAACUUCCGAUCAACUUGGGGCAAUCUUUAAUUGAAAGGCCCUGAAGUGCAGGGAACUCUCCCUUCCCCAGUACACACCACUUCUCCAACUCUGGCAUAUCUGCAAAUUUAAGCUUCUCAAGAGAAUUAAAUGGCUUUCUGGAAGACGAACUGCCAUAGAAUUCUUUGGUCACUUCUGUUAUUCGAUGCAUCCCUCUAAUGGCAAGGAAUUUCAAAGAAGGAAGCUGUCCCAGUGCUGGCAAGGAAUCACAGUCCUUGCAGUUGCUAAGAGAUAAUUCCUCAAGCUUAAGAAAUGAAUGGUCAGAGAGCCAGUUUGGAAGUUUUGUCCCUCUAUAGCCAGUGAUGCGGAGUUCUUUUAUGUUUGAAUUUGGACGUAGCUCAUCAAGUAUGUCUCUUUCAGUUUGUGAAUUGUUGGCAAUACUUCCCCUCCACUCCAACGAUAACUUUUCAACAUGUUCCUUUUCCUUUAUAUUUGCCUUCAGAGCUUCCGUUCUAUCAACCACAUUUUGCAACUCUAGAAUUGAUAGAGAUCCAUACAAGUUAUGUACUUCACCCAAAUCCCCAAUUCUCAAACUACCGCAACCAGUGAGAAGAAACUUGGCUCCAACUAGCAUAUGAAGCCUUUUCAACAUGCUCAGAUGUAGCGGCAUUUUCAAGAGAGAAGUGCCACUAAUAUCAAGGUGACACAAAUGGAUUAGCUUUUCCAUCUGUAGUGGUAACUCCUGAAGAUAAUAACAAUGUGACAGGAAAAGUGUCUCUAAAUUAUACAAUACACAAAUUGUAUCUGGCAACUUAUUUAUAGUUGUCCAAGAGAGGUCCAAAAAUUUAAGAAGUUUUAACUUGAUAAACAAGUCAUUUGGCAACUCCUCUAUCUGAUAACGAGACAAUGAUAGAGCCCUCAAAGAUGUUAGUCUUGGUAAUAUGUUAUGCAGCACCCUCUUGCUUAGCUGUAAGAAGUAAUAGCCCUGGAUAUUGAUUGGAAGAAAUGUUCUCAGUUGCUCCGAGUUGCCGAGUUGUUUCAACUUUUCAAAGUCACCAACUCCCAUUGAACAUGACAAGUGUAAACUUUUUUCCAAUAUGCGAGAUCUUUUGUUGUCUUCCAACCUGAUACAAAGUUCUGAAGAUGCAAUUUGGACCAAAUCAUUAACAAGGUCAUGCAUUAAAAAUUUCUUUGUGUUCCCUUGAGAUGGCUUUGAAACCCUUUCGAAUAAUAAUCUUGAUCUCAACUCGAGAAAGUACUGGUUGCCUAAAUCUUCAAUUGUUUCAUCUUUUUGCAACCCCUGUACUAGACCAUUAGCAUUCCACAAUUGAAUGACUUGUUCUUUCUGAAACGGAUAAUCUUUGGGAAAUAUUGCACAAUAAGAAAAACAUCGCUUUAAAUGUGCGGGAAGAUCAUUGUAGCUCAACUUCAACGCUGCUAAGAUGUCAUUGUUUGGAAGCUCCCAUAUUUCACUUCUCAAAAUACGUUUCCACCCUUCAACUUCUGAUUUGGAGUGUAACAUGCUUUAGAACUAAGGGCAAUCCAUUGCACUUAGUUGCAAUUUCUUUCCCAACCACUUCAAGUUCUGGAUGCUUCUUAGGAUCUAUGGUUUCAAAUGCAUGUCUUCUGAAUAAAGACCAAGAGACUUCACUAGACAAAAUGUCCAUGCUAAUUUUCUCAUCAUCCAUCAUCGAGGCAACACUUUCCUUGCGUGUCGUCACAAUGAUCAUACUCCCUACAUCUCCUUGUACGAAAAGAUUUCUCAAGUCAUCCCACUCUUUAUAGUUGUCAUUCCAUACAUCAUCUAGGACAAUAAGAAACUUUUUCUUCUUUAAGCUUUCCGUCAAUUUGACUUGAAGUUAAUUCAGAUUGUUAUCAACCAUUAAGCCAAAUUCUUGAAGUAACUCCUUUGUUAUUCUGAGAGCAUCAUAUGGUUCGGACACACGAAUCCAAGCUUUGAAAUCAAAAUGUGUUUUCACACUCUCAUCAUUGUAAAUAGCUUUAGCAAAUGUUGUCUUGCCAAUGCCAGCCAUUCCAACAAUAGGAAUUACUGUCAAUUUUCUACUUUUCGCAUCAUCAGAUGUUAAACGGCCCACCAAUUCCUCUAUUUCAUUCUGCCUGCCAAAGAUUUCAGACUCAACAACCACAGAAGUUGAAGAUUCUCUUUUUUCUUGUUUACCCGAAUCAAGAUAUUUUGUUAGAUCAAGCAACUAAUCUGCGUUUCCAACUCUUUCAAUGUUUCAAUGAUGUCUUCCAACUUCUGCUUUAUGUUGAGAAUAAAAUCAUCAGUCUUGCACAAGUUGAGGUCAAUUACCUCCUUGUUGCUUGUUUCUGCAAAAUUUUGAUGCUGACCUUCCACCUUUAGUCUCAAAACCUCGUAAUUGACUUCUUCUAUUAGGUUUUCAGCACUAUGCACAGCAUCUUGAAGCUCGUUAAGCCACUGGCUCACGUAUGGAUUUGAUGCCUGCUUAUUCUCUGCAUCACUUAGUACAGCUUGAAGACCAAGCAAAGUCAUCCUCAACUUCUUUAACAGUCGGGUAACAUUCAAAGCUGAAGAGAGAAAUGCACCACCAACUGCUAAUCCAAUCUCCAUUUCUCAAACCUGCAAAACAAAACAAAACAAAGAAUCACACUAAAUGAUUAAGAAUUUGGAGAUGAUUAAUGUUUCUAUAUUAAGAUUUUCUCAACUUAGAGCUUUCUCUUACCUAUUGAAUGCUAGAGCAAUAUGCAUACAAGUACGUUUUGUUGACUGCCUGUUUUGCAGAACUUCUGGCUUUUGCUUGAGCUGAGGCUUCCAAUUUGGCACUAAAAUUUCACAAAGUAUAAACUAUUCAAAGCCAAUGCCACUAUUGAUGUGUUAACUAACUGAUUAUUUUAAUUAGAUGCUUUACAUUUACUAAUAGUUAACACAUCAAGUAGCAUCAACUUUGAAGGAGUCAAUCACUGUCAAUGUUCAUACGUCCUCAAGUAGAAUAUAUCAGCUGACUUUGAUCAGUUUAUUUAUACAAUUUGGAUCAUGGCCCCCUUGUCCAUGUUUUGGAGUUUGGGGUAACCCCAUAAUGGUGGACUUUAUUAGAAGAAAACAAAAAAAAAAAGUAGCAUGGACUUUGUAUUUUAAUUUAACCAAGUUGGAAGAAAAUUCCGUGUUCUGACCUGUUCGCCUUGUCAUAAUUGAAUCCGACUCCUUUCCAUUUUCCCCAAGUUCUUGCUUGGAUUGAGAACAUAUGGCAUAUGUUAUAUUUAAUGGUUAACAUUUAAUUGACCAAAGUAAGUUCCUAACUAUGCAGUUUAGUAUGCCAGAAAGCAUUUCAGAAGCACUUCAUGGCUGGGAACAGGUUGGAUUGAUGGAAGAUUGUACGGGGUGGAGUGUUGACCAGUCAGAAACUCUUGCGUUCAGAAGAUGAAGGUUGCGAAAACAAGGUUGUUGCAAUGGAUGUGUGGACAAACUAUGAGAGAUGGAUUAGAAACGAGGAUGUUUGGUACAAGGUGAGAGUGGCUUCGGUGGAAGUAAGAUGCGGAAAGCAAGAGUGAGAUGGUUUGAGCAUAUGAAAAGAAGAUGCACAGAUGCCCAGGGAAGAGAUGUAAAAUAUUGGCUAUGGACGAUUUCAAGAGAGAUAGAAGUAGACCUCCUCACAUCUCCACUUGUGAGAUUAAACGGGAUAUAUUAUUGUUUUAGAAAUGAGACGUAGCCAUACAAAUGAUCAAAGUCGUCGCAAGUCUAGUGUGGGGCUCAUGACCACCAAAAGUAUGAAGGCCAUGCUCAACUCGCGGACAACAUCAAUGUCAAAUUAAAUAACAACAACAUAUGUAAUGAAAUUUCACUAAUCAGUAGGAUAUAGAAAAGGUAAAGUGUAUAUAGGCAUUACCAUUACCUCAUGAAUAAUUUUCAAAUUCAAUAAAACAAAUACUAGUGAAAGUUUCAACAACUUUUCCCUUGUCAAUUUGAGCAAAGAGACCGUAGAUACACUGCUUAAAAAAUUGUACACAAACACAGAGAACAAUAAUUUGAAGGAAAGAAGUAUUAUUACCUCAGAAAUCAUUUUGUCUUGUGGAUAUUUAUGUCCUUUCAAUUUUGAAUGCAUAAUACACGUAGGACGUUAAGACACAAUUUCGUUAUUGAUAUAAAAAGUUAAAAUUAUGAUGAUAUUAAUACAUGAAGCACAUUGUAAACAAUAAGAUAAAACAAAAAAAAACUACAUUAUAUAUGAGCAUAAUAAUAUAAUACUAACUAUUUAUAAAAAGAAUUAACUAAUAAACAAUAUUUAUUUGGUUUCAAACUCCUAAAUAUUAAGAAAAUAAUUAAAUUACUAUUUUCAAAUAUUAAAAAAUAAUAAAUGUCUAUUUUAUCUUUUAAUAUAGUAUACAUGAAUAGAGUAUAUUCUGUUGAUACCCUCAUUAAUUGGAUUUCUGUCUACUUAUUUUUCCACUAUUUUCUGUAAACACAUUAAUAAUUACCAUGGCGCACAAUAGCAGUAGCAGGAGAAGACCUAACAUACUGAUAACCGGAACGCCGGGCACCGGAAAAACGACUACGUCGUCUGCACUGGCGGAGGCGACGCAGCUCCGGCAUAUCAACAUCGGCGAACUGGUGAAAGAGAAGAAGUUGCACGACGGAUGGGACGAUACCUUGGACUGUUACAUCAUCAAUGAAGACCUCGUAAGUCUUUUAAUGAAAAAUACUAAACCCUAGUUCUUAAUCUAAGGAUGGAAAGUUCCGAUUUUUAUUUUGAUUUGGUUUCAAUUCAAUAGAAGAAUUAAUAAAUGUUAGAGAAUCUGCUGUUCCUAUUUUUUUCUUUUCAAUUUCUGUAUUGGUGUUGCCAUUCCUAUAGAGCGGCAAUUGAGAGAAUUGUUGCUGUUUAAUUUAUUUAUUUUUUGUACCUGCAUUUCUGUUUACACGGCUUGAACCCGUGCCUCCUCAUCACAUGACAACAAUAUUACCAGUUACUUCAAGGCUGCCCUUUGGUAGAGUACAUGUAGCUCAUCCAUUAAGAUAAAAUGGGAAAGGUCGUGUGAGAUAGUUUGGCCAUGGCCUAUUUUGACCUUUAAGUUUAGAGGGUUUAAAGGUUAAGAGUUAUUUAGAGGAUGAGGUUUACUUGAGUCACUUUUCGGGAGAAGGUAUACUUAAAAUCACAUCGAGUGAGUUAUCUCAAGAGAAGACUGUAACUUUAUUUUUGAAGAUUAGUGAUAGAACAUAACAAAAUGGAAUGACAGAUAUUAGGUCUGAUGUUUGUUAAGAAUUUUUUUAAUUUAUUUAGAGAAUUAUAUUUAAGUUAAACGUACAGAAAACCUCUAGUAUAGUCAUUAUUGUUGUCAAAUUUUGAGUAACUUGUGGUUCCAAACCAUAAAGGUGCUCUUGUAAAUGACCUCAAAAAAUGGUCAUUAUAUAUUUUCGUUGUGGUGAAUAGGAUUGAAUGCGAAGAUGACUAUUAAGGUCUUGGAACAUCUAAUGAGGUUCUUAAACUGCUCUUGAUUGUUUAUAAUGUUAAAAGUUGAAUAUCUGUAUAAACUCUCUUGAUUUAUGAGCAGUUUUAGAGAACUUGAUUCAGUGUGUCCAAUUGGUUUUAAGAAAUGAAAUGGUGGUGUUAACUGGACCUUCAUCUAAGCUAUAAUUGGUUUCAAAGUAAUAAAAUUUCAUUAUUGGAGUACAAGUCAUUAUCCCUUUGGAUCAGGUGGUCCAAUUUAAGUUAUGGUAGCCGUUUCUUCUUCAUUGCCUCCCUGCUGGUGCUUUAAUACUGUUAAGGUAUUUGGGAAUGCCCCCAAACAUCAGGUGGUCCAAUUUAAGUUAUGGUAGCCGUUUCUUCUUCAUUGCCUCCCUGCUGGUGCUUUAAUACGGUUAAGGUAUUUGGGAAUACCCCCAAACAUCAUAACAUAUACCUAGUUGGAGGGAAGUGCCAGAGAAAAAGGGAAGUUAAAAAACCCUCUGACAAGGAAGAAUAUGAGAUGACUGAAUGUGGGGUAAACUAUGGUAAUUGAAGAUUAGCAGUAAAAAUGAGAACUUUUGUUGGGACAGUAGUGAUUGGUAUAAAGUUCGUGGCUUCUUUGGGAAUACAUGUGUUAUUUUGCAUACAACUUUCCUACAUGGUUUGCAACCCAUAUGCCUGCUUUCUGUAUUAACAUGUUUACUAGUCAAAAACAAAAUAAAGUAGAAAGGAUAAGAUGCAUCAGAUUUCCUGUCACAGAAAACAGAGUUUUUUUGUGUGUUACUGGUGCAGUUUAAGCUUUUGCAGCAUCUAGUCAUCUACCCUCUGGAUGUUCUUUCCUAUUUGCCUCACUCUCGUUAGCAGUUUCGGAAUAUAGUAUACCAAUUACUCCAGCUUUGAUCUUCCAGCUAAUCACCCCACCAUAUCCUAUUCAAUUGAUAGGAAAUCAAAUGAAUGAUCUUUGCCAAUUACAAUACAGCUGCUUGAUGGAACUUUUACAUAGUUGGUGUUGUGCAAAUAAUCUAUGUUCCUAUUGCUCCAAUGUGGUUAACUGGUAUCGUCACUGUUGCAGAGAUACUAAAAUUGCACUUGCUAUCUGUGCUUUUAUUGCUUUGAGUUUUAAAUUUUGUUCUGUAAUAAUGCAAUCAAAAGCUAUUUGCCAGUUCUAAAAAAAGACGACCUUGUAUUUCCUACAAAUUAACGAUGAAGAAAUUUAGUUACAAGUUUCAUGAUGUGUCUGCUGUAGGUGUGUGAUGAGCUUGAGGACAUGAUGGAAGCAGGUGGAAACAUUGUUGAUCAUCAUGGUUGUGAUUUCUUUCCUGAACGUUGGUUCGACAGGGUGGUGGUUCUUCAAACCGACAAUACUGUCUUGUAUGAUAGAUUAAGUAGAAGGUACACUAUCAAUUGACAUCUUUUUUUGUCUCUCAUAUAUUCCUCUCUACUGUUGCUCACACAGAUCCGUUUUGACUUGCUCGACUGUCCCAGGGGUUACACAGGUCAAAAGCUCACCAAUAAUAUCGAAUGCGAAAUAUUUCAAAUUUUGCUAGAAGAGGCAAAAGACAGUUAUCCAGAGGAUAUAGUAGUGGCACUAAGAAGUGAUUCUGUUGAUGAUAUUAGCAAAAAUGUGGAGAUGAUGUCCAAUUGGAUCGGUAGCUGGAACCCAGUCGUGUGAUUGAAAUAUCACAAGUGAAUUUCCCAUUGCUUUGUUAUUAUUUUGUUGUACUCAAAUGAUUAGUUUUAUUUUAUAGUGGUUUUGGUUGUUUGAUGAAGGUAACCUUCUUUAUAUAACAGAAAUUCUGCAGAAAUGCAUUAUUGUGCUUUUCAUCAAUCAUUCAUUUCUGAACUACCAAGUUUCUCCAAAAAGUUAAAUGUUUGAACAGUGCUUAGUACAACCACAAUCAAUCUUCAAAUGAUAGUUUUUUGCAGAUUCACACAGAAUUUUGUUCAGAUGAGUACUGUCUUUUAACGCCACAAUUGCAAAUAAGCAGGAUUGAGCAUGUCCCAAUAGAUAAUGAAUCUGGAACGAUGAAGAUUCCGAUUUCAACUUCAUUCAGAUUCAUGCAUGGCUUUUGCUGAACAAAUGCAAACGCACCAUCAGGAAUGACACACAAGUCACAACUCACAACUCACAACCAGUACAUCAAACAAGGGUAGAAAAUGGUGUGCUUUUUAUUCAAGAAAUGCUAUCGGGGAUUUCAAAACGCCCACGACUUGAAAACCUUUAUUGCCUCAACAUCUUUACAUUUUCUCUAGAUCUAAUUCUAUCCUGCAACUGCAAGACCGCUAUCCAGCCAAAGCGCAUGAUCCUACAAAAUUGUUCCUACAACUCAGGAGAAUCAUUACAUAAUAUUCACUUAGAACCCAUGUAGGGUUCACAUUAUGUAAAUCCACACAAGACGAGGAAUUACAAGUAGAGUUCAAAAGAAUUCGAGAGUGCCAGUUAUAGUGACAGGUGGAUUUAUAUCAAUGCGGGUAGCCUUCCCUUGGGAAAGUAAAUGUGGUAGUGUAUUGGCAUCUUUGGCUGUAGCUCCUGCCCCAGUCCAUAUUGUGACAUGGGGCCAUGGGUUUUUAGAAUUGACCUUUUCACCUUCAACAGAGCCAGGCUCAGCUUCUAGGGCAGCCAAUUUUUCGGAGAACAACAAAGCAGCCACGUCUACUGGCACCUUUUGGUGAAGAAAGGAACCGUAAUUGGCAACUGCAGUGACACCGUGACUCCUCUUGUGAGCCAGGGUUAUAUGGGCCUUCUGAAUGCAGCUCUCCAUGCUUUUGUCCUUCAAGAAAUCACCAACCUUUGGAUCUUUCUUCGCUAGCUGUCCACAAAAUAAUGAGAAGAAUGAGAUAACAUAGUUGAGUGCCUUUAUGCAACACUAUAAUUCCUCUCCUUGGUCCCUUCACUGUUCACCCAAAGAAUUUUUAAACAAAAUGCAGAAAUUUCAGAUGAUUGGAAAUCAUUAAAGAUUGGAAGGCCAAAAGCGCGAAGACAGUCUAUCUUUUUUUUUUCUCGGAUAAAGAAAUUGUCAAUAGAAAGAAAAAGAAGGCAGCAAACAAAUAAACAAGAAUUACUAUCAGUCUCUUAAACCAGCCAAGAAAUUAAUCCAGCCACAAGGAAUUUUAUGUAUUGUGCAUGAACUAACAAGUACGAUAAGAAGAAAGACCACUAACUACAACCAUCAAGACAUAAAAUCUCCAGCCAUCAAGACUCCAUAAUUAUAAAUUUGCAUCAUUCACUUACAUCAUUCAGAAGACCUAGAAUUUCUGGAACUGGCAGGCUGAUAGCGGCAAACACAAUGGAUCCUAGCUUCCUCUUCUCAGAAGAAGGCGCUGCAUAUUCACCCCUCGCAAUAGCUUUCAGUUGUUCAAGGACUUCUUUAACAGCAAAUUCAAAUGGAACCUGAAAUAGAACUUCGCAGAAUCACUCCAAAGCUCUCCUACCACAUUGUGAUAACUUUCUUUAGAGCUGUCACUACUCUCUCUGUUCACACUGAGCCAGGGAGUUUCGAAGGGUUGCUGAUCAUGGAAUACUGAGCCAUCCAACAAACCCCUCCGACUAGAAAGGCAUUGCUAAUGCAGCACUUAUGAUAUUCUUUGGCAUACUAGCUCAUUUAAAAAAAAAAAAUUCAUUCUUUUUCUAUAAACAUGACUUCCUACUUGAAACCACUCUUCCCCCCCAAAUCCCUGCAUCCUUCCCAUGUCAGAGAUACAUAGAGAAAAAAACACAUUUAUGCAAACAGCGCAGGUAAAAUAGCUUGGAAAUGUUACAUGGACUCAUAAUGUGUAUACAUAUAUCCUAUAGGGGUGUGCAUAAGUAUCUACUAUAGGCACAUCAAAAUUUGUUACAGAUAUUUAGUGUAUUUGAAGUACCCGUGUGAACUACUCCAGUAACAUACAAUUCCUACACAGGUAUGACGAUUCAAAUAAGUAUGCAUGUGCUGCCGCUACAUGUCAUGGCUAACAUUUGAAGUAAGGACUAGUUUAACAUUAUAGCAAUUUAAAUUGUAUUUCCAGUGGAAAGUAAGAUCAGAUAUUACAUGCCUUAGGAGAUCUAAAAGGACUGCGCUAAGCUGCACAAGCUUACCUGUAUUGAAUUGAGAUAGUCCGCAUUUCCAAGUAGAAUAUCCCUCAAUUGCUUCUCCCAUUUAACCCACUCUUUUACAUAUGUCCCUUUUGUAGACUCCAAUCUACCAGAGACAAAAUCACACACAAGGAAAAACAAUUAGCAGUCACAAUCAAUUGAAAACACGCCUACCUCAAAACAUUUUUCAUGGAGUGAAAACUUAUAUAUAUAAGAUGGUGACCUAAGCUUCUUUUUUUUUUCAUGAACAUAUCACUCAAAUACACAAAAAUAGAACCUUCUCAACGUGUAACUAAACAUCAGACUUUCUUGUCCUCCAAUUACCAAAUAUAACUAGAAAAAUGACAUGAUUUUGCUAGAAAAAAGCCAGUCAUACCGAUAUAUAUACCCCCAACCCCAACCCAAACUUUUGGUAAGUGGAUAUCUAUUCUUUUAUUGUACAUGGUUGAGAAAAGACAUCUUAACCCCCAAAAGAAAAGGCAUAUAAGUUGUUUGGAACCCUAUUUUAACAUGCAGAGAAAAUGCAAUUCAUACUCAUAUUGCAGUUAAUUUGGUACAGCACAUAUAUGUGGAUACAAAGUUAUUACUAGGCAACGUAACACAACAAGAGCAGAAUUAUAUAUCCAAAGAGUAAAAAGGAGUUUCAUAGCUCUAGAUCAUGCUCAAAUUUAUGCAGUAGAGUCAAGACACUGGAAAUCAAUGAAUAUAUCAGAGUUUCAUUAAUGCUUUCACAGCCUAUAAGAGCCCCCUCAUAUCAAUCUUUUCCCAACUAUAUAAUGCUGGAAAGUUCCAUGCCACUACAAAUCAUAGAACCUUCAGCCCUAAAUUUCUUUACACUGAUCAAUCACAAAUCUUAGCUACUUUGAACUAUUCAAUCCAUCCUAAAGGUUGACACCAAAACAGUAAUUAAAAGAUAAACAACAAAAUAGAAGGGGUUGACAAUUUCAACCAAAGAAAGGGAGUAGAAAAUUCUUGAACUAAAGAAUCAAAACUGACCUUCCAUGUUUGUUUGUAUGAAGCCUGUACAGAUUGAUUCCCUCCUCAACAAUAGACCUCAUAGAAUCCGGAAGAGGAGACCUUCAUAUGAUCAUAAACAAUAUCAGCAGCAAGUUAAGCAAAUAGAACUAGGGAAGACCUACAUGUCGUAGAAUCGAGACACUUCCAAACAAUACAGGUCAAAUACCAAAUACUGCCCCCACAGCAAUGGCAACAGAGAAAAGACAUUAAUAACAUUAAGGAUAAAAACCAUCUGACGUGAUAGAUAUCUGUGCAACUACUGCCUGUGGCAUGCUGUUGGUUGCAUUACUAUCAAUCAGUUAUAUCACUGAAACCUCUAGUUGUCUAACUUCCUCUAGGUUGAAUAUUUUGGACCAAGUAGCUUUGCUGUAAUUAGCAUACAUGUAUUCAGAACUCCAGCUUUAUAAAAAACAAUUGGAUUUAUAGACAACACCCACUUUCUUCUUUUCUUUUCCUUAUUUUUCUUCCCCCUUUUUCCUUUUUUGGUCACGAAGAAAACAAGGUUACAAGUAUUGGAGUUUGUUUUCAAAAUUGGCAAUCUCCUUCAAAAUUGUGGAAGGCUGUUUUAUUUAAUGAAUGCAUUAGAAUUUAAGCUUAACUAAAUUAGAUCUAUCUUCACUCUAGUUAAUGAAAAUUAGCGACCAGGUGAAAGCACAUACAAUUGGCUACACUGAAAUCAUACUUGCUAAUUGGAUGCCAGUUAGACACGUGUCAAACAAGAAUAUGUGAUGACACUAUACAGGACCUUUGCAUCAUGUCUUAGUUAGACAACAACAAUUGUUGUCCUCCUUACCAUCUUGCUUGAAAAUAGAAUUUUAGAAAACAAAUUUCAUUUUCUUCUAAGUAAAUGACUUAUGAUCAAACAAAUACGUCAAUAUCGAACAACCUAGCCCUAAAUUGGAAAAGACUUCACUAAUGGAUGAAGACAUUCAAUGUUUGGGGUUACUAGUUUAGCUCUUAAACCACUUUAGAUACUUCACAAAUGUUCAUCACUAUGUUGAACGACUUUAGUUUGUUGUUAAUCAAGAAAUACGAGGAAUAAACCUUUCAAGUCUUCUAUUUGAAAUUCAAAGAAAAUUACGAGUACUUUCUCAAGUUCAGGUAUUAUUUCUUAUGCUAGUGGAAGUGUACAUAACGUUGCUGAACUUGAAUUACAAAUACCAAAGGAGUAACAAAGAUUAUGGAGAAGAUUCAGCUAAUCAAACCCAAUGUCAUAAUAUAGCCUACUAAUUAUUUACACUUCCCUAUUCCUCCAAUUUUGCCUUUGCCACCUUUUUCUUUUUACAAAUUCUCACAAAAUCUAUCUUUAACGUUAUCUUUCAAGAUGCUCUCAUGGAAGACAAAACUUAAACGCGACUUUGGUGAAAAAUGAAGUAGUCGACUCCCAAAACCAAAAAGGGAGAGCUAGUAAAGUAUGUAAGUGGACCUUAAUAGGACAUACAACCAUGUGACCUAAAGUUUCUGAACUUUUUAAUGCUAAAGAUGGAUUCAAGAUGGGUGGUGGAAGUGGAUCGUGUUUUUCAUAUCCAUCAUUAGAAUUCCAAUCACAAAGAAUUAUAAUCCAUGUGAUCCUUUGGCAUCUCAAGUGAUUGAGUCACGGGUAUCAUCUCUUAGACUUCUCAUCUUAGCGAAAAUGUUGACUACAUUGAUGGACUGAGCUGUGGUAGACGGUUACUUGGGACCUAUGUUGCUCGGACUCCUCAAAAAUGUCAAUGGGUGCGUGUCAGAUCCUCUAAAAAUAGUGUAUUUUUGAAGGAUCAGACACGGGUGUGGCAACAUUUUUGGAGAGUCCGAGCAACUUAGCUUGGGACUGAGCUGUGGUAGAUGGUUACUUGAGGGGCUUUUCUGAAACUACAAGGGACAAUGUACAGUGAAGGUUUCACAUCUCGGGUUCGCAGACAAUACUUAAGUUCUCUGUGAUGCACACAUUAAUCAGUUGAUUAUUUUCUACACAAUUUCAUUUGGUUCCAGCAUCGUCGGAGCCUCAAAACAACCUCAGAAAAUGUCAGAUCAUUGUUAGUGAAGUGGACAAUAUUGAGAAUUGAUACAAAUGCUCAAUUCCAGGAUUAAUGCUCUCCCUACUGUUUUUCUCGGUUUUACUGUUACACACUUAAACAAUAAAGAAUCAACAUGAAACACAAUAAUUAAAAGAGAUAUGAAGAGGUAAGCAGAUAGUAGAAGAACUACUUUGUCUUAAGGAGAAGGAAGCAUUAACAAGAAACUAUAGAAUCCUUAGUGAUUAAUGGAGAAGAGUCUUCAGAUCCUGUUGCAAUCAGACAUGAAAUUGUGGAUUUUAUCAGAUUUUGUACAAGGAGACAGAAAGUUGGAGACCAUCUUUGAACAUCUUGGAUGUUCAAACAAUCACAGAAGAAGAACAAAUCUUGUUGUCUAGAGACUUUGAGGAGGAAGAAGUUUUGGAAGGAACCUGGACCAGAUGGCUAUACAAUGGCUUUCUUCAGUGUUUUUUGGGAAACUAUCAAGUAUCAAAGAUGAUGUGAUGCAGACCUUCCACAAAUUUCAUGCUCAUCAAAAGUUUGAAAAGAGUUUUAAUGCCACAUUUGUAGCUUUAAUUCCAAAGAAGGUGGGGGGCAAAUGAGCUAAAGGAUUUUAGACCUAUCAGCUUGAUCACAGGGGAAUACAAGAUCAUAGCUAAGGUGUUGGCACAAAGGUUGAAAAAGGUGAUCAGUAAGCUAAUAAACAAGCACCAAAUGGCCUUUAUCAAAGGAAGGCAAAUCAUAGAUGCUGCACUUCUAGCUAGUGAGUGUAUUGAUUUUAGAAUUAGGGGUGGAACCCCUGGACUGAUGUGCAAGCUAGACAUUGAGAAGGCAUAUGACCAUUUGAACUGGGAGUUUCUAAUCAAUGUCCUAAGGCAGAUGGGGUUUGGGUGGAGAUGGUUAAGCUGGAUAAAUUUCUGCAUUAAAACCACUGGUUCUCCAUACUUGUAAAUGGAGAACCAGUUGGUUUUUUUCCAGCAGAAAGAGGCCUGAGACAAGGGGACCCACUAUCCCCCUUUCUAUUUAUCUUAGCCAUGGAAGGUUUGGACAGAUUGAUGAGAGUUGCUUCUCAGAAUAACUGGAUAAGGGGCUUUUCCAUAAAAAAAAAAUGAUACAAUUGAACUAACACAUCUUUUGUAUGCAGAUGACACAUUGGUAUUCUGUGAAGCUGAGCAGGAACAAAUUUGCUACUUAAGAGUGAUCCUGGUGGUCUUUGAGGCUUGCUCAGGAUUAAAAGUAAACUGGAGAAAGAGUAGCUAUUUUCCAAUUAAGGAAGUGCAACAGAUUGAGGAUCUUGCAAGCAUUUUGAAGUGCAAGAUAGAGAAGCUCCCAACAGUUUAUCUUGGUAUGCCUUUGGGAUCCGAGCACAAAGCAAAAAAAAUUUGGAAUGGCAUUAUUGAGAAAACAGAAAAGAAAUUGGCUAUAUGGAAAUCUCAAUACCUAUCUCUGGGAGGUAGAGUUACACUAAUUAACUCAGUUCUGGAUUCUUUACCCACUUAUGUGAUGUCCCUCUUUCCUAUUCCUAGUAGGAUAGUGAAGGUUUUAGAUGCACUCAGAAGGAACUUCUUAUGGCAAGGGAACAAGAUAGAAAAGGGAUUCAACCUGGUGAAAUGGUAUGUAGUACAACAAAGCAAGAAAGAUGGGGGGCUGGGAGUGAGAAAUUUAAAAGUUCAUAACAUGAGCCUCCUCUCAAAAUGGUUGUGGAGAUAUAAUCAGGAGGUAGGCUCUAUGGAAAGAGAUAAUAAACCACAAAUAUGGGCAAGAGGACUUCUGGUGCACUAGUGAAGUUAAUGAAACUUAUGGGGUUGGGGUGUGGAGGACCAUCAGAAACCUUUGGGAGAGUCUAAAGAACAACUCAAAAAUUGUGGUGGGCAGAGGAGACAAAACAAAGUUUUGGCUAGAUGAUUGGUGUGGAAAUGGGAUUUUGAGGGACUUGUUCCCUAUUCUUUUCUCAAUAUGCACAAAUACCAACAGCAAGAUAGAGGAGAUAUGGUCACCACAAGGUUGGAAUAUAAUAUUUAGAAGACCGCUAAAUGACUGGGAGAUUGAUGGAAUGGUGGAGUGUUUGGGCUUGAUUGGUGGAUUCCCAGGUACUACUCUAGAGCCUGAUAGAUUAGCAUGGGGACAUCACAAAGAUGGGGUAUUUUCAGUGAAUAGAUUAUACAACUGGGGACUUAAAAGAUGUGCACGAAGAUCCAUUGGACCUUGGAACACAAUAUGGAAAAGUGUGGCUCCGCCAAGGUGAAGUGCUUCACUUGGUUGGUUGCUAGGAAAAAAUGUUCGACUCAUGAGGCAAUGCAGAAGAGGCGCAUCAACUUAGUAUCCAGAUGUCUCCUUUGUAAAGAAGCUCUGGAAACUAACAAACACUUAUUCACUUAUUCAUGCACUGUAAGGUAACUGCUCAGGUGUGGGCUCUGUUUACAAGCAUAGCCAAUGAAUAUUGGACUAUGCCUGAACACACCUCUGACCUUCUUAGUUGCUGGAUCAAAAGGGGAGGCAGCAUAAGUCAGAAAAGAUGGUGGAGAACAGUUCCAGCAUGUAUCUAGUGGAUUAUAUGGAAAGAAAGGAAUCAGAGAAUUUUUUAAGGAAAGGAGUGUACAAUACAGAAGAUCAAAUGGAAAGUAAUUACUACUUUAGGUUUUUGGUGUAAAAACAGGAUAUAGAAGAGGAGUUCCAAUUAGUGGACUUCAUAGGUUCUCUGUAAGUAUUUCUUUUUAGUCUUUUCCCUUUCUUGUAACAGUUUUUGGAGGUGGCCAGCAUAGCCCUUAAUGCUGAGGAAUACAAAAGUUACCAGUUUCAAAAAAAAAAGUACAUUGUAGAGUAUCCAAUUCCUCACACACUUCAUGUCAUAUACUACUGUCAGAAGAGACCCUCGUCUUGAGGGAAAGGAAGAAUUGACAAGAGUACAUGAUUGAGUAUCCCCACACAUUUCAUGUGUUACUUCAUGCACAUACCACUGUCAUGGGUAAAUUGAGAACCCUCCAAAGGAUUUUCUUAUGAGACGUAGCAGACAAGAACCUUAAAGUUUUCAUCAAGGCCUGUUAGUAAGGAGCAUACUCUACAAAGCGAGGUGAUAGUAGAAGUGCAGAAUUGUGAAAGAGGGAUGGAGAAGUAAACAUGUCAUACUUCACUUGGGUGCAGUCUUAGGAGGAAUAUAUUAAAGGAUCAGUAGAUUUCAGUAGCAAAGGCAACAUCACUUUCAGGGCAAGACAUAUAAGCUGAAUCUUGAUUUGGAAUCACAAGUGGUGGAGAGCACAGUAGAAACUACAAUUCCCAGAUUACAAUAUCUCAAGCUUGAGCCAAAAGGAGAUGACAUCACAACCGAUCCAUGGGACAUAAGGAGGAGUUCUCUGGGACAAAAUUCAGGAUUGAGGAGUGAUUCCAAGGCCAAAUUAAAAAAAAAAACACCUAAGUUUACGCGUGUAUUUUUCCUUGGACAUGAUCUAAUCGUUGUCUAUAGCCAAAACCUAAUGAGGAGCCUCGUCGAUCUAAUUUUCAUUUGCUGCAUGGUAAACAAGAGAAGAAGAGUUGCACAUGAUGUAUUCGUUCUUGGAUACAAUGUAGUCAUUGCCAAUGGAUAUAAUCUUAGUAAGGACCUCACAAAUCAUUUUCAUAAACUAAGCAUGGUGCUAAACAAGAGAAAAUUAACCAUAAAUUACCAAAAGUCCUAAACUACUGUUUUCCACUAGUCUAUUAGCAGAGUAUAGCAAUCAAACGAGGAAACAGCCCAAUAUUCCCUGUCAUUUAACUCAGAUAUAUACCAAAAGCAAAGAUGAAGUUAAGAGGAGACAGAAACAUAAGGAGACAAAUAGCAUAUAAAAAUACAAUACUGUAAAAUAAGAGGAAAGGAGAGAUCUAUUUAUGACUUGAUGACUUGUAGAAAAUGUACUUAUAGGUGUCAAAUAUGACACUUAUGAUACUUGUCCUAUGAGGGACACUAAUACAUAUUUUCACGUGUCUGUUGUGACUAACUCCAAGCUAACUGUUGAAGUGUGUAACCAUACCAUCUAAGAACUUAAUCUGCAUAAUUAUGUCUUCAACAAGCACCCCAUCACAAAGCACGUCGAAAUUCUUCCACGACAACGGGCGAUGAUGAGACUAGAACUCGAGAUCCUCUAUCUGCUCUAUAUUGAAUUUGUGUGACCAUCUCAUUUAAAAGUUUAAGCUAUUGGAGGAAACACACGUUUAUUUGCUUUGUAAUGUCUUCAACAAAUAUGAUAUGGGGAUCCAACACUAACACUAUCUUUAUAUCAGAGAAAUUCCAAAGGACCAACUGGUACACGAUUCAAAAUUUGGUGGAUUAUGACAAGUUCGAACUCCAAUCUAACAUAACCAACUAAAAGAGGAAAAGUAAAAGGCCACUUAAACCCAUAAUGAAGCGGUGUGUGUGUGUGUGUGUGUGUGGGCGGGGCGGGGGGGUCGAGAAGAAAGAUAUCUCACUAACCUUUCAGGUUUCAGUAGAGGAAUUCUGACAAGCGAUCCAAAACGUUCAAUAAGCUCACUCUCGAACUCCUGACGGUUCUGAGUGGAAGUGUACCAACAGAGUCAGAUACAAAUGGCUUAUAUAUUUACUUUUUAAGACUAACAAAAUACGGGAUAAGAACUCAGAUAAUCUUGUUAGCUGAAUGAAUCAGAUGCAAAUAACUUAUAUAUUUACUUUUAAAGACUAAGAAAAUACGGGAUAAGAACUCAGAUAAUCUUGUUAGCUGAAUAAGACUUUGUACCUUUCCAUCAUAAAGGUGAUAAAACAUUAACAUCACAUAUCCAGCAUUUGCAGAUGACUUGUCAAGAUUUCCCUGCAGGAUCAAGCAGAAAAGAGAGGACUAAGGCAUCAAUAUCCAAGUUGAAUGGAGUAAAUGGGUGAAGAGCAUUUAACAAGGACGGAGUAACGUGAAGAAUUAAGUACCGGAUGAUUAACACGCUGAAGUACUCGGAAUAUAAAAACCGCCAGUGCGUCAAUAGAGAAUGGAUUGAUUUCAGUUCCUGAAUGAUUAAUUACACAAUUAUUAAGACCCCAUUUAGUGCACACAUAGAUGAGUAUGAUACAAGGAAAAAACCAAAUGAACUUUCUAACAAGCAAUUCUUACUAACAGGACCAACAUCACCAACCAUACAGAAAGGUAAUGUCAAACAUCAUUUGUGCAAGCACCAUUAAGCAUAUUAGCCUACGAUUGUUCUCCAAGAAACAAAAGCAUAUAACAAGAUGAUACAGAGUUUCACCACUCUAAGUGAAAGAUAACCAAACUGCAAUGCCAGGAGUGUAGGUGGGAAUUAUCUGUCUAAUCUCAACAUACAAAAAGAUGAUGAGGGUUCACCACUAUAAGUUAAACAGACAAGACAACUGCAAAGUCAGAGUUCCACAUGAAUCGGACAUAAUUUUUCACUUGGCAAGAAACAAGAAUUGUCAAUAACACAAAUCGCAUUGUAAGAAAUGCAAAAUAAAGCCAUUGGGUGAACAACCAAAUCAAUUGCCCCAGCUUUUUCACAAAUUAAAGCAAACUUGCAUGAGAAACAGCGUAACAGAUUAUUAAAACCUUUGUUGCUCUGACUCUCUAAAACUGUUGCCGCACCCGUGUCGGAUCCUCCAAAAUGCACUGCUUUUGGAGGAUCUAACAAGCACCCAGCUACAUUUUUAAAAAGUCUGAGUAUCAUAGAUCAAAACAGAAACUAAAAAGGAACUAUCUAUAUACCUUCUGAAUCAGGUAUGACUGGAAUAGCAGAUGCUUUGGUGCUUAGGCACAUGUUCUCAAUCUGCAAAGAUGAGAAUAAACCCGGUGAGGCAAUGAAGCACUACUACUACAUCUUAAGUUAUUUCUGAAACAAAAUAGUCCUAAAACUCAAGUUCUUUAUAUAUACAUUCCACGUCACUCUAAAACUAGAAGAUGCAUUCUGUGGCAUUAUAAGUAGAACGCUAAGUAGAGAGAACUGAUGCUACAAAUAGACUGUUUAAUAUCAAGAUCUGAAACACUACCACUGCUCUUAUGUUAAUUUAGAACUGAAAAUAACCUUAAAAAGGGUCGUAUAUGAAAAAUUGUAUCAGAGGCUUUGUACUACUCAGGGAACAGUUAAACUUACCUGUUUCCAUACUUCCUCAUUUGGUGCAUUCUUGUCAGCAAGCAUGAUCGAGUAAGGUUUUCUUCGACGUUCAUCAGCAACUUUUUGCCAAUAUCUACCUAUUAAUAUGAUGGACAUACAGAGAUCAAACUUUAUUAUCUGAGAGAAUGUUAAGUUCUUCAAGCAAGGAAAAGAGGCAGAGUAUUACUCUCUCCAUUUCAAUUUAGAUAUCUUACUUUGACUAGGCACAGAAUUUAGGAAAAUAACGGAGACUUUUGAAUCUUGUCGUCUUAAACUAAAGAUGUGGUGCAUUCUUGUCAGCAAGCAUGAUCGAGUAAGGUUUUCUUCGACGUUCAUCAGCAACUUUUUGCCAAUAUCUACCUAUUAAUAUGAUGGACAUACAGAGAUCAAACUUUAUUAUCUGAGAGAAUGUUAAGUUCUUCAAGCAAGGAAAAGAGGCAGAGUAUUACUCUCUCCAUUUCAAUUUAGAUAUCUUACUUUGACUAGGCACAGAAUUUAGGAAAAUAACAGACUUUUGAAUCUUGUCAUCUUAAACUAAAGAUGUGUGCAUUGUACCAAAAUCCAUUUGAAUCUUGUGAACAAACCAUGUAGAAUGUUGGAAUCAGAGAUUUACGAAAUAUACAAAGAGGCAUUCUUUUUUAAACAAAUUAGAAAUGAAACUUAGACACCUAGAAUGAAACAGAGGAAGUAAUAUAAGUUUCGGGUGUCAUAUGUUUGUGGCAAGAAAGAACAUGAUGACAAUGCAUUUAGUUCCAAGUACAACUUUUGUCAAUUGGUUCCAACCUAAAUUAAAGAGCAAAUGCUUGUCAGAACAACUAAUCGGUACUCCCUGUCCCAAUAAUAUACAAAACUCCUUUCCGUUAUGGGAUGUCGCAAAAUCUUUAAUGCCCUUCUAUUUCUAUACAACUUGCACAACUUCUAAGAAUUCAAUUUCAUUAAACUAUUUCAAAAAAAAUUUAAAAUUUUGAUGUCGUUGUUUUCAAUUAACUAACCUCCAACCAUUACUUUAAAGAUAUUCUUCCACUAUCACUGCUCUGAUAUACAAGGAAAAUCCUAAACCUUGUGCUUGUGAGGUUGUCAAACACCAUAAUACAGGACGAGAUGAAGUGAGUAAAUGAUAUGCCGACAACAACCUAAAGGCACAAGAUACAUGGACAUGCAAAAAUAAAAUUCCUUUGUAAAUAAGGAACAUACAAAAUGAUGUUGAAAAGCACCUCAUACCUUUGAUAAGAUCACCCAUUAAACUAUGAAUUGGUCGAUCAUCUCCAAGCCCUCCUGGAGCAUUCAGUAUUUCCUUACAAAGUGCAGAUUUAGCACAACCUGGUAUUCCUGCAAUUCAGCAUUGCAUGUCAAAAAGAAUGCUUACUUCAAUAGUUGCAGGAGGUUCUAGAAGAGGUUCAUUACAUAUAGAAUACAUACAAGACUUCAGAUAUAGUAUACAAUCUGAAUAUCCAAAACCAGUUCAAUCUUACCUGGAAAGAAAACAAUGAGACCCUCAUUCUUUGCGACCAUGUCUUUGGUGGAAAUACUAGGGCUUGAAGGAGCAAUAUCUUUCGUCGGCUCAAGAUCACCCUCUACAUCUUCUCCUUCAACAAUAGCCAUGAAAUCUUCAACUUUGACAAAAUUUCCAGCAGAGCCUAUCAAUGCCUGAUUUUGUGGACUACGCUUUGCAUAUUGUUCAAGGAAGGGCUCAGCUUCACUUAGGUAUGUGGAUGAUGACAAUGAUUUGUUCCCAUAUUUUCGGCGUAUAUAUACUGCCCUGAAAAUUAGUUCAUGUAAGAUGCUGCACUGGGAAAUUAAAAGUGACUCAUCGUAAAAAAUCAUAAGCCCAUUUAGUGUUACCAUUCAUCAAGCAUCUUGCUGAGUUCUCGUUGCUUGGCUGCUGAAGUAUUCCAAAUUUUCAUUUGCCUAGAUCAAUCAUAUUGUUAUAGAAAUCAAUAUACUAUAGAAUCUAUCCUUCAGAAUUGAUAAGACAGUGCGGCCAAAAUAUCAUUCUCUCAUUUUGAGAGGAAAUGUACUAGAAACAUGUCCUUGUAUCACUGAAUUAGGCAGGCCAUAAAAAUACAAGCUUGAGAAUGUAAGAAUACAAACAUUUGUUAGAUAACCUCAAACUUGUGUAAGAAGAACAACUACUAAAAAAUAUUUAGGUCUAGAUUCAAAGUAGUUACACUUAACAGACAGUACCUAUAAGAACUGAAAACUAGUAAUUCGAUAAUAGUUUAAUAGGUUAAUAGAUUCAAUGAAUAUAUCACUUUUUUUUAUCAAGUGUCUUUUCAAAACCAUAAUUUGAAAGCUGAUAAUGAUAAAUCAUUAUGAGCAUCUCAGACAACUUAGAUAAUUCAUAAGAACUGUAGCACAUCAUUAUAUGACAACAAACACCUCCUUAGAGAAUUAUUAAGAUGUGGCUGGAACAACAUAUAAUUAAAUUAUGUCGACUACAAUGUAGCAGCAGCUCCUUAUUGAAAAAAUUGGAAACACAAACACAAUGCAUAUGAAGACAUCAAGGAGUUCAACGAGAACUUGUCCAUUGAAGAACAAAGAACCAACCAGAUAAACCUUACCUCAGGUAAUAAGCCUUAUAUGCAGAAGGUCCUUCUUUGAAAAGAGUCGACAAGCCAUUACGGAUCAAAAAAGUUCUCAACUGCACAGUAAACAAAUAUUAAGAUGCAAUUUCUCAGAUCAACACGUGAUAAAUUUCAAAGCAACAUUCUAACUAAUUAUGUUCCAAAUUUAGAUCUUAUUAAGUGGAAAAAUAACUGCGUAUCAUAUACUUCACCAAAAAAAAAAAGAGGGUUUUCCACUGCAGUCACUUUCACUAUUUUAAUUCAAUUUGCAAGCUCAAGCUCAACAUAUAAAGAACCUCACAGAAAAAGUGUUAAGCACAUCAAAGUACCAGCUAUGAACUCCGUAUCUCAUCCCUUCCUUGAAUUUUUUUUGUUUGAAAAGGUAGCAUAUUUAUAUAAUAAUAAACUACACAAAGGGUGUAGUAAUCACCCAUAAUUACAAGAUAAAUAAAGGGAAAAACAACUCCUAAUCCUUUUGUCUUCUCACAAGGAUUCUAACAACAACAUACCAGGUGUAAUCCCACAAGUGGGGUUUGGGGAAGGUGGCGUAUCAGCAACACUUACCCCUACCUUGUGAAGGUAGAGAGGUUGUUUGAAAUAGACCCUCAACUCAAAUAUUCACAAGGAUUCUAGUACAUCAUAAAUAGAUCCGGGAUCUUCUAAAAAUUCUUGUUUACACCACACACUUUUCUUUGCUUCAAUUCCACAAAAAUAUCCUUUCACCUUGUCCAAAUUCUUUUUCACACGGCAGAAUGGGAAAUAAGGACAUAACAUAGCUGGCAGAUUGAACAGGUUGUAAAAAGGCUCCAUAGCAGUCUUGGUACUGUGCAGUGCAUUCAAAUAGAUUCUUGCAAAAAAAUUUCAGAUAGUGGGAUUCCGUUAUUCAAAACCUACUUCUAUAUAGCCAUCUUUGUACAAAUUCUUUAUAACAAAACCAGAAGAUUAUCCUUUCUUAACAUAAUUGAUGUAGUACCACCGAAGGAUUUUUUUAAAUAAAAUUAAGCAGCAGGCUCGAUAUCUGGUGGGCUGGUGGCUCUCCCAAUUCCUUCGACUUUAGCCUUACAGACAUACUCUAUCCCCACAAACUUUGAUUUCUCAUGAGAGGGUGAAAGGAUCCUAAAAGCAACAUCUAUAGAUCCCUAGUCCGUGUCGUUUAUGGUUAAAUCUAGGACGGUAUCUCGCCAUCUUCUAGCGGCCAACAUUGGUUCCAGUAUCAAAUAAGCUUAUUGUUUGAUUAUAUUUGGUAAGAACGAAAUAAUGGGCACUUAUUUCAUGCACUGCUCUAUUCUGCAUGAGGCAUGCAUCAAAGAAAUAAAAUACAUUUAAAAGAUAAGCAGAACUUGAAAAGGUAUGCCCCUAGUAGCAGCAGAACAACCAGUUCCAACUCACCAACAGGCAAGAGUGACAUGAAAUCUCUGUGAAUGAAAGCUUAUCUAGAAGCUGCAUUACCUUAUAAGGAAGGAAUUUCAUCUUGACCAUCAGAUUUGCAUCUUCAUCAGCUAAACUGCUGUCCUCUUCCUCAUUUUUCACCACUUGAUUGCUACUUCCUGCCAUUUCGGCAGUUUUCUUCUCAUUGACCUUGAAUAAAUCCAGGUCCACAAAAAAGCCUGUGAACAGCUACAUCAGCAACUCAGGGUGCAAAAGAGGAUGCGAUGAGUAAGGAGAGAGGGAGGCUCUCACUGAGUGGAGACUACCCUUUUCUAAUGAACAUAACAGAAGAUAGCAGGUGAAGACUGGAACUCAAAGAUCUAUAGGGGGGCACUAUUAUAGAUCAUUCAGAGGGGACAUGACUGUAACUUUUUGUGUUCCCACAAAAGAAAACUUUCAAAAUUGUCUUGAGUCAAAAUUUCAUAUGACUUUUUAAAUACCAUAACUUUGUUCUCAAAUAGGAGUAACAGAAGUUUCACCUCAAGCACCAGCAAGAAACCACUAAUUUACUCCUAGAAGAGGAAAAAUUAAAGCUGAAGAAUAUAUAUACACACACAUACAUUAUAUGAAACUCUUAUUUUAUUUUAUUUAGUAUGAUGAUGACAUGAAAUGAGCUUAAAUGGAGAAGUGGAGAUCCAUAUAGCCGACCCCAACAUGUUUGGGACAAAAGUGUUGUGUUGUUUGGUUACUUGUACUAAAAAUGGGAUAUAUAGGGAAAGAUUUAAAAUAUGUAUUUAUAUCUGAACUUACUAAAUUUAAAGGAAAAGAUAAAGGUUAAUUUUUUUAUAUUUUGAUGUUUAGUCCAUAUAUUGUUAUCCAUGUUUUAUUAGGUAUAAAAUGAUACCAAUUGGCAAUUGGUGUACUAAAUUAUGCAUGAUUAGCUAUGCAGGACUCAAAGACUUGAGUUCAAUGUUAUACAUGAUUAGACAAACCUGGUGUCUCACUUCAAAGUUAUAGGCUUUACCAGUUAGCAAGGUUAAAGGUUAUACAAGUUAGCAGCUAACAGAUAAUUUCCAGUUUUGGCUGAGAAUAAUAAAUGAACAAAUAUUACCUCGAUACAAAGGCCACAGUCCUGGUUGGUGUCUGACAUGAAAAGAAUUAUUUUAAUCAAGAAAAUCACACAAGAUAAGUACCAAAACCCAAAAGCUAAACAUCAGAAAAAUUCUAUUGAAACAGUUAAAAAUAGACCUCAUCUCUUUCUGGUACCGGCGGAAGCCUGAAUCACUAUGUACAUGGAUGACCAUUUUGAAAGGCAGGUUGUCACUCGAUAAAUCAUUAAUUUUAUGGAAGUUAUAGUAACACUUGAAAGCAGCAGGAAAGCGUUUUUCCCUCAUCAAACGAACCAUUUCCUGAAGAUGAAUAUAUCCCAAAUGAAUAAUGUUGGUUAACAAAGUUGAGACUAAAGAAAUAACUAAAAUCUUUUUUUUUUUAAAACAGGUAACUUUGUAUAUUACUACAACAGUACAUAGGCAGUACUGAGCCAUAUUUACAAUAAGAUCAUCAAAUCCAGCUACCUGAUCCUAAAUUGAGUCUAGUACAUCAAUUAGGGAGAUAGUGUCAUUGGAGUAUAAUUGAUUACACCAAAAACACAGUAGCAACAAGCAAUUAAGCUUGACUUUUUGAAUGCUGUUUUCUAUACUAUCAAAAUAUAUGGAAUUCCUCUCCUUCCUUAUUGCCCACCAAAUGCUAGCAGGGACAAUUCUCCAUCUCUCUCUAUUGCCCACCAAAGAGAUAACUAAAAUCUUACAACUAUCUAUCAGGUCCUUCAAGAAAAAGUCACAAAACAGUUAAGCCACACACCAAAGACUAAUCCACGUAGUUCCAUGAACACAAUCAGAAUAUCUGUAUAUUUUCCAAACAAUAAGGUGUGUGUGUGGGGUGGGGACGGCGGCAAAAGCCAAAAGCAAUGACAAAAGACAGGGCCAGUUUAGCCAGAGAGAGGAAGAAACCAAAUUUUUUUCAUGUAUGAAAUAAAAGAUGCAUAUAAUUAGUGAACGUCAUAAUUAUUGUCCCUGAAAACCAUGUUCAACCGCUCAGAGAGAUGGGAAGAUGAUGCGAAGAAACAGGCCCAUUAAUUUACUUUUGGGAAGUUAUUCGUUCAUCCCUUCCUGCUAAUUUGUGCAGCUAAAAGAAAGUAAAAUAUUACUUCCCAUCUGGCAAUCAUUCAUUUUCACCUCUACCAAGCAAGGUGUAAGAUAGAUAAUCAGACAUAUACACAGAUUCAAAAGACAUCUAAAAUAGGGAGCAAAAGCAAAGGAAAAUUAAAACAUCAACACCAUAUUUACAACAUAAUUGUACUCCUCCCUUAGUUAAAUUGGUUGAUGUGCUUCCCUUUUUUGAUUGUAAUCAAAGCUCACUUUCUCAAUGGAACACUCCACCAAAAGGACAAUAAAAACCUGUGUAUACAACUCUUGCUGCUUCAUGACACCAAAAAACUAACGAAUAAUCACUCUGGGUACCCCUACCCUAAAAUGGUUUGCAAUAUAAAACUCUAUGUCAAAUUAAACCACAACACAUUUUAAGAAGGGUGAACAUCAAAGUAAAGAUAUGGGAUUUUGUGACAGGAAAACAUGAAAUACGAAGUCGGGUAUUUGAAAUCCAUUGAGUGUGCCAUAAAUUCCAAACCAGCUUAAUUUCCUUGUUACACAACAUUUCCUUCUAGGGGGUAGUUAUUCUCACUUUCUCAUGUCUACAAAAUUACUUGAAUUGAAGUGUUUCCCCAUGUUCCCACUACUGUUACUAAACACCACAAGAAUGCCAGGGACCAAGCAAAAGUUGCAGUUGCAGUAUAAUAUUGUCCUCUAAAACCGAAACAAAACACAAGGGUAUUCUAUGAGUAUCUAGAUUCAGGUGUUACAUGUUGAUCAAAAAUAUUGUAACCUCUUUAAAAUUGAUACUUCCACUAUUAUAACUUCCCUUAAGGAUGUAUUAUUUCCCUCAGUUUCUUUUAUAAUUAAAAUAAUCACCUUCAUAAUAAACUCUGGUGAAUAUUUCUCACACAUCUUCCAUUUUGAAUUUUAUCUCAUAUACUACAAUUUAUUUCUCCUACACUACCAAGGUUUCUGAUUCAUACUUCAUCUGCUUUAGCAAAAAGAAGAUACACAACUAGGCGAAGAAGAAGUCAAUGGUGAAUAUCUGUUUGCCCCCCUCUUCAAUCAAUGUGUUGACCUUUGUCGCUUUUGCCCUUUAAUUUUUUCAUGUGUAGGGGCACUUCUUUAGCCUAAUCAAUAGUUGUUAUGAUGAAUCACACGUGGGAGAGAUAUGAAAUCUCUGUCAACAUGAAGCAAUUAGCAAUGAUCAUCGUGAAAGCAAUUAUGCUAAAAUGAGGUUUUGUUGAGCAUGCUACAAAAAGAGGGUGAUCUGAUAUGUUGAUAAUUAGGGAAGAAAAACUAGGGUAAAUAUACGACUAGGUAGCAAAUUAGCUAGCUCCUCUUUCUGAAAACCGGUACCACUAUAAGAAGAUUGUAGUAACAUAUAAGAAGAAACUAAUUUGGUUAGGUCAGUGAUGACUAUCAAGAAAUAAACAACCAACAGUAACAUCAACAAAUUAAUUAGGAGAUAUUUUAAAUGAAUCACUUCAGAAAAUUUCCCAAACCUGUAAUUUUCCUGUAGAAAAAUCAGCAGGAUGUGAUUGUAGGAACUUUGACACAACAGAUCGAUCAGCAUUUCUUGAAUGUGAGCCGGAAUCAUCAUCUCCAAACCAGUCCAAAUAAUUCGGGCAGAAAGCCGUGCCAGCACUCUGAAGAAGUGCCUUUAUUUGCUGCACAUAGAAGAGAACUAAAGUUUGGUACAUUGGUUACAUGAAACUACUCUUUGCUCCUGAAUCACAUCGACAUUUACCUGCUUUUCUGAUCUAUUUGCAGCGCAAAUUUCACGUAGCGUAGGUCCCAAGUCCAAACCCUCUGGAGAAGGCAAAAACACUUAUGAAAUCAAAAGGAGUAAUAAACCCAAUUGUCUCACAACUACAAUGCCUGAAUCCCAGUUGAAUUGGGGUAUGAAUCCUCAUUGACUAUGUCUCUCCAUUAAGGCUUAGACCAAUAUUAUACAAAAUAAAAAUAAAAAUAAAAAAACACUAGGAGCUCUUUAAAUUUCUGGCAGGAUUUAUCCACUAAUUCCCUAAGUUUUCCCGUCAAAGGACCUAUCUUCCAAAUAUCUAGCAAAAUAUAAAAUAUUGAUUCACAUCAAGGACACACAAAAGUAGAAAAAGAUAAAAAGCACACACAACCAAAGAAAAUUGAAAGAGUUGAACUUGUGGUAGCUGCCUCACAUGAAUUAUUCGAGAGGGGAUAUUUCUAUUACCUAUUUCUAUUUACUUGGUACGUCUUCUUUCUUAGUUCAUCUGAUGCCUUAGUCCACUUGAGCCACUUCAACAUUGAUAUCAUGCAUUUGUUCGUGCAGUUGAUGAAGCAUAUUUUAGAUGUGCUUGAAAUAUAUUCACGGUUCAAUUUGGGGGUGUAUUACAAGAGACUAAGACGACUAGUUGCUGAUUAGAAGAUACAUUUCAAAACUCGGUCACAAGGUGAUGUGGGUCACUCACAUUGUCAUUUAGGCUUCUUUAACCAUUCAAUCGCACCACGAAUAAAACAAUCUUCUUACUACUCCAUGAAAGCAUACAAAUAAAAUAUGUUAACCCCAACAAAUAAUGGUAGAGUAUUUAGUACGAUCAUAUAAGAAAAGAUCAGCUUACCACCCUCUAAUGGAGGAGGAGAAAAAUCCCUCAGAACCCGCUCCAUAUGCUCUGAGCUCUCACGUUUUACAAUGCGUGCCACGAGGCCCUCCAAAAUUUCACCCUGCACUUUUAUAUGGUCUUUUGAUCCUGCACAUCGAACCAAAGUAUGUAGGAGAAAAACACUACUUCAAGGACGAGUACAAACAACAUAAACAAAUAAUGCAGAGGCAAGUGAAGAUAUUAGAAAGAAAAACGAAUACAAGAUAUCCAAAAUGCAAUUGCAAAUAUACAGAUAAUAGCAUGAAGGAAUGGCUAUUUUAAGAUUGUCAUUUCACUUCCCAAAAGGAAGUAAGCUUUUAGCAGCAAUCAAAGCCUAGAAGCACAUGAAGCAUUUUGCUUUUAGCAACACGACAAUGCUCUAAUUAAAAUGCUCUUAGAGAUCCGUAAAGGAAACAGACAAAUGAAACUACUCACUGAAAGAAGUAAAAAGAAAAGAUGCUGAGUCGUGACAAUUGUCUGUAGUUGGAGAAUGAAUCUGGCGACAUACCCAGAGGGUAAGAAUGGAUGAUAGAGAUAAGGCCUUUAAAAAGUAAAAGAGGGUGAAGGGAGAAUCUAAGAAGGUAAUAUGAAAAUUCAGGGUAAAACCUUAGACGAGUUGUACCAAAAGCAAAGGCCUCGAGAUGGAAAAAGUAAAUGUAUGAGCUAGCACAACAAAGAGAUAAAUUCACACUAGACCUUCUUUAUUGCAUUCAUUUUUUUCUUUCAAUAAGGUGAUUGUUGUACUAAAUAUUAACGUAUGCAAGAGGUAUACAACAGAAGAAAAUCUAGACAAAAAACAUAAUUCUCUAGAAAUAGUACCCCCCAACCAUCUAAACUAACUGGAAACACCUCAGGCGUGCUAUGAAAAUUCACAAAAACAAGAAAGGUCUUCUAGUUUCUACAGAAAAAAUUCCGUUUUUUUCUUUUUCUACCUUUUGAAAGCCCAGAAAAGAAACAAAUAUUUGAAGGCACUCGGGCUCCAUAGGCACGCCAGAAGAGAUCCAAAACUAUAUCCCCACUAUCUGCAUGGAACUUAGUAAUAGACAGGUAAACAAUCCACCUCUUCUUCCUCCUCUUACAUAUAUAAUAUAUGAUAUCUUACUCAUAUUCUCAUAUGCAAGAAGAGAACGUCAUAUAAAAUGCUUCAUUUUCCUUGACGUACUCGUUAUUUGUGGGUGUGACAAGACUAAAGGUCUUCACAGAGGUUCCUCAAAAUACACGGGAACUUAACAAAGUUUUGAAGUACAAGUAUAAACACCCAACACAUAACAAGUCGAUAGACGAAUCUAUGCUCAUAAAGAAUAGUUCACUACGCAGCCAGCCACGUAUAGGAAACAAUAUCCUCAAAGCGCUAUGGUAAAGAAAAAACUGUUCACUCUGUUUAUUACACCUCUAUGUGGUCCAAUUUGAAUAACUUUUGGUUGGAAUUCUUAAAUCACCAAUCUUACAAAUGUCUUGUAAGCUCCACAAACAUUUAAAAGAUCCUCUAUCCUCUACUUUGUGUAGAUGUAGUAGUGCAAUAAUCAUCGGUCUCUAGUUUGAUAUAAUUAGAAUAGUUAUGCCUUGUCUUGGCCACACCAAACAAUGUUCCACACCUUCAUGCCCUUUUUUAAUAAUAUUUUUCACCUUCUAUCAAAAUGAUCCCCUCCAUGACCCUCCUCUGUAAUACAUCCUAAUGUCUUCUCUUCUCGCCCACCUACUUGAAUUCUGUAUUAUUAUUAUUUUUCUGAUAAGGUAAGAUUUGUAUAGAUUCCAAAGCCAAUGAGGCCAUAAUUACAAGCUACAUCUAGAUUUAAUUAGCAAAAAAUGUAAAGAGACUCUAGAAACUGUAGUAGAGCCCUUGUAUCUACUAUAUACUUGAAGUCUGUAUUUAUUUGUGGUGACUAUCCUGCAUAGUGCUUCUUUAUCAGUGAAUCGUCAUAUCCACAUUCGAGUCCCCUCAAAUCUUACUCUUGGUCCCCUUACUUUCAUAGGAGAUGUGAUCUCCUUAAGUUUUUUUAAAAAAAAAACAAAUUUGUACCACUAGACAGGGCGUCUAGCGGCAUUUUAUUAAUAGUAAGAUAAAAACCUCAACGUGAAUAAGUACUGCUGUAGAUGCUGUGAUUAAGCAGGGUCACAUAAGACUUAAUAGAGACACGGUCCCAGUGACCCAUUGGAUUGGAUUUCUCCCUUGGGCGGACUCCCUAUGGGGAUAACUUGUUACUUGUAAAGUCCAGGAAUGAAUGCUUAUUAAGGAAGCGGUAAGCUGAUGUGCCAUUACUGGGUUCCAUCCUCUGGCAAUUAUCGACUCGGGAAUGAACGAAGUCGCUUCACUUCAAAGUAGAGGUUUGUGGUAACACUAUGCAAGAUACUGCCAAGUUAAGUUGGCAAAAUUUCCUUGACAUAAUGUGAUCUCCUUUAGUAAGUAAUGAAAUUUUCAUCUCGGCAUUUGUUUCAAGAAAAUGUUCCUUUUUGAAGCCUCUCAAGUUUCUUGUUGUAACCAUAGAUACUUUUUUUGAAACUGAAAAAAAAGUAUCUAUGGUUACAACAAGAAACUUGAGAGGCUUCUUGAUGAAGAUAACAUAUAAAGGGAGGAUUAAAGUGUAUCCGAAUGACACCUUCAAGAAAAUAUAGUACCACCCCGCUAAACAUUUCUUCGACCUUCUCAACUAAGCAGAUGUGAUUUCUGCAAUUAUAUACUCACACAAUUUGUGUGAUGCUUUCUGUCGUCAUGAUUUCAUACUUUGUCAAUUAAUCUUCAAACAGAUAUUCUAUGAUCAGUGACACUUGCCUCAACUAUUGCAUCUGGAAAUUAUUGCAUCACUGAACAUAAAUGUAUCACUGACAAACAGAAAAUACGAGAUUCCAACACUCUCAUUCUUCCUCAUUAUGUCAAGGAAAUUUUGCCAACUUAACUUGGCAGUAUCUUGCAUAGUGUGUCUCUAUUAAGUCUUAUGCGACCCUGCUUAAUCACAGCACUCUACAGCAGUGAUUUCCUUGGUCAAUUAUGGGUGCCAUGACGACAAUUUGGCAUAUGAAGGACUUUGGAAUAUGCAUGGCACUGCAUCCAACCAAACUCUUCCUCCAGAUUACUUAAAUAUAAGUUACUUCAAUACUUGAAAAAACGUUUCCUUCUCUAAAAGUGCAGCAACAUACAUAAGUGUAUAACUACAACUUUAUAUCCUGAUGAUCAUCUGACAUCUUUUUAACUACAACUCUACAUAAUGACGAUCAUCUGACAUCUCUUUUAACUACUUACUCAACUUUUUUACGAGUUCAAACUAAUGUCUCAAGCAAUUCUGCAGCACUCUUAGUUAAAUUACAUUAUCUCAGUGGAGGGAAGGUAAAAAAGAAUACACUCAUACGGCAAACCACCUAAUCAAAACAAUUAGAGUCACACAAAAGAAAACCAACCAAGUGAAAUAAGCUGAACAAUUUAAAUAGUGUUUUGCACAAUGCUAAACUUACCAGGUACAGAAAUAUCAGCAACUUCAGCAAGAGCCUGGCAAACGGAGGUUGCUGUACCUUCCUCACAGAGUGCAUCAAACGCAGCAAAGAAGGAAGUAACUGAUUUCCUUCACACGGAAGCCAAGGGAUCUUUCAGAAAUAGACAGUUUUUCAUACUCCAAUAAAACAGAAACAUACCCAAAUUUUAUGUGUUCUUUUUAAUGGAAAGGAGGCAAUGUGAAACAACCACCAAUGAAAUUGACACUGAGAGCAAGCAAAUGGAUAAACAACCAUCUUCAAUAGUAAGAAAGCAAUUCAGAAUGGGUAUUAGAGCUGCCACAUGACAUAGCUUUUCACAGAAGCCACGAGAAACACGGUGCUACAGCCUGUUAUCUUGAGUAUAUUUUGUCAACAUUGACGACCACUGCACAGGUAUCCAUUUAUGGGAACGAGAAGUCUGUAUUCAGUAGGUGCGGGAAUUCCAUACUUUUCUUGAGCUUCUAUCUAAGUAGAGAAUACCACAGAUGACGCAUAACACCUCGAAGUAGGCAGACUGAAACAGUUUCUUCUACUCAGUGAACUCAUUCUACCAAAGAAUAUUGAGGACGGAAAUUAUGAGCACAAUUUACUAAGGCAGUGGUUUCUUAGAGCUCCCACAAUUUAUUUUGUGGGGGGAUUGGUUGGCCAGUGAGAGAAAUUAUCAUUAAAGCAGAGAAUUAGAGAAACAUGAAAAUAAUUUACUUUACUUGGAGCUAUAUUUUCGAAAGAAGUUUGAGAAAGUUGUGAAACACUUCUAAAUUAUUGUCAUGGCAAAUGGUGUGGGAAUAACUUGGAUCUGGUUUGUAGAGAAUCAUAUCUUUGUGAAGCACUUUCUACUUCUAAUAUACUAUUUGUAUGCCAGAUUAUCUCAUCUAUAUCAAUAAAAUAAUGACCCUAUAAAAAAGAUUUGAAACCAAAGCAACAUGACGUGGAUAGGUUAACCUUGAAGGUUGAAUGAAAUUCUAGUUACAAGCACCUGUGACAUAUGUCCCUGAACAGUGUUACAAACUGAGAAAAAGGAAGUUUACUCCUCAUACUAGUAAAACACUAAAGGAUAUACCAGAUAACCCAAUAUAGAAGACCAUGUUCCCACUACAGAUUUAACAAGAAUCUGAAGACAAUCUGCAUCUUGAUAUCUUUAAAUGUAUGUCCUUAGGCAUACAACACUUCCAGCAUAUUUCUUGGGAAAAAAAAUGUAUGUCCUUUAAAAGUCUGGUGUACUGCUAACUUCCAUUUCUUAUAGUCUAAAAUAUAUGUACUCUUAAUUUGUGAUUUGUCUUGAUGAACUUGUGUCAAAUGAGUGCAACAUAGACAUGGCUACUUCAUCCGAGUCCUUUAAAAGGCACCAAAAACUACUAAAAUUUGAAGUACCCGUAUCUGAACAGCCAUAUAACAUAGCAUAAAGAUAGAUCCAUAACCAGUAUCAACAGCAUAAAGCCAUCAUGCUGCAUGGGGCUGUUGAUCAGCCAAUAGUCUCACAGCUUUGUUCUUACGCCACUCACAGUCAACCAUGUACAGGGCCUCAAUGUGAUACCUGGCUAGCCAACUCUUAUUGCAAACCUGCUGCUAUGAGGUUAUAAAUUCUGCUCUUUUGGGAAACUAGCAAGUAUUCAUAGACCUACUCCUCCUCUGCCCUACUGUUUACAUUGUUAUACUACAAAAAAGAUCCAUGUCUAUAGCAACCAUACUUCAAGUCUUCAACUACUUAUUAUCCUCAAUAUUUUUGUUUUUUGCAGCUGCUAGAUAACCUUCAAUGUCCUGUUAACUUCUUUACAAUAUUCCUGCCACAAGUCAGUUCCAUAUUGCUGUACUUUCACUGCCAAACUAAAGGUCAUAAAUCCAAUGGCUGCUUGUAUCAACUGUGACGCAAGUGUUUUCCACAAUAAGAAUGAAAUCAGAACACACUUAAACGCAUACCUUGUUGAGAACAGCCAUACAUGAUUUGUUGGUAAUCUCCAUUCCCUGCAGAAAGCAAUUACAUCGGGAGUUGAAUAGAAAUUCGGUUUUCCAGUUCCCAACUCCGUGACAGCAGUCACAACCGCUGUUCAAAGAAAGAUCAGAAAAGUUAUCAGCAAAAGGUGGCAAAUCUGAUAAAUGUCGCAAGCCGCAACAGUCAAUUACAAACACAUGACCAUAAACAACCUUGUCAACAAACAAGUAUAUUUUGGAAAAUCAGAAUGCGGUGCUCAGACUGUACAUAAAUCCACGUUCUCAUGUAACAUCCAAAACUAUGAAGGAUUCUCCUACACAGCAAGCACCUACAGAUCCUUAAGUUGUGAAAGUUCAACACAACUAAUAUUUUCAUCUCACAAGACCAACACAUAGUCGAGAGCCAGUUUCACCCAAAAAGAUAGUCAAGUACUCUUUUGAAAGGCUGAAGAGCACCCAACGGUGUGGCCUAGUGGUCAAUGAAGUGGGCUGCGGAGCAUGAGGCCUCAGGUUCAAAUCCUACCAGAAGACAAAAAAACUAGGUGAUUUCUUUCCAUCUCUCUCCGCCUUGGGGGAUAGAGUUACUCGAUACUUGUGCUAGUGGGAGGUAACAUGUACCCAUGAAAUUAGUCGAUGUGUGAGCCAGGCUGCAGGCUUGCCCGGACAUCACGGUUAUCAGGAAAAAAAAAAAGAAGAAUAAGAAGAAGACUGAAGACCAUUUGAAACCAAGACAUAUGACCACUCUCUUUUUUGAAACUGCAAAUAUUUUUAUUUAUUUUUUUGAAACUGAAGACAUAUGACCACUUUCAAGGAUAUAAUUUCAUGGAGUUGUUAGGCUGCCUCUGAAACCUUACCAUAAUCAUCUUGUGGGCGUUGUCCGUGGUCCCCCAACACCGCCGUGACCAACUCCAUUGAUAUACACAUGCGAUUGCGCUGCAACAACCAAGGUUUAUUAAUUUGGAUCUUCUAUAAGAAGUCAUAGCAAGAGUUUUUUCAUAAUGUUUUUGCACUAGAGUAACAAAAUGUAGAGUGAAAAAUGAAACAUGAUGCAAGAGAGUAAAAUUAACACCAGUUGUGGAUGAAAUGGAUAAUUCUCUGACAAUUGGCAUAACAUCCUAGUAAUAUUCUCAGAGUGGUUGUUCCAAUAAAGUGAUAUCAUCUUAACAGUGAUUGUAGAUUGUAUGCAACCUAGUCAACCACACUAAAGAGAUGAUCGCACCAAUAAAAUGAUUGCACUAUCAAAAUUUAAAAUAUAGGGAACAAAACUAUUCCCCAGAAUCUAGUGCAAGAUCUACUCUGCGCAGUUGCUCACACAUAGAGGUUUACCAAAUCCCGUGAACUUUUUAAAGUCUCAUCUCAAACUCCUUUAUAUUUUUUAUUCUCAAAGAACCAUCAUUUCCUAGUAUUCAAGUUCGGUGGCAUUUUCAAUGAUUUUACAGAGUAACAUAGUUAGGUAAAAUCCUGGAAAAGGCAGUUUGAUUCUGGUCUAGACAGAGUUUAAAUAUUCGAAUUUGUUUAAGAAAUGAAUUGAGUGCCCAACUCCUAGUUAGGCAUUUAAAUCUGUCCCUGUGUAGACUAAUUCUCAGGUUUCUUCUUUUAAUAACCGGAGAAAAUUUAUGAGGGGAAAUAGUCACAAUUUGAAAAUCAAUGGAUAAUGGGUCUGCCCGUAUACCCCUCUUCACUUAAAUAACACUCUUUUGUCAGUGGGCGAAUCUGGUUACCACUGACAAAAGCCCUGGGGGGAACUAAUUCCACUUCUUGUGAUCGAAAAAGAGGAGAUGGUUGCCAACUUGCUCUUCACUCCGACAAGCAUGGGAAUGCUUUCAGGCUUUACGUGUUCUCAAACUACUGCAGUCUUCUUUUUCUUUUUGUUCUUUUUUCUCAUACAAAACUAGGUUUUUUCCAAUCCUAAUUCCACCUCGCUUAUCACUGCAUACCCUAUUCAUGCUCAAAGUUUUCCACACAAGCUAUUACCCCGAAGCACUUCGAUCCAACAAUUUUCUAUCCUUUACCCAUAUUCUAUGGCAUUUGAACCAUGGAGGAUGUGUUUUCCAUCAACUAAGAAACUAUCUUCCUACCUUCACCCAAAAUAUUGGUUUCACUUUCUUCCCCUCGAUCAAACGAACUCUUUCAACCUUUCCCCUUUUGUGUCAACCCUGCAGAUCCGAGGCUUGUUAAGGAGUACUAGAUGAUCACCAGGAUUCAUUUUACGAGAAGUAUCAGUUGUCCGGGUUAUAUGGAUUCAUCUACACACGGACAAUUGUGUUUAAAUGAUGGUGGAUGUGUAGAAAUUUUUUCUGCCCAUUAUGACGGAAACCCUAGACUUCCAUUCCAGUCUUUGGCAGCAGAUCCUUUUUAAUCUAAUUUUAUGACUAUUACAUUUUGCUUAAUUAAGGAAAAACAGGGUUGGACACUCCAUCUGAUCUAAACAAUAGAUACGCAUAUAAUUUGUAAUCAGUCAGCGAAUCCAAUUAAUUCUGCACAUCCAACAGAAUAAAGGCCAGAAAGAAAAAAGAUAGAACAAGAGAGGAGAUCAGGAAAGACGAGAAAUUCGAGGGACAAAAUCUACUACAAGUAAAAACAAAAGGAAGAAAACAGUAGAAAUCACUCCAGUAAUAGUCAGAUAAAGAGGAUUUUCAAGUGCAUGAGGUUGAACAAAGCUGAAGUUUUUGAAAAUAAACUAAACGCCAAAUUUAUUUUCUCCUGAUAAACUACACCAAGUCUUCCUUGAAACUGUACAGCAGCAAGCUCUUUUAGUUCAGACUAUAUUUAUCAUUGAUGAGUUUCUUGAGACUCGUUCAUGAUCAGAAAACAUUGAAGUGAAAGAAUCAGCAAUGUUUAUAAAGAAAGUACUAUGAAUUCUCCUACAUAGGGACUAAUAUUUAGUUCAAUACCUCAAGAAACUCGUUGAACUCUGCUUGCUUCUUACUUGCUUGAGUACCCCAUGUCUCACGAAACAUCCGUCCAAGAACAAAGACACCAACGGCAGUAUAGCUACAAAAUGAAAAUAUUACAGCAAGCCUUAGUUGAGACUCAAAGAGUUUAACCACCAUAAUGAUUGCCAGGUAAUAGAUGAUCCAACAAUAUAGAAGGCCAGGGAAGUGUAGAAUGGAUGAUUUUGCUGUAAAUGGUACCACAGGCUAUGUUGUUCAGACUCGUCAAAACGUUGCUGCACCCAUGUCGGUCCUCCAAAAAUGCACUACUUUUGGAGGAUCCGAUAUGCGCCCAGGAAAGCAUUUUGAAGAGUCCAAGCGACAUAGCCUGCAGGCCUACAUCAUUCUCUGCACAACAUAAGAAGCAUCAGUGCACAAUAUAAACCAUCCAGAAUGUAGUUGAUCAGUUAUCACACUUCAAAGCAGAAGAUGAAUGUCUUAUUAAAGUCCCUCUCAAGCUCCAUUGCUUUUUAACAAUAGCACAGCCAUGACUCGACAAAAUUGUUUGAAGCAACAACCACUGAGCGUACAAUUAAGAGUACCAAAAAACAAUAGUUACACCAAUAAUCUUUGUAUACAAAACAUGGUGGCAUGCAAGUAUUCAACUACUUGUUUUUUUUAAACCAUGUUUAUCAUAUACUAACAUAGAAAUACAUAAGAGGGGGACAUAGACCUUACCUCCUAUAGCUAGGGUACAGUAUAGAGGGCAACCAAAAAUAUGGAGAAACUUAUGGAAGAGUCCAGCCCCAAGGUAAAAUGCUUUACCUGGUUGGUGGUUAAAAGAGCAUGCCUGACACAAGAAGUUUUGAAGAAAAAGGAGGCCAUUAUAGUUUCCAGGUGCUUCUUAUGCAAUGAGAAAUGUUAAUCAUCUGUUUUACACUGCACUUUUACAGCACAGCUUUGGUCUCUAUUUCUCAACAUAACAGAGACAAGUUGGAUUAUGCUGGAGCAUACUGCAGAUUUGCUUAGCUGCUGGAUGAAAAGAGGAGGCACCAAAGUCAAAAGAAGUGGUGGAGGAUCAUACCACAAUGCAUCUGGUCGACAGUUUGGAGAGAGAAAUGGGAGGUAUUAUGAAGAUAGAUCCAAUUCCAUUCAGAAAGUUAAACGGAAUUGUAUAAUAUCUUUCUAGUUUUGGUGUAAAGAAGUAGGUUUAGAGGAUAUACAUCAUUUUGCAGAUUUAUCAAGAUCUCUGUAAGUAUCUUCUUCUCUAUUUUAUUUUAUUUUAUUUUUAUCUAACACUUUUUGAUGGUGCCCAGCAUGUCCUCAAUGAUGAGGAAUACACAUUUACCAGUUUCAAAAAAAUAGAAGAUGUUUAAACCAAAAAAAUAUGCCGUAAUCCUAAGCAAAACAUACAUAUUCCCGAAGCUAUUCUUGGCAUAUGCUCCACCCUCAUGCCCAGCAUACAUAAAAAGAGAUCCAGAAUGCUUAAGAGAGACCUGAACAAAAACAAGCUCCCGCAUAAGCAGCAUAAAAAACACCUAUAAGAAACAAGUUUUAACAAUUGAAGAAAGGAAUACAAAAAGAGAUUAUGACAAGAUAACCCCAGCUAGAACAACGACCAAGGUAGUGAAAAAUGGUGCCUUCAUCUUAUAAAAAUCUAACUUUCUAAAGUGAUGUUUUGAUGAAGGACCGAGAAUUGUAAGGUAAACUUACCUGUUCAAGGAAAAUGUACCUUCCUGAUAAAAAGAAUAAACGGAAAUUAAAUUAGCAUAUAUCAAAAGCCAAACAAGCUUGAGUCCUACCUCCACCGUAGCCAAGCCUUUGGAGACCAUCUCUAUCAUCCUUGUCCUAACCUGAAAAACCAUACUACCAUUCUUGAAUUUCCACUUUUAAGUGUCAUGAACCACAGAGGAAGAGAAGUUGGAGAGAUCACUACCUCCUGAUCUGAUUUCUCAUUCUCAAAUUUUGGGUAGAAAGUGGCCCUUAUUUGGGCUCUCAAGAAUGUGGAGUUAUCUACAGUAAAAUUUUCCAAUAAACUACCCUUGAAUAAUUUGCUUAAAAGAGCACUUUUUUGUUCAUUUGGUGUUUUUUCAGCUUCAAUCUUUGGGGCUCCAGACACUGUUCCAUAUGAUUUGGGUUUCCAGAUGACUUUUUGAUGCUGCACCGGUGACUGGGGUGCUAAUCCAACGCUGCCAAACUGAAGAGAUGCGACUGGAAUACUAGACUGUGCACCGCUUUCAGUAAUAUCCAAGGAACUUAGAUGGUCGGUAAUGGCUUCAGUAGUUGCAGCAGAUACAGGUUCGACAUUUGAAGACAAGCCUGGUACCCUAUUGGAACUUGGCCUCACUUGCCAUUUUUUUUCUUUAUGACCACCACUUCUCUGUAAAUCAGAAAAUUAAAGUGAUUAAACUAGAUCCAAAUUUUAGAUGCCCUUACAGACACAUAUUAUGACAAAAAAGGUAGAAAAAGAUUGCAGAACGCAUACUCCACAACUAUCUUAGUCCCACCUAACUACAAACACAAGUGUAAUGGCACAAGAAGCUCACAUAUGUAAGGUGGUGUGAUGAUGUCAAAAGAGAAACAGUUAUGAAAAACAAAAGGUUUGACACAACUGCCAUGGUUUGAAACUCCUCAAGGAAGUAGAAAGAUUUAGAUAAAAUCAGCUAACCAAAUAUAAAAGAGGGAUUUCUAGCUGUGGCGAUUAUAUAAGCACAAAACAUAAGCAAAGUUUCAAAAUAGAACACACUGCACACUGGUGUUUAACUUUCCUUCCUAGUUAGCCAGGAGUUAUAUGACUUCCAUUUUCAAGAAACUAUAGGAUUUCUUAAUGAAAAAUAUUAACACAUAAGGAGACAACAACAAUUACCCCUCAAUCCCAAUUUAGUUGGGUCAGCUAUACCAAUCCUCAAUAUAUGUCCCUCUCCAUUUGCAUUCACGGAAAUAGAAAUGCUUAAAAUUUAACCAAAAAGAAAAGUUACCAAGUUCAAAAAAAAAAAAAUUAAACCAAAAAGAUAAUAAUGGCAACAUCCAAGAUUAAUAGUUAAGGAAACUACAACAAUUUACCCCUCAAUCCUGAACUAAUUGAAUCAGUUAUACCAAUCCCUAAUUAUUAUAUUUUAUGACAAAGAAACCCGCAAUCACUACCCUUUGAGUGAGCACAAGGUAAAUUCCGCACUUGUGCAAUAGCUCGCAAACUACACAUAAGAGGUAAACCGCACUAGGCAAGCCCCGUUCGACGAGCUCAACCCUUUCCAUAUGCAUUUGAGGAAUUAGAAUAUUUUAAAUUUAACCAAAAAGAUCAUAGUGACAACGCCGAAGAUUAUGACAGACUCGUUCUUUUAGAAUGCAAUCUCAAAAUUGGACAUUCAGAAGCAUACCCAAAAACCAAAAAAAAAAAACAAGAAGGACAAUAUACCAAUAGUACUCCAUCUGUCCCUCCCAAUUUAUGUGAAAAAAAUCAUACCCAAGAACUCAAAAAAGAAGGUCAACAUACCAAUAUCAAAACUUGAUCAAUAACCCAACAAAUGUAAUACUCCCUCUGUCCCUCCUCCCAAUUUAUGUGAAGGAAAUCAUUUUUUUUAUAAUGCAAUCUCAAAAUUAAACAUUCAGAACCAGGGGCGGAGCCACCUUGUAAGAAGGGGUUCAUCCGAACCCCCUUCGGCGGAAAAUUAUAUUAUUUAAAUAAUUUGAUGUCGAACCCCCCUCGGCUACUUUGUGUGUCUAUUUCUACAGAUUUUGAACCUCCUUACUGAAAAUCCAGACUCCGCCACUGUAAUCAGAACCACUAUACCAAUAUCAAAACUUACAUCAAUGACCCAAUACAUAUAUAAAACCAUACUCUCUUCAUUCCAAUUUACACACCAUUUUUCAUUUCUCAAGAUUCAAAACUGGGUGAACUUCAACCAAACAUUUAAAAUGUAAUUCUUCCAUCACAUUAACAUGAGUAUAAUCACAUCUAAUAAUACUUUUCGUAUAAUUCUUAACAUCUGAGUCAACUCUCAAUAAGAAAGAGUAAUAACAUACCUGAUUGUUUGGCAUGAGUGAAGAGAAUAGUAGCGAGGUACUGUAUGUGAGGGAACGAGAUUGAAAGCGAAAGAAGAUUCUAGAAGGAAAAAAUGAGGAAGAAGAAGAAGAAGAGAGAUUGUGAGGGAGAUGGAGUUUAGCAGUGAAAGAGUAAACGAUCCUAUUCGAAACCGACAUUCAGUGCUAUAGAAAAGGAAGACUCAACUGUUGUAUUAUAUAUGACGCGAGAAAUUUCAGGGGAAACCGGAACAGUGACUACCGCCUUGAGGCAGUCUCCAAUUUGGGUUCCAUAUGCCAUAUGGACAAUACAAUAUAAUAGCUGGUGCAGACCACAUUCAACACCGUGUCGGGUUCGAGAGCUAAGUAUAAAAAAAAUCUUACUCCUAUAUACCACCCUAUAUUGAAUUAUGUUGUAUGUGAUUUGGAUUUAGUCGAGCUUUGAUGGGAUUUUCGUGACUUACACUAGAUGAGAAAUUAAAAAAAUAGAUAUUGGGCUUUUAUUUUUAGAGUAAAUGGUGGAAAAAAAAAAGUAUAACUUUUAAAUUUUAAUUUUUUACCGAUAUGCUUAAGAGUUAAGACUGUGAAAUUAAAAAAAUUAUUUUUAUAUAUUUGAUAUACUUUUGAGUUUUGAUUAAAACAGUGGAUUUAAAAGUUUUUUUUUAUUUUUUAAAAUAAAAUAAACAAGUUGAAAUAGAUGAAGUACUUGAUUUUGAUUUUAUACAAAAGUUGUUUGUUUUCAAUUUUCGAUGGCUUUUAUAUAAUAUAUUUUUCUAUUUUUACACGUAAAAGAUGUAAAUUAUUUUCUUUUAUUUUAAUUUAUAAUUAAUCAUAAGAGAUUAUUUUUUUCGCGAAAGUAAUUUUCAUUAAAUUUAGUGAAAAUUAAUUGAACUAAAUUACCCACUAAAUCUAAAACUUCCCGACCUUGUUAUUUUUUCGUUCAUUACUUUUUCAUAUUUUCGUACGGAAGGAUUAUAAUCGUCUUAUCUUUGUUCUUUAAAUUUUAAAUUUUUUAAAAAGCAAUUUUAUCAGUUUCAGAAGAGAUUAAUGAUUCAUUUGCUAGAAAAAAGAAAGAGACGUGAAGUAGUAAGUAAUUUUAAUGGUCUUAAAUUUUCUCUCGCAACUAUAAUACAAUUUGAUAUUUAUGAAUUUUACACAUGAAAAGAGUUUGGAAAAUUCUCUUCAUAAUUUAUUAUUUUUUUGUUAUAAUUGCCAAUGAAGAAGAGAAUUUAUAUUUACAUUCUUUACCUGAUGUGAAAUUUGUGUUUCAACUCAUGUUGCAAUUUAUGAAGUUUAUAACAUGAGAUGCUUCAAGGAUUUAUCAUUAUUUUAGUUGAUUCAUUCUUGUGUGUGAAUGUGGCAUGUUUUCAUCAUUCACCAAUAAAAUUUAGCUUUGUUUUAGUUGACUCAUUCUCUUCUUCUUUUUUCCGUUCAUUGCCCGAUACUCACAUUAGAGCUCGAUGAAAUCUAAAUUCGCACCGAAAAAUUCUACAUUAGAAUAAAUCGCUCUCUAACAAAGGCAACUCUGUAUCCAAGAGGACUCGAACCUUCUAAUAUCAGCCAAGGAAAAUAAUAGUUUUUCAACAUUCAGUACACCAUAAUUAGGAACAGUGGAAAUAAUGUCUUUUAUUCCAAACUUUCUUGGACAUUUUUAAUAUAAAAAUGUUAAAAAGGAGAAAUAAAAAUGAAAAAUAUGUAAAUGUAAACAGAACCCAGCCUAAUCAAAAUAUAAUGAGAGACUCAGCUUAAUAGCUGUGAUCUUGUAACAGUAGAUCAGACACUACAUAAAAUUGUAUUAAAAACUGAUCUUUCCUGUAACUAUUUCCUCCUAGGUAAUCUAUGCUUCGUAUUAUUCACAAAGCUAGGAAGGAACUACAAUGUCCAUAUAGAUAAUGGACAGUUGGACGAUCUUCGCGACCAAGCUAGUCGAUGUAGUCCUCUUUAUCAGGAUUAACUACACUAGAUACAUUUUCUUCAUCAGUGGCAACAUCACCCAGAAUAGUAUCUUGGGUCUCUCCGUCAUCAUUUUGGAUGGGAGAUUGAUCUGGUUCUGGUUCUGGUUCUGGGGUAAAAGGUCCUUGAGGAUUUCCAAAAACAGUGCUGAAUAUGUGUCUAUGGCAUUCAUCGCAAAAGUAAAAAUAAGUAAAAUGACCCUCGUAUAAGAGCCUAUGUACCAUUGCAUCUGGUAGGACUCGCUGCAAGAAAUCACUUGUGGAUGGCGGUACCACCAUAUCUUCCAUCCCCUGAUAAAAUUUGGAAAUUUUAGUUACUUUACACAUGUUGUUCAUAUAUCAUGAGGAAUUUAUCUUGAAUAAGGGGAACGAAGACAGGUAAAGGAGAUGUGAACUAACCUGCCAUACAUGUAUUUGACCAAGGAAUCCAGUCAAGAUUUCUUCUGUUUGACCAAAUAGAGAUUUAAUCCAAUGCAUAAUACCCUUUCCAGGGCGUUUCCUCUGCACUUUGAGGUCUGCAGGGCUAAAACCCCAAUUUGAAACCUGUAAGACAGCUUCCUCUACAAAUGGUUUUGCAUUCUUUUGUCGAACAGAUUCUUCUACAUCUCUCUGCCAGAACUUUUCAAACAAUGGAUGCUCCAGCAAAGCUUUAUCCUGGAAAGGUUAAUCAUUCUGUCGAUUAGGCAAAUGUUGAUCUGGGAAAAUAAAUGUGCCAAGGCCACUCAACCUCCACCGAAUCUUACAAAACAAUGUUGUUUUUUAACUAUAAAUAAAGGGGUAAACGGCUUUUAGUGAUUUGAAUUCUCUUUAGCUUUAUUUCAUUCAUGAAUCUUUCUUAACAAUAAUAUGUGCACAAUCAAUUUAGCGGUGUUACUCUUGUUACACUAUUUCAUAGUUGUUGGUCAAGAAUCAAGGUUACUUACUCUUAUUGCAAGAGACAAGGCAAGCGUUGUUUCGAUCUGGCCAUGGACUCCACUAAGGAAGCUUCUUCGGUAAAAGUAAGGAAGUAGUCUUGGAAACUUCCUAGCUAAUAUAUACAUGUUUUUCUUCUUUGUUGUCCAUUUCUUCCACAUUUUACUCUUCUCCUCCUUGGUCAUUCUUGGUUCAUAUGGACUAAUCAUUGGAGCGACCAUGACGGCACCUGCAAAUCCACUCAGGAAUUAGAUACAACUGAAAGAAUAUGAACCGAACCUAAAUUUUGUUUUGCAUGUCGAGUGAAAUAGAAUAAAGUAUAAUGGGGCUUCUGAAAUCUUUGCCAUAAAUCUCAGGUGCAAUUUAGUGUUUGAAGAACCUAAGGACCCAGAAUCAAGAAAGAGCAUCAACAGUAUCAUCAUGAGGCCUUCUUUCAUCCACUGUAGAAGACUGGUGACCUUUCCAAUUGCAAAAGUAGUUUUAGCCUUGGGCCUUCGUGGCACUUCUCUUAAUGAGCAUUAUGUUAGUUGCAGUGUAUCACUCAUUUGGCAGGAUUCAUAGACUUUGUCAAUACUUCUUAUUCUUUGGCAAUUUUUGUUGUGUCCAUUUUCCCCUGAGAAGAUGCUAUAGAGUUGUAAAGUUUCAGACUCUCCAUGAUAAACAACAAACACGUUGACUGUGACAGGCUGACAGCAGCCAGCUAGGUGGCUAGAAUGAUUUCUCUAAAGAAUCUUGCAUGUGAACUGGAGAGGGAAAUGGCAAACAAUUUGUAAAAACAAGGAAAAAGACCAUCUUACCUGCAAUCCUGUCAGGGAUGUAUCUAAGGGCGGCCCAAGCAUGCAUGCAUCCAUCUGAGAAUCCCACCACCCAGAAUUUGUCAGUAACAUUGACAGCAUAGGAUAAGUGUAGCAUAUCCAUGGCUGAUGACUCAAGGUUCCUGGAAGGAUGAGGAUCACUUUCUCCAAAUCCUGGAAGAUCAUACGUUACCAAGCGAAUACCAUAUUCUUGCAGUAGAGAAGUCUUAAUGCCAGGUAUUCCUGCUUGUUUUGGGGAGACAAACACACACCAUUAAUGCAUAUGCAAGAGCUUGUAUAAACGACUUGCCAAAAUUAACCACUUUAAUCUAUGUUUGUUCGAGGUGCAACCGAGAAUACGAAGACGGAUACAUAGAAUUGAUUGGAAAGGUUUAACGGUUAAUAAUUAGUACGAUACCUGCAAGCCGGGACGAGACGAAAGAAUGCGGAGCAAUCAUAGAAAAUCUAGCCAGCUCAGCAGGAACACCCUGCUGCUGAUAAGCCAAAUGUCUACCGUCUGGGAGCGAAAUUCGACUAGCACUUGGAGGAUGUAUACACACUUUCUUGACCGAUGUAGUUGGAUAUAUAUUAUCAUUACUUGCAAUAAGCACUGUAGAUUAGCCUUUAUCAGUAAUUGUAUAAGUAAAGGUGUAGAAAGGGAGAACAUGAGCAACCAGUCUGAAGAAAAUGAGGACAUUUGCAAACAUAGGUGAGUUGAUCAACAAUUAAAGGGUACCAAAUUAUCAACCCACUCAGUAAUCAAAUUUGCACAAAUUCAUGUGGAACAGCGAGAGGAACUAAAUAUUUUUUUUUGUUCUCUAGCAAUUACUGCCAACAUUCUAGUCCUGAAACCUUGUGAAGCUCAAUCAGUAAUCAUGCACAUUAUUUCAAGCCAUGUCGUAUGUAUUAAUGGUUGUAGCACGUCAAUCUGGCAAUUUUCCCCUCCAUAUGCUCUGGUGUUAAAAGCUGAAAGGAGAAGCUGUGGAUGACUGAUUUAUGCAGACAAGCAUUUCUCCAUCCACAUAUAUCAGACUCAUGACCAUAGUUCCUACAGUUUGUUGAUCAAUAUCUUUCAUUUUUUAUUCCUUUUAUAACAGCCUACUUUGUUAAUCAACCAUGGUAGAUUGGAGUUAAGUCCUUGUAUCCUACAGUGACUACAAUCAGAGCAACGGAUUUCUAAAUCUACAGUUAGAGAAACAACCCUCUAAACCAUCUCACAACUGAAUAACAUAGUUUCUGAAAUUCUAAUCAGCAAAGACUAACAGAAGUCAAGUGAGAUAAAUCAAUUCUCUAAGGUGAGAAAAUGUGAAAUAUGUUCUUUCCAUUUUAUCACCCUUCAGAAUUCAAGAAGCAGCAUGGCUUUCUAAAUGCACUCUAAAUAAAUCUUGUUUUUCACAUCAACGUAGUUAACAAUGAGCUAGAAAGGCCCAGCAAAACCACUAAAGAUUCAAACUUGUAACAUAACAAUUCCACCUGUGGCCAGAAUUUAUCCCCUCAGGACCAAUUUAACAAGUCCUAGAACCAUUCUCAGAUCCAAAAUGACAAUAUCUCAGUAACCAGAUAACUAAAGCAACACCAUGUUGCACAGCCCAACUCCAAACCAACCUCAUCUAUAAGAAAUAUGUGAUCGAAAUAAAAACCUCCCUAGGUGAAGAGAAUAUACAACUACAACAAUAUUCCCAGUGUAUACACUCACAACUGUAGUCCGGGGAAGGUAGGUUGUACGCAGACCUUACCUAUUCUGAUGCUCAAAAGAAAUAUUUCUAUGACAUCAAAUAGCAAGAUACAACGCAAAUGAAGCAACAUAUAGUAAUAUACAUUGGAGAAUAAGAGACUACACAACUACUAAGUAAUAGUACUACUAUCAAGGAGAAGAGCAGGACUAUAUAUUACUUCAAAAAUCAAAAUUAUUUGAAAUUUUGUAAGCUCUUAAAAGCAGAGAAAGUUCACCAAAAUUCAUCCUACAUUCCCUGAAGGAUAGAAGCUAAAAUCACAGUACCUGCAGAAGCAAGAAAAAGAACAAAAAAUAUCACACUCCAAGCAUGUGCCGGAUCGCGAUCUUCCGGCAAAUAUUCAUUCAAAAAACUCAAUCUCCGGCAAACUUUACAACAUAGCGGUCCAACUUUCCUCACAAGUAUCGAAUCCUCUCUAAUCACACUCUGCUUCAACACAUCCCUCACUCCCUUCCCAAACUCCACACUCAUCUCCGCAAAUCCUUUAGCAAACUCCACCGCAUGAAAUUUCCAGUUCUCACCAUCCUUACCUUUCACCUCCACCCCCGCCGGCCCACCUCCGUAACCACCUCCCACUGCCGAAUACCUCGAAUUAUACCGAAUUUCAGUAUCACCGACUACACUACCUGUACCUUCUCUCCAUGACGACGACGACUCGUUGACUUCUGACAUUAAAAAAUCCUUCCAACACCAAAUCAAAAAAAAAAAAACUUCAACAACUAAACUGCGAGCUCCCUCUCUCUUCCUAUUCACUUUCUCUCACUAUACUAUAAAUACUACUACACAUAUGCAUAGAUUCCUCUGUAUGAAUGAACAAAAUUUGAAUAUAUAUUUUUCACUUCUAUCUGAGAGAAAUGGAGUAAGCUUUUCUUUUGGAUUUUGUUUUCGCCAUUGAUGAUGAAAAAGCUUGAAGUUUUAUUAUGUAGAAGAAAAUUGUGGGGGGGGAUCAAAGUGUAAUUAGAGGAAAAUAGGAGGGGUGGUAGGUAGAAGAGAGUGAUGGGAUAAAGGGCUGAGAUUAAGCCACGUAAGGAAAAACGGCAAAAGAAGAAAGUGGAGUAGAGUGAGGUGGUGAUUGUUGUGGGGGAUGGGGUAGUUGGUGGGGACGUGUGGUUUUUUGUUUGUUUUCAUUGAGAGUUGAAAGAGUAAAACAAAAGUUUCGUAUUAAAACUCGAUUAAAUUUAAAAUUGCUCAUUAUAAAAAAGAAAAUUGGAGCGAUAUUUUAUUUUGAAGAAAUUUCACAAAUAGCCACUAAAAUAACUUAAUUAGGUUACGUAGUUAUAGUUUGCUAAUUACGAUUUGUAAUUAUAUGUUAGAGGAAGGAGAGAGACGAAUUGUAUUUAUAUAUCUGUCAUAUAAUUGUAUAUGUAUAAUUUGUAUUUGUCUAUGCAUUAGAGAGGAGAGGUGCACGUAAUUAUUGAGUGGUAACUAAUUCAAAAUAUAGUUAUGUUAGCUAAUUAACUAGGAUAUGUUUGAUUGUCCGCAUACUUUCUCCCUCAAAUGCAAGAUUUUUGAAUCAAGGAUGGAGGAUCUCAAUUAUUAUACUACAAUUCGUAUUGAUUGAUAAAUAUUGUUAUUGUGUUUUCGUAUAAUAUAAUGCAUUAACAAAUACACAAACUUAAUUUAAGUUAACAAAUAAGUACUUUAAUUUUGAUAGUGUACAUCUCAACAUCUCAACUUGAUGCUAACUGACAACUAAAUACUCAAGUCAUCUGCAUUAUGUCUCGUAAACACUCGAUGAUAAUAUAUAAAUUUUAAAAGCUUUGGAUUGAUCAUUUUAUAAGUUUAAAUAUUUUAAUUGAUAUGAUAAAGUCGAGUUAAGAUAUCUAGAUAUGUAAUUUUCGAAAUUGAAAUAUUAUAACCAUGGAAGAAUAGUAUGGUCCCCUCCAUGCCCCACCAAAACCAUUCCUCCCGGCGUUCUAAAAUGGGUCGUAGCAUGUGGAUUUGUAUUUUUAUUUGACUAAUUAACUAAAUGAUCCCUAAGUUAGAAGUAUUAUGCAUUAGUUAUAUACUUUAUUGGGUAUUAAGGUAUGUAUUAUUAAUAUUGUAAUUUUUUAGAUAUUAGUAAUGCAAGAGGAUUUAAUGCAUGCAUUAGUAUGGUUAGAGACUCAAUUAUCCCUCAAAUUCCUUUUCACGGAUUUUUCACCAUGAUAUUAUUGUAAAUAAAUAUGUUUAUGUCAUGCAUGUUAUUUUUAAGGCAUAAUACAUAAACAUGACCAUUAUUGUGGCGUCAACUGACAAUUGUGAUCUUUAACUUUGAAUCUGCACAAGUAGACACUUAAACUUGUAUAAAAUUGAACAAAUAGCCACAUCCGUCCUACAUGACACCCUACAUGGAAAUUUUGUGUCCUACGUGGCGUCCUACAUGUAUUAUGCCAUGUAGGACACGUGUGUCUACUUAUUCAAUUUUAUACAAGUUUAAGUGUUUACUUGUGCAUACUCAAAGUUAGAGGACAUAGUUAUCCGUUGAAGCCAAGUUAAGGGUUAUGUUUAUGUAUUAUGCCUAUUUUUAAUACAUCAAAUUAGGGGUAUCAAAAUGAACCCAAACAUAGGUAACCCGCCCAGAAUUUUAAGGGUUGGGUUCAAGAUAAUUUGAAUUGGGUUCAAUCUCAACUCAUUCAAGCCUAACCCAUUUUAAGAGAAUCCUCAAUUGAGCCUAAUUCAAUCUCUAAUUUCAACCCGUUUUAAAACUCUUUACUAAGAUAUGUUCCUAUAUUAAAGGUAUGAAUUAUUAUCUAUUUAACAUCUUUUAGGAUUUAUCUAUCCAUUUGUUAACUUUUAAAAUAACUUGAGCUGAUAUUGGAAUUGUGAUUAUAAAAGUUAAAUAUCAAUAUGUUAAAAUUAUUGAGAUUAAUCGGGUCAAAUUGGGCGGGUCAAGACCAACCCAUUUUUUAGCUCAUUUGAGCUCAAAGUAAACUUGGGCGGGUCAAGACUCAACCCCAAUUUUCUAUUUUCAACCCCAUUUUUAAUAUCUCCAAUUUCAACCCAACCCGCCCAUUUAACACUCCUACACCAAAUCAAACAAAGUAUAAGUAAUAAUCUAUGUAUAAUUAAUACAAACAUGCAUAACUAAUACUCCUUAUGUCCUAUUUAUUUGUCCAUUUUUUACUUGACACAACCUAUUAAGAAAAUAAAUUUGGCAUAGCGAGCUUCCAUUUUAUCCCUAUUAAUUGAUAGAAUUCCAAAAUUAAUUUACUUAUUAAUUGAGGAUAUAAUAGAUAAAAAAUAUAUUGUAUUUUCUUAAUUUGUCAGAAAUGACAAGUAAAAAGAGACCGAGGAAGUACAAGCAUUAGUAUUGCAAGAAUAAUGAAUUAGCAUGAUUAAAGACAUAAUUGUCCCUCGAAACAUUUUCUACGAUAUUUGAAGAUUGCGGUUUAUAAAUAUAUUAUUUUAAAAAAAAAGAAAUAAUACAUGUUAUUUUUAAAAUAUCAAAUCAAAUAAUACAUGAUUAGAAAAUAAUAUCUAAAGAAAUAAUAUAAAUAUAAUUAAUAACUAAUAUAUAUAUAUAUAUAUAUAUAUAAUAUCAUUCUUAUACACCUUAUCGAACGACCAUAUGGGUGAAAUUAUUAAAAAAAAACAGUUGCAAUAAUGAAAAUGAAAGUGGCGCAUGCUGAAAAAAUUGGAAUGUAUAUUGUAAAGAAUGUUAACUUUUGGGGAGUAAAAUGAAAAUAAUAAUUAGAGAAUGAAGAAAAAGAAGUGCACUUUUUUUUAUAAAAAAUAAAACAUAAAAAGGAGAAUAAUUGAAAAAAAAAAAAUGCACGUGGAAUCUAAUACCCAUGAUAUAAUAAUUGGCCCCUCAAAAAUGAAUUAUAUUAGGUGGAGUAGUGGUCCAGCAUAAGUGAUGCCAAACACAGACUGUAAAUAACCAUUACAUUAAAUCUCAUAACUCAUUUUGAUAUACCAAUAAAUACUUUCACACCAAUCAUGUGAAGUAAAAGAAUGAUGAAAAAGAUUACGAAAGAAUGUGGUGCAGUAGAUGUGAUUUUUUUUUUUAAUCAAAUGUUUUGGAUUUAAACUCUAAAAUAUAGAACAACUCUUGGUAGGAAGCACUUCCUUUCGAAUGAAAUCCUACGUAGUGUGACUUCAUAUAUAAUCGAGCUUCAAUGCAGAUACUAAAUAUCGAAUGAGAAGUCUUUUAAAAAGAAGAAGAAAAAGAAACCGUGAAUAAAUGAAUCAUGAAUCAUGAAUCUAACUCAAUUUCGAAAGUUAAUUUAUGUAUAUUAAAAGACUAUCUAAUCCUUUUUUCGUCCCACAUCAGAAAAUUCAAUAUUCCACCUUAUUCUUAAGAUUAAAUAUCUGAAAAGUAGAUAAUUUAUUAUGAAGCUCAAUAUUGAUAACAAUAAUUGGGCAAGCUCUGCUUUGAUACUAUAUAAAGUAAGUUAUAAAUUUUGAAUCUACCUCAAUCUCCAAAUAUUAUUUCAUGAGACAAGAAAUGUAUCAAGACAAUAUAAGAAAACCAACCAUCCUUUUUUCUCCAUCGCAUAUGAAUUCUUCAACAAAAUUUUGUAAUUUUACACUCAUCACAUGAAUUUGGUAGCAAAAAAAUAUUUUUGUAUGAGAAAGUAAAUUCAGUCACUAAAAAUGUUUUUUAAGAAACAAAUUUUCUAAAAAAAAAAUCAAAAGGAAAAAACAUGACUUACUAAUGUCACUCAUUAAUUCUAGACAUGAUAAAAUGGUAAGCCUUGUCCUCAUAUAGGGGAGAAGUUGUACUAGUAUGGUUUGGCCAAAAAAUAAAUGUAGUAUAGUCUCUAUCCUAAGCUAAGAUGAUUACUUUGAUGAGUCAUCCUAGGCCCUAGCUAUUUGAAGUUUGAAAAAAAAAUAGAAGAAUUAAUUAUACCUUUAUAUAUGUAUGCCCUUUUCGUGGUACAUGCCUUAUGAAUGUAGAAACUUGUUGGCUAUUAAAAUUAUCCUAAUUUUUUUAACGGAAACUAAGUUGACUUGCUAAGUGUAGAGCUAAGAAUUCAACAUCCCAACCUAAAUUAAAAGGGAGCUUCAAUUCGAAGUGUGGGCUACGAAUACUAAGAAAGGUCCAUUUCCACCUUUGAAGCAAAAAGAUUUGAUAAGUUGGUCAAUUAGAACCGAUUAUUUCCUUCAUCAUUUCGUCCUUAAUUUAAAAUUUCGUUAUUUCAAAUUUGAGCAUGAUAUAUACAGUCAUUUAUUAUUAUUUUUAAAAAAAGAAGAAGAAUAUUUUACUCCUUAAAGUAGAUUUCUUACUUAUCUUUUUGUAUUCGUAAAAUAAAUAAUAAAAUAUACUAAAAGCAUUUAUAUAUUAGGCAAAUACUGGGUCUACUAGUGAACCCUACUGUCAUUUACUAACAUAUUGCAAUCCUAUCAAAAGGUUAUUUCAUCUUUUGGCAAAUUCUCUACUAAAAAAAUAACCUUUUGAGACAAUCAAGCCAGAAAUUGGAAAAUAGAGACUGCCAUCAACAAAGACCACAAAAUAAAAUUCCACAAAAAUGUUGAGAAAUCGCGGUCAGAAAAAAGACUUGAAUACACACUGAAUGGUGAGCAUUUCAGUAUCGAAGAAUUCUAGAUUUCUUCAGUAAUGGAAUUAUGAUAAACUUGGCCACUCCAGACAUCUUUUGUCUCCAACCAGAGCCAAAGUGCAUUGUAGCAGUCCACAUUCUUUAAAAUACCCCAGCAAAUGAAAUGAAAAAACAAUUGUUUCUUUCCUUUUAUUCCUAAAUAACAGAUGAACUCACAGAAUCCAACCCCACGGGAGGAUCCAGAAAACUGCUCAUGGAGCCAAUUAGUAGCCCCAGUAGUCAUUUCGAAUUUCAUCAUCAAAUUUCUUCUUUAACUCGGGAUGCUUCGCAAAGUAUUCUUCUGCUGUCAUGGUACUGAGUUUUUUCUGUAAAUCAAAACAGAGCUACACUUGAAUAUGCAUAUUGAGGAAGAGAAAAAUUAAAUUGAUGUGUUUUACUGGAUAUAAAGGAAAUGAAGGGGUAACUCUGCAUCACCUUCAACUCUUGGACCUCGGCAACUUCCUUUUCUAAUCUUUCAGACUCCUUGAGAGAUUGCUUCUCAGCUUCUUUCAGUUCCACCAACUACAGUUUUGUCCAAAUAAUUUCAUUAAACAAUUACUGGAACAUGAAACUUCUAUAUUUUUGAAACAUGAAAUUUCAAUUUAGCAUCAACACUUUUAGAACAUGCACACAACAUAAGUGGGCACAAACAUAGAUCCUGUUGCAAGUACGAAAUCUGAUGACAACCAAUAAAAAUUUUUACAUUUGAAACAUGUAAUUCACAAGAUGAUUCUUGUAGGAUGAGUUGUUAUCACUUUGUUAAAUACCUUAAACCUACUUUGCCUUUUGUUCCAUUUAGGGGCAGUUGAAUGCCUCUGUAUGUGGCUGACUACAGUCUACUCAUCUUAGAGAGAAUCAAAUUAGCACAAAAGUAUUCAGUUCAGAGUAUUGUUCAAUUGAUAGGACUCUAUCUUACAACUUUCUAUAACAAUGGUGAAUUCAAAUUAGCACAAAAGUAAGGGUUCAGUUCUCAGUAUUGUUCAAUUGAUAGGACUCUUAUCUUACAACCUUUUUUUAUAAUAGUGGUAUCUUGGCUUAACUUGGUGCACUUCGACUAUUCUACAAGGCACCUGCUAUCUCCCCACCAGAACAGGUGCCUAGCAACUGUGUCCAUGAAGACUUACCCCCCUUAACAGUGGGUGCAUUUUGUUCUUUCUUACUCACCGCUAUUUUAGAACGAAGUCAAUCAUACAACUAACUAUUCCACUAGUAUAUCAACAGAGAUACAAUAAUUAGAAAACAGAAAAGAAAUUACAAAACCAAACUAUCAGGGAGGGGAGUAGUAACAUGAUUUCCCUUACCAAAGCAUCAAACUUGGGUUUGUAUUGAGGAGUAACUGUGUCCUCAAACUUGGGGAUCUCAAUGCCUGCAAGACAACAUUAUUAAAACCACUAACUCAAGAUAGGAUACAUUAGUUUGAACAAGAAACAUAAUAAAUAUAAGUUGAAUCACCAACUUUAGAUGAUUGUAAUUGCAUCUUCCAAACAAUAUUAGGCAAUAGGCAUGACCUCCAUAGAUCCAACAGUGAUAGAAGGUAAUACAUAAUAACAACACUGUCUAGUGUUCAAACAAGAGAAAAUUUCAACUGACUGCAAAGAAAAUUGACAGGAGACAGGUAAGGGAAAUUUAACCCAUGAAAAUAUAACUCACCUUACUCACCCAAAUUAGGAUGGAUUGGCUGGGCAUAUAUUCAUUGGUGGGUCAUUUUGGUAAAAGAUUACAAGAAAAAUUUCAGAUGAAAGAGGGUAGAGGUCAAGUAGAAAGCACCCUCCACCUCCAACUUCAAGCCACCAUGUUACCACAUCCAAAUAAAGAUAGGAAGUUAUGUAUCCAAAAUGGUGUUGUGGAACAAUUGGAGAAUAGAUUAACAAGAAGCCAAGAAGACUGAUAGGGAGGAGCAGAGUAUAAAUUGAAAUUGUUUUUCCCUGUGUCACUGAAAUAAGGGAAAAUCUAAGGGUCUUAUUACGCUAGAGGACAUGUGUAUUUCAAACAGGAUCUAUGGCAUUUCGUGAAAAUUCUGAGACUAAAAAAUCGCAAUGGAUCGAGUCCCUUGUCAAACACCAUGAAAUUUCACUCAACGAGCAGUUCAAAGAAAAAAGAAAAAGGAGUAACAAUAUUUUGUAAACCUGGUCAGUGAUCAGCAAACCAGAUGUAAAGCAAGAAUUUUAGAGCGCAUACCAUUAGUUUUGAUAGGAAAGUUGCAGCUGAUGUUGGUUAUACCGGCUAUUGUUCGUGGCUCAUUCACCUUAUAACAAAGUUAAGACUAAGUUUUCUAGUAUGAAAUGUUUGUAUACAUGGCCUAGCAGUUGGAGAGGGGAUGUCUCAUUUCUUUGGGUCCAAAACAUAAUUGUAAGCAUAAAAAAGAGACAAUUUUAAACAAAACAAAUAAUUCAUCAGAACUGUCCACGAAGAUACUUCACACUCUUUAGUUCUUUAGGAUUUUAUGCAAGACCUCAAGUUCAGACUUUACUUUAACUCCCCCUCACCCGGAGCUACUUAAGGCAUAAUCUUCUAAGGGCUCGUUUGGUUGGUGAACAAGUUAUCUCAAGAUUGUUAUCCCACCCUCAAUGUGGGAUAAAAAUAACACUACAAUCCCGCGAUGAUAUCCCAACCAAACAAUGGGAUAAACUCAUCCUAAAAUUUAUCCCGGAUUAGUUAUCUCUUAUCCCCGUACCAAAUGAACCCCAAGUUUAUUACCCUCAUGCUGACAGACAAAAUCCAGGUUUUCUCACAGCUGUGUCAAGCUAUCCAAAACUUAGUGCAUCUGGUGGACAUGACAGCUACACAAAGAUAUUAAGUCUUUCACAUACUUGAGCCUGAGUAAAAGAAAAGAUAAAAUCUUUCAUAGCCAAGCAAACCAAAGUGAAAAACCUGGACCUUAGGCCAUGUUUAGAUCUCAAGAGUAUACUUGGUGUUGUGAGUUUGUCACUUAACUUUUAUGUAACAAGAAUUCCUUGAGUGGCUAAUUCUUUUUUUCACUUAUUAAUUACCAGUUAGUUCCCAGGAACAGUUCUAUUUUCAGAUAAAUUAUGGCAGAACUGGAUCCAUCAAGUUCAGGCACCUCACUUAACCUUCAUUGCUCUAAACGUUCUCAGCUUCUCUACUGUGGAAGCUCAAACACACAUUCGCCCCAACUUGCUACCAGCAAGAAUAUUUAACUUUUAAUUAAAAACUCAAGAAAGUCCUCACUCUGGAACCUCCAGUAAUUUAACAUGACACAUGACAGGGUCAGGCAAGCAGUAAAUAAUAUCCAUAGAGCUUAUUAAAAAACUACUCCAAUACUAGAUAGUAAUAUUCUCCGAAUUAUGCACCACAUCAAACAACAAAUAUAACCAAACAAGCACAUGUCAUUCUUAAUAAUCUUCAUUACGUAAAGAAAAUGGAAAAUGAUAUCUUGUCUGACAAAAGAAGUUGCACAAACAACUCAUUCCAGAAACACUUCAUCCUUAGCAGUAUUAGUGAUGACCAUGCACUCAGUAAUUGCUACACUAAAGUCCUUCAACAAGAAUUUUAGGAUAAGUGUUUGGAAAAUAUGCUAGAAGAGUUAAACAUUUUCUUUUAGCAACAAUGAUUUGAUUAUUUUCCAUAAAAACACAAAGGAACAAAGAUUAGGAGCAAGAAAUCCUGUGCUUGUCUUCACUAGAGUGAGCUAAAAAGAAAUUUAUGGUCAAUAUCUUGAUUGAACUCUUAUAAUGCUGGAUGCUAUCACCGAAGAGACUACAGGACACAUAGUAAAGCAAAGAUUGUAAACGCAAAAAGAAACCUGAUGUUCCACAUACUUUCAUAGGCUUCUUUGUACAUGUCUACCAAGCGAGAACCAAUUCCUUUCCUGUAAUAUUCCCAGUUUAUGGGUUCAGGCUCCUGCAUGAUUAAGAAGUGAAGAUCCCUUAUGCGUUAGAGCCUCUAAAUUUAUCCAAGUACAAUAAAUUAAACACAUUAGGAAGGAUUGGAUCUCAGAAGUGUAACGAUACAGAACAAUGAUCAACAAACACCAAACUCAAAUCAUGCCGCCAAGUUUCCAAUGCUUAGUUAGAAACUAAGUAUGGCAACAAGAACAUUCUAAAUGAUACUACAAUCAAUUCGAGCAGUCAGAUUUAAUCCUUCAACCAACACAAUUCCAUAGCUCGCACGAGAAUAUAUUGCCUAAAAUGACCAAGCUAUUGAUAGAAUCAAUCAAUCAAGUAUGCCUCAAUCCCAAACUAGGUAGGGCCACAAUACAAUCCUUUGUACACAUUCCACUCUCUUCCAGCCAUAUAAAAAUUUAGUCAUAAAUGAGCAUAAAAACAUUAGAGUUUCAAUCAAUCAAGUAAGCCUCAAUCCUGAACUAGUUAGGGCCACAAUUCAAUCCUUUGUACACAUUCCACUCUCUUCCAGCUAAUAUAUCAUUGAAUGUCCAAUAACAGUUCUCUAAACCAAAAGUUCUACAAAGCUCACACUAAUCCCUACACUGACAGACAAUUCUCCAAUCAAACUAAAACAACUGCUAGCAGAUGUCAAUCACCAAAACAAUCCAUCAAUGACACUAAAUUGUUUUUUUUUUUUUUUAAAGAAAAGUCAAACGCACACCUAAAGUGUCCCGAUUUUUCGAGUUUACCUAUCAGGUGUUCGAGUUCCUUAGUUUCCUGCCUAAAUUAUCACCAACUAUUUAUCUAAACACACCUCAACUAUCAAUUAUUCCUAAAAGACGGUGAUACUUCAGAUAGGAAAAGUGAACAACAAUUGAUAAUUGGUAAUAGUUCAUGUAGUAAACUUGCACACCUGAUAUUAGAUACGGAACUCGAACAAAACGAAUAACCUAAAUCAUAGAUCCAGCAAUGAAACCCUAGAUCUACAUAAAAAGGCAAUCAGUACAUAAUCCGAAACGAGAGAAAAAAUAGAGAGAUACCUGGCUGAACUUGGUUUGGAGUUGUGAGUUGACAUCAUCGAAAGCACGACGGAGAUUAGAAAACUCCUUGCGAGCUUCAUCGGUGACAAGAAGCUUCGCCAUUCCUUCCCAAUCAAUAGUCCGGCCGGCCUUGAAUGUCACAUCGGCGAUCUUCUUCACUGUUCCGCUCAUUUUCGAUCUCUUUUCUCUUCUCUCUUCGUAAUCUUUUCGGCUGUCUGUUUGAUAUGGUGUGAAUGUGAUGAGAUACAAAGGGCUUCCCCUAUUCUCCGAAUUUUAAUUUAAUAAUUUUAACUUUUACCCUUCUUUUUUCUUCUUUUUUUUUUUUCCUUUUUUCAACUUUUUUUUUAGUAGCAUGGGAUUGAAUAGUAAUUUUAAUCUUAAUAUUUUUAUUUAUUUUCGAUGUGCAAGUAAUGGCCCGAAGCUAUUAUGUGCUCGACUAUGACCGAACGCCUCUAAGUCAGAAUCCGGCUAGAAUCAACGUAUGCGCCUGUCAUUUGCUUGCCGACUCGCAGUAGGAGCCUCUGGCCCCAAGGGCACGUUUCAUUGGGAAGUGUCGCGGUGACCGCCUUGAAUACAAUUUUCAUCGAGCGAAGGUGAUGUUCAAUUUUUUGCAAGUUGUAUGUUUAAGUUACUUAUAAAUUAUUUGGUUGAUUGUAAUCUUAGGAGUCGAACUGAUAAAUUAGAUUUUGCCUUCAAAACUAGUCUAAUCUAGCUUUUUAUUUAAGUAGGAUUGUGUUAAAAUGAAUGAAGUGUAUAAAUCGUUAUAUAUCGAAAUGUCAAACUUAUUUAAAUGUUCCUACUGACCAUUGUUAAAAAAAAAAAUAAAAAAAAUAGAAACAACCUUGUAUCUAUUCCACUAAAACUCUCUUGCUUUGCUUUCCUGUAGUACCACUAAGCGAGUGAUGUCUUCAUUUUGCUUCAAUUUCUCACUAUCAAAUCGAUUUAGCACGUUAACAAAUCGACAACUAAUAAUAUAUAAAACUGGACCAAACCAACCGAUAAACACCCCCUAGACUGCGGAGCAUAACAACAGCCCCACAGACCUAAGGUGCAACAAGCAUCAUAUGAUAGAUUCAUUUUUGUUAAGGGGUCACAACUCACAAUUCUGGGAAAUAAACAGGAAAGACGUUGAAUAAGCAAUUUUUGUACUUAAAAAACAACGGAUAAUCUGUCUUUUAUCAUCGAAAGGAUGGUUUGGCUUUCUAAACACAAUUAGCCUGGGCUACAACACAGAUAUAUAUACAACAAAAAAGGAGGCAAUGUUUACUGAUGAAGUGACCAAGACAAGAGUCACAUAAUACCACAAAAAGUGCUAAUUUAUCCAGUAAAUUCCCAAAAUUGGCCAAGUAUUCCAGAUAGUCGAGUUCCAAUAUAAAGAAUGAUGAUGAACCAUAGCACUAAGGCUGCCACUAUAACAUUCAGAAGUAGUAAUCAUCAUAAUCGGUUUCAUAAUCAGUUUCAUAAUCAUCAUCGUCAUUGUCAUCGUCAUCAUCAUCGUUAUCGUCAUCUAAAAUGUUGUCCUCAUCCCAAAGCUUACAGGAGCAAGUUGCUUUCUUGUCCAUCCACGGUGCUCCACAUGUAUAACAAAAUUCAUACCCACAUCUGAACAUACAGGUAAAAAUGUUGUUAGUGUAAUAUGUACAUACGAUACAGUACAACACAAUUGUAAUCAACAGAGGUAAAGAGAAAAGUUUAGGCCCAGUAGGUAUCACGUACGACCACAAUUGAGGAAGAACGAAACAUCUCAAGACAACAGAUCACUAGUUCAUCUUUGGGUUCUAUUACACACAAAUAUAAAAGCAAAAAAUUAAGAAGACAAUAGAGUCACUCCUGCUAACCCAUCCGAGUGUUGUUUAUCCUCCUAGCACUAAAGCACAUUCCAAAAUUCUUACUGUUAGCAGCAAAAGUAAACUCAUAUGCAUUAAUUUAUGGACCCUCCUAUACAUGGCUCCCAAUAUACAGCAGAAUUAACCAAGGUUAAUUAUCUGUGGGCCGUGGGUACUGAUAUGAUCAACUAAAGCAGAAAGUGAAGGACUAACUCAAACAUACAAGUUUUAGUUGGAAAGUGAUCACCACCAUAAAAUUAUCGAGACAUACUGGCCAGAAUUGUUAUACAAAAAAAAAAACGCAGAAAUACUUCUUGCAAGGUCAACUGAUAUCAUGGCAUCAGUAUUAUGUAUAAGAACCAAGGCUUACACAAGCAAUGCCAUUCUCCCAUUAUCCGCAAAGAGCACAGACCCACAAUUUCUUUACGUUGGAAAUAUGUACCUCCUUACUGAACUUGGAGAGUAAACUUCUAGUAAAAUGUUACACAAAUAUAUUCACUGAAAUACUUUUUCUGAUAAGCAUAUUUACUAAAAUACUUAACACUAUGUCCAGGGGAUAUUGAACCAGCCUGGAUAACCUAUAACUCAACCGCUCCACAGACAGGAAAGGAGGGGAGAGAGGGGGGGACAGAAAAGAAACACAAGUGUAAGGCCAGAACAGGCACCUCAGUUAAAAAAACCUACUAAUAUAGCUGAAAGCCUGAAACAAUGUCUGAAAUGGAACAAGCAAUCGGAGUGCAACAAUAGCUAGUAGGAAUAUUUUUUUAAGUGUACAAUAACAAACUCUUUUGUAGAUGAGGCCUUGAGUGCAAAAAGUGUCAUGUUAAGGAAGAAACAAUACAUCAAUAGAGGGUAAAAUGACAAAAUAAAAGAGCAAUCAAAAUGUGGCCCAAAAGUAUCAGCAAGGUACAUGUAGAAUAAUGCAUAUAUAUAGUUUGGUCCAACAGAAAUGUCCAACAUCAUAAACAAGUUGUUGUUUUCCUAAUCAGUUUUUAUUUUUUAUUUUUAUUUUUUUUGGGGGUGGGGUGGGGGGGGAGCAUAUGGCUCAAUAGUGUUCACUUGAUCCAGUCUAACUUUCAUGGAGAUUAUAGCAAAUAGUUAUAUAUCUUGUAUGACAGUAAGGUCAUAUCAAAGCAAAGAAUAGUUUAGACAGCAUAGAUAUAUUUACAGGACAUACAAAUUGCAUCAAGGAAAAAGACACUUAUUUGACUGACGUGAUUCCAAAAUUUGUGAGUCAACUUAUUUCAUGUUUGAGUCAAACAAAUGGAACUUGAACACCCUUGUCUUUACCUGCAAGUUAUGUGGUAGCACCCUGCUGCAAGUUCAAUCAUGUGGUUGCACUUUACACAUUGGCGCCACAAAUUCGUUUCUGCCAGGGUUUUCAACUUAAGAUCUUCCGGAGGAUUAGGAUUUCUCUUUCUGUACUCAUCGCACGCGAUAUUGUAGUGCCAAGGAACUUUGCAAUUGACACAAAACAGGCCAUUGCAUUUUGUACAUUUACUGAUUCCAAGUCUUUCAGCUCCCAAAAAGGAACCCUUAGUAUAUUCUAAAACUUCAGAUUUUGACAUUAGUGCCGAGCACUUCGGGUAAGGGCAGUAAACUUUUUCAGUUACAGGGAUAGAAGCUUCCUUGAUACGUUGCUUCAUAAUAUCAAUUAACUUUGGUGUCAAAAUGUUACUGCAGCUAUCCAGUUUCAAAUCUGAAUUGCACUCUGCAUGAGGACACUUAGGCACUAUACCAUGAAGCAGCUUCACUUCAACAUGUUGUUUCAUACAGGAGACACAAUAACGGUGUCUACAAUCAUCAACCGAGAAAAUCUGACCAAAAUUAGUCUCUUCAAAACAAAUAGCACAAGUUUCGUACAUAUUCCUUGAAGCAGCUGUCUCUGCGACUUUCUCAACCUGAGAAGUCAUUGCCUCUCUUGCAAAUUUAAAUGCAAACUUAAUUUCAUUUCGAGGCACAAGAGACGGCUGGCAAAAUGAAAACUUUAGUCGAAGCAAAGCCACUUGAUUUAGUAAAGCAGCAACCUUCCGCUGUUUGGCUGACCAUCUGCCUGUAACCUACAGUUGCCCAAACACAUAACUUCAGCAAAUUAAGCAUUUUGGAAAGCUUGAGUGAUAUUCAGCUGUUCAAUAUAUGACGGCAAAACCAAACAAAACAGUAGUAGAUGUUCAAUAUUUGUGCUAAUACUUACCGUACCAUGUCUACAUUCCCUUUUCCCUUUAUUGUAGAUAGACAAAAAAAUUCAACUGACAAAGACAACUAAAUAAUUUGAUUGAUAAACUCUCCCUUUAUCCAGAUAGGACAGCUUAAAAGAAAUGACUGCUGAAGGAAACCUUUGACUAGUGGAAAUCAUAGCUCCUUAGAUGUAUCAUCUAUGUAGGCUUACACAUGUGAGCUCAUUCUGCUCACAAUACCAGGAAGAUAAUGAAGUGACCCUGUACUAUCUUUAAGUUAGAUAAACCUUCAACUCUUAUUUAUAAACAAAAAAAAAAAAAAAAAAAUUUAGCUCUUCAACUCCAGAAAAUAAAAAAUGUACUUGUAUUAAUUUACAUUAUGAUCAAAAACCAACAUUGUAUCAUGGAUGUAUCCUGAUAUGUUUUUGUUAAUAGAAGAACAGUGUGCCAGCAGAUAGCUAGGAAUGAGCUCUAGUGACUAAUCUUCUAGAGUCCCAGAAGUCAAAACAGAAUUGCUGAAAACCCGAUAUAUCUUACCGCUCCUAAUCACUUGGACACUAUGGUAUGAAGCUUCCUGCUGUCCGAAUUUAUCUGACACUCUCUUUGAUGUUCUAUACUAUUUGACAUCAUUUAUAUACAACUUCCAAUCAAUGUGGAUGAACAAUUGUAAAAUUGGUAAAGUCUCCCUUUAUCUUUUCAUAAACCAAAAAAGAAACAAAAGAUCCCAGCAAAGCUAAAAAAAAUGUUAGGUGAUGAGCUAUACGGGUAUCAUUAAUGCCCUUGUAACAAUCCUUGAAACAUAAAUCCUAUAUAACUAGCCUAUGCACCAAACAACCUAUGAAAUACCACUAUUAAAACACCAUAUAAAAUUAAUUGAUUAAGAAAUAGCUGGACUUACAAACUGGAAUAUAGGAAAGUAAUCACAAUAGAAAACGACCCUUCUCAAAUCCAAGGCGAUUGCAGCAUUCAAACCUUCAAUAAGGGCCUUAAACUCAAUGCACUGGCGAUUCAUUGCAUUUCCAAAAAACGGCUUCCUCAUUUCGAACAAUAAUUCAUCUCUGGAAUCACAAAUGGCAACUCCAAUCCCACCAAAAACCACAUUUGGACGAAAAUUCUCCACUAAACCCUUGAAAUAAACCCUAAAAAGCUCUUUAUCUUCACUUUUGGAUGUUCCUUCUCCAAAAGGAAGCUCAAAAUUGUCUCCAUUAUCCUGCCACUCAUCCUCCGGCAUACGAAGAAUCUCUUGAGCAACACGAUGAUCAUGAAUUCGACGCUGAAGGUCAUCACGCAUAAUCCUGAAUUCCAAUUCGCUAAGCCUGCGAUCAUCGAUUUCUCGUUCAAGUUGCAAGAUUUCCGAAAAUUGCACGUCGGCGAACUUCGAAAUUCCGUCGUUCGCUGAAGAGGAAUUCGGUUGGGGUUGAAGUAGGGUGGGGGUAGGUGGUGCAGCGGUGGAAGUGGAGGGUUGCAUAGAGAGGGAGACAUCGAUAGCUUCUUGGAGUUGAAGUUGAUAAGCGAAAUCAAAGUCGAGAUCGACGUCACGCGCCGCCAUGAGUUCCCGGCGUUGCUCGGCGGCGAGAGUUUUCAGGUCUUCAGAGUCCAUGUCCAUUUUGUUCUUAAGUAGAAAACAGAAUUGUACAAAAGAAGUAAAAAAUUGUUACUCAAUCUUUUACUUUCCCGCUAAUUAGAAUAACAUUUGCACCCCUCAACUUGACAGCUUUCUUACAGUUACAUACCAUAAGUUUGUAAAAAUGCUACAACCUCUCUAAAAUUGCUUGAAAAUGUAAGCCGUAUAUCUGUUCACCUGCCAUAGAGAGUGUAUCAACUUACUUAAAGACGCAAUUAAAAUGAUGAAAUUUCCGCACAUGUUGUUUUUUUAUUGAACAUGAUAUAGCAAAACAAUUACAAAAAAAAAAAUCAAUAAGAAAGUAUUCUUAUCACUAAUGAUUAUUUCUAUUUUACUGUUUUUAAGAUAAAGAGAAUUUUUAUGAGUCCUACUUUGACUUAAGCAUAUUGUUUUUCUUUUUUUUUCUCUCCUCGAUCUUCUUUCAAGAGUGGUAACAUGUAAUUCUUUCGCUAUUUUAUACAAUCUUUUAUCAUCUAUGUGUGUAUUGUCAUAGGCUCAUAGUCACCUAUUAUCACCUAUAACAUUGAAUAACUAUCGAUUCUAUUCACCAUUUAUAUAUAUUUUUAACGAUUUUUAAAGAUUUAAAAUUUUCUGUAAGUUUUUAUGAUUUGAUAUUUGUUAGGUUUAUUUAUAUAAAAAAAAAAAAGAAUCUACCUAAUUAUUUGAUACAUUUAUAAAUACUAGUUUUGACGCACGUGCGUUGCACGUGAAAAUCAAACCAUGUACCACACUAUUUUUAAAAUAAUAUGAAUAUUGCUAAAUAAAAUUAGUCAUUCUUAAAAUCUCUUAGUUACACCUCUUAAAUAAACUUCCUACUCCCUUCCCCAUAGUGCAUUACUUUGUUAUUAUUGUUUUGUAGGUGUUCUUACUUUUAAUAUAAUAUAAUAUAAAUAAAUAUUGAUAUCAAAUAUAGAAGAUAUACUAAAUUGGAUGUUUUAUCUAGAGUAUUAGAUUAAUUUAACAUUUAUGUUAUGGAGUGUUCUAAUUUCAAUGAACUUUAAGAUUGUCAACGUUUGUAAAUCAAACAUGAGGUUUUAAGAAGAGAAGAAUAGAAAACAUAAAAAACUAGUAGUUUAAAAAUAGUUGAGGAAACCCCUCCAUUUAUAGUUUAAAAUGUGUAGUAUUAGUAUGUGCAUAUUGUUUCUUAUCAUAAAAAAUAUAGAAGAUAUACUAAAUUGUGUGUUUUUAAGAAUAAUAAUAAUAAUAAUAAUAAUAAUAAUAUUUUUCUAAAACGUAGUUUAGAAAUUUUAUGAAGGCCCUCUUUUUACAGCCAACAAAGGGUAUUAUAUGAAAAACUAUUCGCGAUGCCUUAUAAAAAAGAAGUCACAACCCUUCAGAAAGGUCAAAACUCAUAACUCUUUGUAAAAGUUGCAACCCUUCGAAAAAGUCACAACUCUUCGGAAAAGUCGCAACCCUAUAGAAAAGUCACAACCCUUCAAAAAGGUAACAACUCAUUAGAAAAGUUAUCACUCUUCGAAAAUGUCAAAAUCCUUUCAAUGUGAAAAGUUGUCUGCCUUUAAUAUAAUAUAAUAUAAUACACAUAAAUAAAUAUAAUACAAUAUAAAAUAUAGAAUAUAUACUUCAUUUGGUGUUUUAAGUUGGGGGUAUUAUAAUAAUUUAACAUUUAAGUUAUUAAUUCAUUCUUUUGAGGUAGUAUAGAUAAAAAAAAAAAGAUAGAUAUAGAUUGGUCUAAUUUUAAUUUGAUAUUAAAUUUAAAAAAUAAAGAAGACUUUUAAUUUAAGGAUCAUAUGUAGAAUAUAUAAAAAUGUCUUUUAACUCUGUAGUUUUAAAGAUGCGUCCUCACCCCUAAGGAAAAAAGAACAUUCUAUAUAAAACUGAAUAAAAAUAAAAGUACAACAAAUAAAUUGAAAAUGAAAGAGUACUUAUUAUAUGUAGUUUGAAUUCUUCAAACAAGUUAUUGAUCAAAUACUUUUUCUCCAACAGUUCGAAACUUUUCAGAUUCUGAACACCUGUAGUUUGUGCAAUGGAAAAUUAUGGAACUUCUUGUCAAGGAAGAGUUGCUGCAAAAGUAUAUUUUAUGGCUAUGAAAAUGAGUGUUUAUAUUAAUUAUCACGAUACUCUUCUCGUUUGAAGUUGAGUUAUUUCAUUCUCAUUUUUUCAUCAAUUUUUAUUGAUCUAUCUAAUUUACCCACACAAAAAAAUAUUGUAAUUGCAUAAUCCAAUAACUCUCACAAUCUUCCAUUUUUUUAGUAGAAGAAUAUAAAACUUACAAAAUUCGUAGUUUAAAAGUGUAAGAAACCCCCUCUAUUUAUAGACAACAAAGGAUAGUAUGAAAAUGUGCUUAUCAUGUUUUUUUCAGAUAAGUCACAAUCCUUCAGAAAAAUCACAAUUUUUCGGAAAUGUCAUAACUCAUCGAAAAGUCACAACUCUAUAAAAAAAAGACAUAACCUUUCGAAAAAGUCACUACCCAUCAAUGUGAAAAGGUGUCUGCAUUUAAUAUAAUAUAGUGUAUUUAAAUAUAAUAUUAAAUAUAGAAUAUAUAAUGAGUUGGGUGUCUUAAGUUGGAGAUAUUAUAGUAAUUUAACAUUAAAGUUAGGGAGUUCAUGCUUUUAAGGUAGUAUAGAUAGAAGAUAGAUAAAUCCAUAUAAAGAUUUACAUUUUUAUUUGAAAAUAACAAUAAUAAUAAUUGAUCCAAUACAAUUAAGAAGAUUUAAAAAAUAUUAGCAUCCCUCGUUAUCGCUAUGUAAUGGAAUUUGCAGAUUGUAAAAACUUUUUUGAAGAAUCAAGUGCAAUUUUUGACAAAUUUAUAGCAAUUUGUUUUUAUGACUUUAUGUAAUGUAUAAGAUGGUAAAAAUAAAUAAUGAAAUAGAUUGUAUAUUGAAUGCAACUUUUAUAUAACAUAAAUUAGAAGUAUUAUUAUUCAACUAAACAUAAUUUACUAUAAAUGAUUACUAAUUAAGUAGUUCAUAAAAAUGACUAAGUUAGAUAAGUGGUAUGUAUAUCAAAUAUUUGUGCGUUGCAACCUCUAAACUUCGAGCUCCCAGAUGAAUUAAUAAAUUUAAAAUUACUAAUUAUAUUUUCAGGUUUUUGAUUAAAAAAUUAUGUGAAUUUAUGUACUAUUACUUUAAAAAUAAUUUAGUUUUUGCUGCCAUGGAGGUAAAAUUUGAAUGAAAUUACCAUUAGAUAUUAUUUCUUCCAAGUAUAUAAAAAAAAUGAUUGAGCAUUCUGUACAUAAAAAUUUGGAUAAAAUCAAUGUUAAAAAAUAGGGAUAAGGGUCUGAAAAAUAUUUCAACUUUGGUCGAAUUUGUUGUUGCUGCGAUACUAAACUUUCAUGAGGACCUAUUACUUCCCUAGACUAUUAACCCUAAAAAAUAGGUAAAAAUUUAGGAAAAGACUAAGUAGGCAUUUGGCCAUGCGAUUUUACGCUGAUUCCAUCUCAUGAUUCCAUAUCAUGAGAGGUGAUACCAUAUUCUCCAAAAACCAUGAUUCCAUAUCAUGAUUUGAGAUUUUUUAAUACAAUAAUUGAUCCAUGAGUUUAUAUUUUGUUAAAACAACCCCACAUUUAUAUCUACUAACCAUUUGUUUCAUAUGUAAAUAAAAUUUAUAAUCACAUCAUUACUUUUUAAAAUUUAUUAUUCUCACCAAUAUAAAAUUUAUUAUUACUUUAAAUUUGGUGAAUAUAAAUGAUAAAGUAGAAAUUCAUUUGGUGAAUAUAAAUAAGAACGAAGGGAGUAAUACUUUUUUGAUUUUUCAUAAUAAAAAAAACGUCUUAAUCUUAUGACUAAGCAUAAUAUUGAUAAAAGACAAUUUUCAUUGGCGGUGCCGCACUUUCUUAAUCUUAGUAUUCGCAAAAUGUUCGUUCACAUGACUGAAGAAUAUCAAGUCCAAUUGAUUGAGGACUUGGGAAAAUUUGAUCAAUUGGUUAUUAAUAUUUAGUCAAGUGGACUAGUUAUAAAUUUUUUGAUUAAAUUUUAUUAGAAGCGUUUUUUAUUCAAUCUUGUGGUAACUUUUUAAAAUUUCGUUAUUCAAUAAUAUUUAACUAUUGAUUUUUCUUGUAAAUAGUUAGAAGUCAGUGAUGUUUGUUAAUUUUUAUCUUUAGUGUAUUUAACUUCUAAGUUAAUAUUUACUCACUAAUGUAUGUGUUUUUUUCUACUUUAUAGGUUAUUUGUAAGAGUAGUUGAGAGAUAUGAGCAUGUCAAGUCCAAUUUAUGUUCAAUUUUUUCAAUUAAAUUAAAGUUAGAUGAAACAAUUACUUAAGUGAAGAACAAAUAACUUUGUAAUAAUUUAUUAUGCGAUUUUACAAUUUUUUGUUUAUUUGAUAAGAUUGAAUAAACAAUUGGGGUUAUUUUAAUAGUUUUACAACUUAUGAGAUUUUUAUGUUUAUGAGAAAAUAUACAACACAAAAAUUUCAUAUCGCAUGUCCAAACAAACCUUCAAUUUCAUCUCAUGAUUCCAUAUCAUGAUACCAUAUCGCAUGGCCAAACGGGCCCUAAAAAUACACCGAAGUAAUAGGUCCUCAUGAAAAUUUAGUAUCGCAACAACAAAUUCAACCAAAGUUGGAAUAUUUUUCAGACCCUUAACCCUAAAAAAUAGGUAAAAAUUUAGGAAAAGACUAAAAAUACACCAAUAUUGCAAACGUAAGGAACUAUUAGUGUUCCAUGCUAAAUUUUAAAGAUGACUUUACGUCUUAACCCAAAAAUAAUGGACUAUUUUGAGCUAUUUCUCAUAUAUAUGCAUCACUUUUUUAAUAAAAAUUAAGUACUACUCUAUUGAUCGCAAAAUUGAUGAGUAUAUUUCCCUUUUCCCUAUAUAUAUAUAGAACACCUACCCCCAAUUCCUUCAAGGUUUUGCGUUCCCAGUACCAAGUUCUUCACUCUCUCUAUCAGUCUUCUCACAUAUACAACAAUGGCGGAACCCAAAGUCAAAUACGAUCGACAGCUCAGGUGAAUUGUUUGCUAAACUUUUAAGGCUAUGCUACGUUUUUAUUUUUUUGCUUUCGGUUUUUGUUAUGAUCUCUUUUUCUACCCAAUUACUUUCUGAAACCUGUUACUACUCUACCAUUGAACUUGUAGCUCUUACUGUUAUCGCAAUAUCAUAGCAGAAAUCAGAAAAUGCAGCAAAAUCAUAUAUAUAAUAGAAAUAUCAGUUGAUUACGACUCAAUCCUAAAUUAGUUGAGGUUAGACUGGUCAUGCUCUGUAUCUAAUGCACUAUAUUGAGGCUCAUUUUGUUCCAAUAAUAGGUACUUUUGAGUUUUAAGUCAAGGAUGAGAACCAUGUAGUCUCCCGGUCAUAUCCUAAUGGAGAUAAAAAUAUUAGGUUACUUUUUUUUUUGGUGCUGGUGUUGGAGGUAGUAGGUAAUCGUAGAAUUAGUUUUGAGUUGCGUGCAAACUGAUCAGAACACCACAAUUAGUGAAAAAAAAGGGUAGAGGGAAGUCCUCCAGGUUUAAGUGUGUACCAAGUGGAAUAUUUUAGUAGAGAAGGAAUAGGUGCAGCAUCUGUGAAUUUUUACAUAUUUAUCCUUACAGCGACGGUGCAAAAUUUGUGUCAAGCAGUAGUUGCAUAUAUUCUGGAGUUACACCUAGCUUGGAGUAAGUUUAUAGUCAAUUGUGUUUAGUAGAUACAUGUUUAGUGUUGUUAUUUGGAUUGUCAAUUGGAUUAUGCAAAACAUGUUUCUCUGAUAACGAGGUUGUAGUAGAAGGUAUCAAGUAGUCUUUGAACAACAAUUAUAAAUUAUCCUCAAUAACCUUCACUUUUUCAUCAAUAGUAUCAGAAUUAAGCUUUUAAAAACAAAAUUUAACAAAAUCCAGUUUAUAUUGAGGGGCAAAGACCAUGGCUAUAGAUAACUGACACUAUAUGAUUCCCAAUAUUUCUUAAUAGAAGUUGCCAUUUCACUCAUCACUGAAUCCUUCCUAUUUUUGUGUUUUUCCAAUAACAUUUCACUUCUCCAUACAUUAGGAAGAUACAAAAUUUGCCGUGGGGUACUUGCAUCCGAAAAAAAGUCUUAAUGUCAUUAGAUGCCCUAAAAUAUGUAGCUACAAGCUCAACCCCUUUCCAUUCAUCUUCAAAAAGGCCAUGUUUAAAAUCAGGAUUAACCAAGUCAUAAUGAAUAUACACCUGCUUAUACAAAAGAACACUUCCAAUAAUUUGAUUGGUGGAAUUCCACCGAAUAGGCAUAUCUUGACAUAGCUUUUUAGAACAUGGUAGACCAAGGUUACACACUCCACAAAUUUCACUUUUUUUGUUUCUGAAUUCUUGAUAUACUUAACAUCUUCUCUAGUUUUCUCAAUAGCUACAUCAGCCUUCUCUAAACCCGCCUUAACAAUUAAGUUAAGAACGUGAUUUCCACAACGAGCAUGAGGAAACUUUCCCUCCCAAGCUAGUGAACGCAUCAAAGACAAAUGGUUUUUCAAAUUAUCUACCUCACUGUUAUUGCAAGUAGCACUAUCUAAAGUAAGGGUAAAGAUUUUCUUUUCGAUUCCCCAUUCUUAUAGAAAAUCAAUCAAUAAAUGACCUAAAACUGCAUCCGAAAGUUGAGGAGGAACAUGACAAAAAAUCAAAAUCCUCUUCUGAGAAACUCAAUUUAAGUCCACAUAAUGAGCUAUUACAUACAUACAGCUAUUAGAUACUAAUGAACUCCACAUGUCUGAUGUCAAGCACACUCUACUAGAUAUCAUCGCAAGCUGGAAUACAUGGAGAGUUGAUAAGUUCAUCAAGAAAGUCUGGGUGAUGAUCCCUGGAGUUAUCUUUUGGUGUUUAUGGACUGAAAGGAACUGUAGAUGUUUUGAUGGGAUCUCAACUCCAAACCACUCUCUUUAAGCUAGAUGUUUACUUAUGCUGUGCAGUUGGGUUAAUUUAACCCUUGUAUUUAGCACUGAAUAAUUUCUUGACUUUGUUAGCUUUCUAGUACUAGUUUGAAGAUUGUAAAGGGGCUUAGAACGUUUGCUUAUGCUCUCUGUGAGCCCUUUUGCCUAUUCUGUAAGUUUGUAUCUGCUUGAUGCUUUUUAGUGAAAUACCUUACUUCAUAACAAAAAGAAGAUAUCAUCGCAAGCUCAAUUUUUAGAAGUUCUUUUUCUCUUGCAUACAUAUUCAGGAUAUCUGACUUGGCUGUGUUUCUUGAUAAUGUGCCUCACAAUUGGAUUUAAAUACGAAUGAAUGUCCAUGAUGCCUUUAUGUUCUACAAAACUGAAAGCAAUUGCAUACAUAUGGACACUUCAUAUGACCAAUGAUAUUUUCUCUCAAUAAAUUUUUUUGAUCUAUUGGUUCACUUUUUGGCUUGAACCUCUUUUCCCUUAUUCAAAGAAUGCUUUACCAACAAAUUUGCCUCAGAUUUGAUGUUCCAGAUGUAGGGGCCAUUAUGUAGUCUUGUUCACAAAGUGUGCAUUGCACUUUAAACUUCCCAUCACUAGAAAUAUCCGGCUCAAACCUAACAAAAGAAUCUCAAACAACAAAAGUUUUCCUUUUGCCUUGUUUUAACUAAGUUGAAGUACUUUGUUCGCAAGAAUCCGCAUUACCUUCCAUUGACAUCUCUACCUAAACCAACAAUUACAUAUUAUGAAUAUUGUACACUCUGAAAGGGAAGCAGACAAAGGAGCACAUGCACAGUAGUUCAUGAACAAAAUCAAUAACAAGCAGGGCAAAAUCACAAAUUACCAGCCCCAUUUGUCCAAUUUUUCUUUCUCCAGAAAUAAAAAUCCAACCACCUCUUCACCACCACUAUCCAUCAUCCUCAGUAAUAGAGAGCAACAACAUUUAACAUUACACAAAAUUAAAUCAGAAAUUAAUUAAAAUAGAAAAAUAAAAGAGGAGCGGGGAAUUCCUAUUAACCUAAAACGUCAAUAAGAAGAAAAAUGAGGAGGUGUAGGUAACAAUAGUGCCUGAUUACUCAGUGAGGUAGUGGUAGGAAGGGGGUAAUGAUUGAGGAGAAAAACAGAAAAAAGAAAAAGAGGGAGAGAGAGAGAGAGACAGACUCUACGGAGAAGUCGUCGGAGACUGGACAGUGUUGGCCGGAGCUUGGGUGGUGUUGGCCAGAGGAAGAGGCAUAUGCUAUAGCAGGUAGAGUCAGUAGCACAUUUCUUUUUCGAUAUGGAUAAUUGGUAAAUUGUAGGUUUUAUCCAUUUUAUCCAUAUUUUAAGUGGAUAAUAUGGGUUGACCCAUAUUUAGCUCAUUUUUUAAAUGUCACAUAUACAACCCAUUUGAAAUGGGUUGGUUGAAUGGAUGGCCAUUUUUAUUUACCCUUUGCCGACUCUACUUAGUGGCAUAUAAGGCAGAUACAAUGUACAUAUCACACAAGACACAUAUCAUUUGAUGUGUUAAGCAUAUGUUAACUAUAGGACUUGAAUUUAUUUACCCACGCAGCCACGCUCAUCGUAAAGUUAGAUAUUCCCUCUAUCCCAAUUUAUGCGAUGGACUUUCCUUUUUAGUCAGUGCCAAAAAGAAUGAUACCUUUCUAUAUUUAGAACUGAAAAAGGUCAAAUUAUGCCUUAAAGUAUCUGAAAUUGAGUAGAUAUUCCCUUUGUUAAUAGUUUAACUCAGAUAUGCUCUUUAUUUAAUCGGAACCCACAAUUAACCUAAUUAGCUGAUUACUAAGUGAAAAAGAGCCAAGUAUGUGAAAUUGCAGAUAAUAAUGAAGCUCUUUUGCAGGAUAUGGGGUGAGCAAGGACAAGCUGCGCUGGAGAAAGCCAGUAUCUGCUUACUUAACUGCGGUCCAACUGGUUCCGAAACUUUGAAAAAUCUUGUUCUUGGUGGGGUUGGAAGCAUCACUGUUGUUGAUGGUUCCAAGGUUGAAGUGGGUGAUCUUGGAAAUAAUUUCAUGGGUAUGUAAUAUGGUUGUAUGUUUGCAUCUACAGCUUUAGAAAGCAAACUUAUUUUUUCUCUCCUAUUUCUGGUAGUUGAUGAAUCAAGUGUUGGCGAAUCGAAGGCAAAGUGUGUGUGCACAUUCCUUCAAGAGUUAAAUGAUGCUGUUAACGCCAAGUUUAUAGAAGAUUGCCCUGAGGAACUGAUUGAGACAAAUCCAUCAUUCUUUUCUCAGUUUACCUUGGUCAUAGCUACACAGGUCACAUGAAUCAUCUUGUUCUCAUAAAAACAUUUGACUUUGGCAGGAUCCUGUGUUCCCAACUUUUUUUAGAACUUAUAUAUCUUUAUCAGGAAGGCUUCUUUAUACCUUUUUUUUUUUUUAAACUGGUAAUGUUAUAUUCCUCCGCAUUAUGGAUAUGCUGGAGACCUUCAAAAGAGGAACAAAACAAAAAAAGAGAGAAGGGGAGAAACUACUUACAGAGAGCCUAAUAGAUCUACACUACCUCCCUGCAUAUAUUUAUGUCUGUGUGUGUGUGUGUGUUAUAUUUAUAUGAUGUAUACACACUCACUCUCAUAUAGUCUUAUAAUACACACCAACUGUAUUAAUUUCUUUUCGUGUUCGUUUUGAGAGAACUUUUGUUACAGUUUCAUUUUAGUAGAAUCUGCUUUAUCUGAAUUCUGAUUAUGUUUAUGACUGGAGAAUUUCCGGAAAAUUCUGUACUGUGUAGCAUGCCAAUUUUGAAGAGUCCUGACAAUUAUGCCUCUUGACUAGGACUUUGCGAGUUACAAUCAUUUCAGGACACUUCUUAUCUACUGUGUAGUAUGUUGAAUUUUGAGUGUAUCUGUACUUCUGAACUAGUACUUUGUGAGUUGCAAUCUUUCCAAUUUUUUGAUACUCUGAAAUAUGUGAUGAUAUUUGUUGCCAUCUCCUUUUUGAAAGAGGUAGGAGCAUGUUGAUUUGAAAAAGUGAACAAGUAGUUUUUGUAUCUGCAUAAUUAUGGUAACAGGUUAUCCAGUCUUUAAUUGUAGAAGCAACAACAACCCCCUUCUCCCCCUGAAAAAAAGAGAACAAAGAUUCAAGCAAAGUACUGAUCUGUUUCCUUUGCCAUUAGGUCAUUUAAAUGCAUAAUAUGGCUAAUUGUCUAUCAGCAGAUACCAGGACAAGGAAAUUUCUGACAAUUUUGUCUUUUGCUUUGUCUUUUCUAUUUCAGCUGGUUGAAGAUUCCAUGGUGAAAUUGGACAGAAUCUGUCGGGAGGCAAAUAUUAUUUUAAUAUUUGCACGUUCCUAUGGUCUCAUGGGUCUUGUCCGGAUCAGUGUGAAGGUAAUCUUAAUGCUGCUUUCUUGCUAUUUUAGGACUGAUCCAACUUUGAAAUCCAGUACUGAUAGAGAACUGUGGUCCAGAGCAGAGACUACCCAUCAAUCCAUUAUGAUGGAUUUCUUGUCAGGAUCGUUUUUAUUGUGAGGAACUAACUUGUAGAGAAGCAACUGUCAAGUGAUAGGAGCAGAGUGAAACAAUGAAUGAGCAAAGAAUUAACGAUGAGUUUGGUUGAUAAAGCUCUCAGCAAACAUAAUAUCAUUUCUGUGUUGACCAGAAUUUAUCUUCUAUCUGCAGGAACAUACAGUAAUUGAAUCGAAGCCUGAUCAUUUUCUAGAUGAUCUUCGACUUAAUAACCCAUGGCCAGAACUUACGAGGUCAGCCUUUUCUUUGUGCUUUCCUCUAUGCUUGACAUGUUAGAGUUCUACAAUAAAUAAUGAUCUGUUCACUUAGCACCAUCUCUUAUUUUUAAACACAUGUGCACCCUUGUGUCUUAUGUUUCUUAGGAUGAUUUUGUGGAGUGGGGAGUAUAUGCCAGGAAGUAGGGGCACCCAAGAGUGUAGUAUAAUGAUCAAUCAAGUGGGUAUAAAUCCCGGAGACCAAGAUUCGGAUUUCAGUAGAGAGUAAGACAAAAAAUCACUUGGUGAUUCUUUUCAUCUGCCUAAGCCUUGAUAACCAAACUUACCUGAUAGUUGUGCUGGUGGAAGGUAGAAGGAACCGGUGAAAUAACCGAUAUGCACAAGUUGGCCUAGACACCGUUGCUGUUGAAAAAAGAUAUUCUAGGGAGUAGAGGCUAUAACAUUAUCCUUUUCUUACAAGUUGUGGAUGAUAUCACCAUAUUCUUGUCAGAUCAUAAAAGCGGCUUCAUUUAUGAUCUGAUAAGAAUAUGGUAAUAACUUGGAAGAAAAGGGUAGUCGUACUCCCUAGUAUAUCUAUUUUACAUUGCCCGGUAAUGUCUAGUACUGCAUUGGUUUGGUCUUCAAUGGGUGGUGCCAGGCACGAUCAGAGAAGUAUUGGUUAACCGGAGAUUCAGAGGAUGAGAGAGAAGACACAGGGUAGGAGUUGUUGCUCUACUAGAACCUAUGUGGACUAUUUGGAGAGAGAAAUAGGAGAGCAUUUGAUAGUAUAGAGGAGGACUAUGUACACCUAAGAAAUAGUGUCCUUUUCUGGAUUUCCUCUUGGUGCACCCGUGAGGUCCUGGUAGAAAUGUAGGUAUAUAGAAUAUUGGCUGUCGUUUGCAGAAAAUCACAUUUUUUUAUAAAACUUUUUACUUUUCGGUAUACUUAUUUAUUGUAUGUGGGUUUUUGAUGCCCUUUGUGUAUAAUCAGAGGAAUAUUGAAUGGAGGAUAACUGAUGAUUUAUAACUUUCUACUUCGUUGUUGAACUUCUGAAAUGGCUUUGAAGAUGAAAUGUUAAUAUUGAGGGUAUUUUUGUCUUUCUGGAUGUUUAUUCAGGUAUUAGUAAUACCUAUCUUGUUAUUCCAUCAUUUACCCAGUAUAAAACAAUACAGUAUUUGAGGCAUAACUUAUACAGUAUUAGCUAUGCAGGAAUUGAGAACACGAACCAAACGCUGGAUUAAUUAGUACAUAAUUUUAUACAAUGAUUAUUUUGUCUAAUACACCAAACCAAAAUACCAUAUGUUCUUUCUCCUUGUUAGCAAUUACAUUUUCCCCCCAUUGAAAGAAGGCAAGAGAUAAAGAAAAGAAAGGGCUGAUUUCAUACGUAUCCCUUACAGGUUCACAGAAACGAUUGAUUUGAACACAACUGAUGCUGUUGUACAUAAACACACACCAUAUAUUGUUAUCCUUGUUAAGAUAGCAGAGGAAUGGGCAAAUACUCAUGGUGGAAAUCUUCCUUCAACCAGGGAAGAGAAAAGGGAAUUCAAGGUCAUAAAUAUUUUUUAUAUGCUUCUAAAAUUUCAUCCUUAAUCGUUCUCUUUUGGUCCAUCUAAGGUUUAUUUGGUCUAUUUCUUGAAUGUCUUAGGAUUUAAUUAAGUCCAAAAUGAUCACAGUGGAUGAAGAGAACUAUAAAGAAGCCAUGGAAGCUUCAUACAAGGUCUUUUCUCCACGAGGAAUUGGUGAGUACUUUUGCUAAAAAAGGACAAAUAUACCCCCGAAUUAUCGUAAAUGGUAUGUGUAUACCCUUCGUUAUACUUUUAGGAUGUUAGUGCCCUUACCGUCCAAAUUUUGGUGCAUAUAUACCCUUUAUACUAACGGUGGUACACGUGUUUCAAUCUUAACCGUCAAUUCGUUCUUUGUUAAAUUUCUAUCCAAAAUUUGAAAAAUCCCACCCGAAUUAUUAAAAAAUCCACCCGAAUUAUUAAAAAAAUCCACCCAAAUUAAUAUAACCCAAAACCCCCCAAUUAAUUCACUUAAUUUCAAAUCAAGAGACUAGCUUAGUAGCAUCAUUUCCCCAAUCUUCUUCCCCAAAUCAUUCUCAUUCUCAAGUGAAAUUCCCCUAUAGUCAAAGGCCGAUCAAGCAUCGUCGCAAUCCAACCUAUUCAAGCUCUAAAACGAGCUCAAAGAACUGACCCUUCCCAAAUCGAAGCUCAAGACUCAAAAACCUUAAAUCGUCUCAUCAAAACAGAUCUAAUUGCAGCGUACAAAGAACUUCUACGACAAGACCUUUGCGAUUUGGCCCUCAAAGUAUUACCAGCCGUUCAAUUGGAAGGGUUUAUGAAUUGAUGAAAAAUAAUGGAUGGGGUUCUAGAUUUGAGAUUGAUGAAUAUGUAGUUAAGGUUUUAAGAGAUUUGGGAAAGAAGAAAUGGUUGAUGGAGUUGAUCAAUAAUUACAGAGAUUGUCGAGAUUAGUUUAGGGGAAAUGUUAAAUUUUGACAACUUCCACUGAUUUUGUUUUGCANNNNNNNNNNNNNNNNNNNNNNNNNNNNNNNNNNNNNNNNNNNNNNNNNNNNNNNNNNNNNNNNNNNNNNNNNNNNNNNNNNNNNNNNNNNNNNNNNNNNNNNNNNNNNNNNNNNNNNNNNNNNNNNNNNNNNNNNNNNNNNNNNNNNNNNNNNNNNNNNNNNNNNNNNNNNNNNNNNNNNNNNNNNNNNNNNNNNNNNNNNNNNNNNNNNNNNNNNNNNNNNNNNNNNNNNNNNNNNNNNNNNNNNNNNNNNNNNNNNNNNNNNNNNNNNNNNNNNNNNNNNNNNNNNNNNNNNNNUUUUUUUUUUGGGUAGAAAUUUAUUAAAUAUCGGGUCGGCUGAUAGGAUUAAGACACGUGUAUCACCGUUAGUAUAAAGGGUAUAUAUGCACCAAAAUUUGGACGGUAAGGGUACUAACAACCUAAAAGUAUAACGAAGGGUAUAUACAUACCAUUUACGAUAGUUCGGGGACAUAUAUGUCCUUUUUCCCAUUGUGAUAUGUUAGAAGCUAUAAUGUUUUUCCAUCUCCUCUAAAUGUUAUUGGUGGUUACUUCUUAUAGUCUGUUGAGUCUUUGGGAUGCAAUCUUAAUGAUAUAAACCUUGUUUUUAGUGGAUAGUGGUUUCUUUUCACUGACAUUGUAUCCACAUUAAUAACAAAAAAUUUCUUUAGUCCAUCUAUGUUUUCAAAUAUUUCUUUAGGCAGCCGUCAACGUGAUGUCAUGGGGACAAUCUUAUGCAGUUUCGAAGAGAUUUCAUAGUAGAAGUAAGAAGAUCAAAAUAAAUAUUUUCUACUAUUAAAUCUCCCAAAUCUCUUGGAAGCUGCAUCGAGUUAAUCCCAUAACCAAGCCUUGCAGUACUCCAGCUUUAAUAAUACACGAUUUGAAAAUUUUAUUGAGAGUACAAUUAUUGUUCUUCUAAAUUAAAAUCUCUGGAAAUUUCUUUGAAGCUGCAUAACACUUUCAUCUUUUGAAUCCCACUUUAAAAAAUAUUAGGGAUAUUUCUCUUUUACUAUUGAAUAAAGAUAUUCUCCUAAUUGUGUGUGAAUCUAGAGUCAUGUGAUAAAACAAGACUAGGAUGUGGGGUGGGGGAUGCAUUGUGUUCUAUUAAAAACUAGUCGACUAGAAUGGACGUUUUCUGUAUCUGCAGAUAAACUCAAUAACUUCAGACUUCAGAGUAGUAGUUAGAUGUACCAAGAUAUAUGAAGUAAAGUAAAAUCGACAUAGAUAAUUUUUAUACUAGUUUGCGUACUGAUGUGGUACCUACAUCCAAUCUCCUUGAGCAACAAAGUUAUAAUAUUCCUUCUCAGUUUUCAGUCGACUACAAUGGUGGUUUUAGAAAUCAUUCACCAACAACGAUUUUCUCUGAACUCCUUUCAGUCAAUUACAACUGUGGUUUUAGAACUCUGUUCACCACCAACAAUUUUCUCUCAAACCUUUGGUUUUCCAAGCCCUCCAAAGAAACUUAACUCCUGACACAACUUUUCUCUUUUCACCUCAGACUUUCUUUUUCUUUAAUGCAAUAGGAUAACUCUGUGAUAGAAGUCUUUUGGAGCGAUACAUAUCCCAAAGAAUAAGUGGAUCUAGAGUUGAUAUGAAGACUUCCAUUUCUAACUUGUAAUGGUAUCAUAGUUACUGUAUAUACUUAGUUCAUCAAACAAAACGAAUACUCACGAAAAAGAAUUUUUCUGGAACUUGAUAUUAUGUCGGUUUCAAUAUAGUUAUGCGGAAUCUUAAUUUGGAACAGGCAUGAUCAGGUUGGAAAUGUAUAAUUGACUUGUCUCUUUUGUCUACCAGGUGCAAACUUACAGAAGAUUAUUGAUGACAGCUGUACAGAAGUUGAUUCAAAUUCAUCUGAUUUUUGGGUGAUGGUAGCAGCACUGAAGGUAACUUGCAUUUUCUUGGAAAAACAAUAGUAGGAAGAAAGGGGGAAAACAAGUUAUACAAUUAAUGCAGCUCAGUUAGUUGCAUUAACCUGAUUAAAAGAAGAAUUCAUGAGUUGACAGCUCUACUUAAAACAUGAUUUUGCCUGCUGAUGUUUUUGUUAUUCUUGUCCAUUUCUUUAGCUCUAAAUAGCAAAUUGAUGUCUAAAUCAGUCCAUACAUUUGAUAGCUUUAAGUUGAUUGUAAAGUGUCGAAGUACCAGUUCCACUGGUUCUUCUCUUGGUGAGGCUGCUUGUACAUGUUUUAGUUUCUUCAUUUAAAUUUUCCUUGUGUGCCUUUUCCUUCAAAAAGUGCCUUCACUAAGUUCUUUACCCGAGUAAUGCUAGGCCAAAGGCUUUAGCUUUGUCCUGUAUAGUGCCUAUGGUCCUUUUAACCUCUGUGUCUAGGUUGCUAGACCACAUUUGCACUAGAAAAUUUGAGUUGCAAAGUUGUCUAGAGAAGUGUAGAAUAUUUUGGGAACUAAUUUGAGAUUCCUUGAAAAAUAAUCUUCCCAUUAGUCAAUGUCAUUCUUUUAAUUUGUAUAUGCAUUAUUCUAUUAGGAUCCACAGGAAACUAGCACCUUAUCUCUCCUUAUUUUACUUCAAAAGUUUGUUCUUUUUCUUUUGCAGCAACUAAAUAAUCGUUGGCAACCUGUAUCAAGCAGCCUACUUAAGUUCCCUUAUUGAUAUUUCUUUGCAUUGGUUGAAAUUGGUGAUCAAUGUGAUUUAUUGUUUUUCUCUCUCUAGGAGUUCAUAGCUAAUGAAGGUGGUGGGGAGACACCUCUUGAGGGGUCGAUACCAGAUAUGACAUCAUCAACUGAGUUAGUGGUUUAAGUUUCUUCACAACACAUUAAUUUUUUUAUUAAAAUUUACAGGACUUCGUUUAUUGAUGCUUAUACUGUUGACUCUAUUGCAGAUUGUAUGUAAACUUGCAAAAAACUUACCAAGCCAAGGCCGAGGCUGAUUUUCUUGUUAUGGAGCAAAGAGUCAGGGAUUUACUUAAGAAAAUCGGUAGGGAUCCAGCCAGCAUAUCCAAGGCAAACAUAAAGAGCUUCUCUAAAAAUGCAAGGAAGCUUGCUGUAAGGGCAUUUCCCCUUUCCCUUUUCAUUAGUUGAAUGCUCAUUCAUCUAGAAUUGUUUAUUUGUGCUACGUGAAUCUUCUUUCAGUUUGACAAUUCGGAACACAUUGUAACUCUGAUACAGAGAGAUUCCCCUGAUUUUAAGUUUGUGAUCCCGUCUGUUUUUCGCUUUUCUCAAAGCUCUUUUUUGUCUCUAACCCUCUCCUCCAAGUGGUAAAAUUUGGCUUCAUUCUGAGGAGCCAUCUAGAAAAGACGCUAAUUGUUAAAUGGGUCACCUUGCUUAGCACGUGCCUUCUAGGUCCUCCACUACGGCUACAAAGGGGGUGGGAUCCUGUCAGGCAGAGGGUGCUAGGUUGGAAACUCACAUUUCCUGGUCUUGCCCCACCUGUUGAUUCAAGCAGUUGUCUGAAAGUGCUCAAUGGUUCAGAAGAAAAACUAUUUGCUUCACUAAGUGUCUUCAGCUACUCUGUUGGGGGAAUAAUCUUAAAAUCUCCUCCUCCUACAUGCAUGAUUAAUGAUUUUGGUGGUUGAUUUUGUUGUUAUGUUAGUGAUAGGAUAUUACAAUAAUGAUGCUUUAUUUUUUCAAUAUAUAUCAAGGUGAUGACUGUUGGAACCAAAUUUUCAAGAAACUUACUGACAUGAUGAUAUGCAUGUUUUGUGAUCUUAAAGAUAACAAUGAUUCCCACCACUAAUUGUCAGCAAACUCCAUUUCAAAUUUGAGAUCCUUAUUUCUGAAUGGAUGUUUUAGUUUCUAGUCAUUAAAUUUUCUCUUUUAAUUAUGUCAGGUUUGCAGAUAUCGCCUCAUUGAGGAGGAGUUCAACUCUCCUGUCCAAUCAGAGUUACAGAAGUAUCUGACAGAUGAGGAUCAUGGGUAUGUAAUUGCUUACUGUAGGAAUAUGGUUUGACAUGGUCGAAUCACUUCAAGUUGGCAAAAUCAUCUGUGAUAUAAAUUGAAGUAGAAAGGGCUUCUUGGGAUCAUUUAAGCUAUUUGAACCCACAUGAUCCUUUCAUGAUACUUUGAUUGUUUUGUGAUACCAAAUAACAGGACUUUGCAAGAAGCCAACUCUGUUAAAGUACUUCCUGAAAAGUAAGUUUAUCCAAGCUAAAGCCCCCUGCCAUUUCGUGGUAGAUUUCUUUUUCUGGAUCCAUUUUCCAGGGCUUCUAAUGAAGUAACAUAUGCAGUUCCAAAUGUUGAAAUAUAGAUUUUAAAGUCAUAAUUUAGGUUAUCAUGACCUUUCUGUUGAAGUAGGAGUAUUUCGAGUUCUUUAAAUGAAUCUCUCUUCAAGUUGUCUGCGUACUUGACUUGAUGAAGUGCACUAUUUAGUCUAGAGGCCUCUAUGUUAUCAGCCAACUAGGAUUUGAUUGAAAACUACUUUGCAAGUGAUUCUCACUUUUUGUUAAGCAAGACAGAGAGAGCAAAAAGGUAAUAAGAAGUCAUAUGACUAAAUUCCUAGUGAUGCUAAUAAAAGCGUAAGUGGAAGCUUGGUAGGAAUAAAAUAAGCAUUGCCUUGUGGAUGAGAAGUUGCUGAUUCAUAUUAUAUAAAGUCUUUUUUGGUUAGAUGACUAUAUUUAAUUAAGCAAGGAUUAGGAUGGAGUAGGGGGGGGGGGGGGGUAUUNNNNNNNNNNNNNNNNNNNNNNNNNNNNNNNNNNNNNNNNNNNNNNNNNNNNNNNNNNNNNNNNNNNNNNNNNNNNNNNNNNNNNNNNNNNNNNNNNNNNNNNNNNNNNNNNNNNNNNNNNNNNNNNNNNNNNNNNNNGGGGGGGGGGGGGGGGGGGGGGGGGGGGGGGGGGAGCUAUAGUCCACUUAGUAUAUAUAAAUAAUUUAUCAAGAAUCCGGUGAACUUGCCUUUUGUAGACUUCAGAACCCACAAUCUCUAAAUCCUAGCGCUGCCCCUGGGAUGGAGUUGCUUCUGAAGAGUUACUUUGUUUGUUUCUGUUGGUUACCUUACACUUUGUCUUAAAUGUCUUUUGGAGAUAGUGUAUUUUCUAGUUCUUGCGGUAGUCAUGCUGAUAGUGCACUGGAGCACCACUUAUUCAUAUCAAUGGUACCUUGUACGAAGAAAUGGUAAUCAAUGGUUAAUUGGGAAAAAAGUAAAAUAAAAGAGAGUUGUGAAAUACUUUUAUUGCUAGACCUAGAACUGCUGCCUACUUGGUCAUUCAGGAUGCUUGACUGGGAACUGGCAUUAUGUUUUUCAGCCAAAAGAUAUUUGACAGUCCAAUCUUUUGUUGGUCCUGGGUUGACUUGAAAAAUAUUAGUGAUGUAAUAUUGAUCAAGCUGAGAAAUAUUUGGGAUGUAAUAUUGUUUAAGCUUUGUUUGAAAUGCUUUCCACCACAAAGUUAGGAUGUGGAAUCAGAGAAACACUGGCUACAGUUAUAGUAUUCGAUGCGUAGUGGAAAUGAUGAUAGACACUCGGUCUUUGAAGCAAUAUAGCCGUUGGGAUGCUGUAAAGUGGUUUGUUGUAUUAACAAUGACUCUCUGAUGUAUUUGUCAGUUCUUUUCCCAUGAGUGGACCACCUUUGGCAUCUGAAUGUAAGGAUAAAAAAAGGAAGUUUAAGAAGAGUCUGACUUGAGAUAUUAAUUGUUGUAUAAAGGAGUUCCCGAAUUAAAUCUCUUCCCACCCUUCUUCUUUUUCAAUUUAUGUUUCAUAUUGAAUGAAAUACAUGUUGGCCAAAAAGGAAUAUUUCCUCAUUUAUUUUCUUCUGUUAAUUUGAACCCUGUAACAAAGAAAAUUUUAAUCUUCUGCUUUACUCAGUCCGCUGAUAGUUGUCAACAUGAAAAACUUUCCAAGUGCAUUCAUUCUGCAGUAUAUUUAUUUGUUCAUUUAGUUGAUAUUCUUGUAGACAACAGAUACUCUGUGUGCAGAAUGGACACUCAAAGCUUAUCUUUUUGUGAAUUUGUUAAAAUUUUGCAUAAGAACUCUUUCAUUUGGAACUUUUUUCUACCCCUUUUUAUGACAGUACUGCUGCGGGUCUUUAUAUUCUUCUUCGAGCAGCUGAUCGGUUUGCUGUUAACUAUAAUAAAUUUCCUGGUCAAUUUGACAGGUAAAAGCUGAUGUUUUUCUCAUCCAAACAAUUUUAUCUUUUUGGAAAAGUUUAUUAUGGCUCACUAACCUUAAGAAAUAUUUUGGUAGUGAGAUGGAUGAGGAUAUAUCCCGGUUAAAAACUACAGCUGUUGGCCUACUCAAUGACCUUGGUUGCAAUAGCUCCGCCUUAUCAGAGGACCUUAUUAAUGAGAUGUGCCGGUAUGGUGCUUCUGAGCUUCAUGUCGUGUCUGCCUUCGUCGGAGGAGUUGCAUCACAAGAAGUAAUCAAGGUUUGGAUCUCCUCCAAAUAUUUUCAUCUUAAAUAUUGUUUUUCAUCAAAACUUCUAGUUUACUGGACAUAUAGCUACGUGCCAUAGGAGCGGUAAUCUGAGGUAUAUUAUGUUGUGUUUACUGCAGCUCAUCACGAGACAAUUCAUUCCCAUGUCCGGGACAUUCAUCUUUAAUGGGAUUGAUAACAAUUCCCAGCUGUUGUUGCUAUAGUCUCCAAAUUUACAGGCAUGUCGUUUCUCUCACUUUUAGGCUGUGGUUUUAGGUUCGAUGGAACUGAUAGUUUUUCGCUUUCACUCCCCUUGGCAGAUUGCAUGUUUGACAGAUCUCAGUCUUUGUGUUUUUUCAGAGCUCCAACUUUGCAAGUGAAAAGCAAAGUUGCCAUACUUCUUUGAUUAGCAGUAAAUUUAGGAUCAAUGAAAGAGGUUUAACAAGAAAGUACUAUUUCCAGUUUUGCACACAAACAAUAUUAUUUCCAAGGGAUGAAAAAUGCUACUUUUCAGUUGUAAGUAAAGAGUUUAACUUCUAUACACUAAUACGUAGUUGAUUGGGAGUUUCUUCAUCUCGACCCACCAAUGAAACCAGAGUCUACAGAGUUGGUUAUUUUUCCCCGAUUUUCCCCUUCUUCAUUUUCUUGGUUGAUUAUUCUCAAGGGAGGAGGAAACUCAGUACCAUAUGCUUGGCAAUCCUUGGUAGAGCUUUAUAACUUAUUUAUGAUUUCGUGCUUAACACGGUAAACAAACAAAUAGGUGGUCUUUCCAGUUAGGUUAAACAAAAGCUUUCCCCUCACAUCUCGGUCACUUUUACCUUUUCGUUAAUUUGUAAUUAAAAAAUAAUAGAAAACCUUGACAGCUAAAUCAGUUACAGACUUACAGUAAUUGCCAAUGUUGUGUUUAAAUUUAUAUUACAAUGGACUGAGAAUGGAGGUUUAUACUGAAAUGAUACUGGCAUGAUAAUGCAUAUCGAGUUAAAAUAGCUUCAUAAAAAUAUGUUAAUUUUCUUAGUGACAUCUCUCUCUCUCUCUUUUGGUUUUCUAUGACUAAUUCAGAUAUGGGCCACGUAAGGUCCAUUUAAGGGGGAAGUGUCCCUUAGCAUGAUUUUUCUGUACUUAGAGCUCGAACCUAAGCCUUUAAUUAAAGGCGAAGGAAUCUUAUCCAUCCCAUACAUGAUACGACCCUUGUUGGUCUCUUUCGUUUUGAACUCUCUGAAAUGCCUAAAUUAAUGGGAAAUUGUACAUGUCACUUUCUCUAAAUUAAUGGGCUAGUACCUAAAUUUCUUGCAAGUGUUUCAAGUCUUCCAGAUGCACUAGGCAAAUAGCAGAGACAAUUAUAAGUAAACUGGAUAUAGAAGAAAUAACAAGUAAAUAUUGAAUUUCAUAUGACACCAUAAAAGUAGUAAACAAGUUGAGAAAACUAAUGUCACAUCAUAUUUUUAUUGGGAAAAAAAAUAAAUACAAUUGCGAGUGUUAAGUCUAAAGAUACAAGCCUACUUUCUGGAUUUUGUAGUACCAUAGGGUUGAAAAUCAUAGGAAAAAAAGAUGACAAGAUAAAGAAUUAGUCAGAAAAACUGAAAAAUUUGCCCAUUAUACACAAUUGACAAUUUAUGUGAUUAUCUCUGAUUUUUCAUGUCAUUAAUUAGUCAAUGCAUUGAGACCUUUUUCUUGCUCACAUAGGAACUUUGACAAUUUGAAUGACUUAAAUACUUGUAAUAUGAUAUGAAAAUUGAAAAAUAGAAAACUAUUGAGAAGUUGGUGUGAUAUAACAUCAUUUUAUACUAGUUAAUAUACCACAUAAUUAGGUUGUUUCAAGUCUAAAUUAUUUAUCUAAAUUUUGAUGGAUAGAAUUACCAGUAUUUGAACGAGGUGGAAAAUUUGACAUGUCUAUUCAGAGGAGGCGUUGUAACACUCCGAGGUGGGUAGUUUAGGUAUGGGUUGAUGCCUCCUAAAGAGUAAUGGAUGCAUGUGAAAAUAGCCUCAAGCAGAUAUUCUGCCCAUGAGCGUAAUGAUAUAAUAAGUUUGCUUGCAUGAGUAUUGUGAGACCUACUGGUCGAACAAAGAUGAAAGUUGGUCACUUGGUCAUAGUUAUUGGGGACCCUCGAAAGAGCUUUUCCUCAACGAAUCAAUACAUCAACAAUAACAUACUAAGUGUAAUUCAAUAAGUGGGAUCUGGAGAGGACCAUGUAUACACACCCUUAAUCCUACUUUGUGAAAGUGGAGUAGUUGUUUCCGAUAGACUUUUGGAAAUACAACAAUGAAAUAUAGUCAUGCUGAACAUAAUGGAGAAGAGAACACUAACAACAACACAUAAUAUGAUAGCCGAAGCAAAGAAAAUAAAAAGUAAUAAUAAGAUCGAAAAACAAGAUAUUAUAUGAAUAAUAAUAAUAAUACAAAUAUUUUUUGUCCAAAAAAAAAAACAUGCAAUUUUGUCUCAUAUCUAAUAUUCCGGUGGAUUCGAAUUAUAACACGAAUACACACUUAGCACUAUCACUUAAAAGAAUAAUUUCAAGGUAUAUAAACUACAUAUUCUCGAAAAUAUUAAUUAAUCAUAUGUAUUUUAUCACCUAAUUAUGAGCGUCAUUAGGUGGAGAAAUGACUUUGUAUUAUAUUUGGCUAUAAUUUACUUGGUGUGGCCACAACUUUUUAAAAUAUUUUUUAAAAUUGAUCUAAAAAGAGUUGUUAGAGACAUAAUAAUGUAUGGAGUACAUUGAUGUAACAAUUUGAUGAUGUUAUAAACGAUCACAUCUAAACUUUUUCCCACUCAAUGUGUAAUUGGUACAUUGAAGUCAUUUUUCAUAAAAAAAUAUUUUUCUAGAACAUGAAAAGUGAAAUAUUUUUCAAAAUCAAUCAAUUAGAGUGUUUUUGAUGAAAUUUUGAGUACUAGAGUGAUUAAUAAUGAUGUUUAAGUUUUAGUUGAAAUAAUUAAUAUGAAGUUAAAAUGUUAAGAUAGAUAUAGAGAAAAUAACUUCUUCGCCCAUAAGUAAGUAAGAGCAGAUCGUAUUCAGGAUUUCAAGAGGGUAAUUGUACUAUUAUGAAAUGAUGGAUUUAAGAUCUAAAUUUAAUUGGUUUGACUUAAUAUAUAGUUAUAUUCUUCAUCGAAGAUAUUGAGAUCGGUUGAACCCAUUCACCUAAUGUUAUACCAUCCGGUACUCAUAGUUUACCAUGCUAAAACAUUUAGAAAUUUCUAAUGUGACAGACUUGAAACUUUUGAAAGAUUUCACGUGUACUGAACUCAAUAUUUUGUUGUUUAAAUUUUAUAUAUGUAUUAAAUUUUUUUAUUACAUAGCGAUAAAUAUUCAAUUGUGAAUUCAAUUAUUAAGUUGUAUGUAUAUAAAUUUUAACUCAUCGCAAAAUUCAUAAAUUUUAAAUCUUAAAUUUAUUGGUACGACGAAACACACUCUCAUUAUCAAACCUAAAAGUGGAAAAGGUGAAAAGGAAUAUUGACUUAAGAGAAACUAAAGAGAGAAAUUAUGACUGAUGAUGAAGGAGAACAAAUAAUUAGAUAACGCGUUUUUUUGUACUAAUAUCAACUUUCUGGUAGUACUAAUUUUCAUCAAAUUUUCUUGCUUUUACCGACUAAGGUUGUGGUGGAGUGGUAAGUACUUUUUUAUUUUAGUUUUGGAUUUGAAUCCAUCUGAAUAUAGAGUCAUCUUAUAAAGGGAGCCUCUAAAUAUGGGAUUUCUCGGUACGAACUCGAAUUUAGUCAAACUCCAAUAUGAAUACCGAACAUCAGGUGGAAAACCAAAUUUUUUGUCCCAUAAAAGGAGCACCCAUUUUUUUCUUUUCAUACAAUAAUAUUUUCUUUUGAAAAUGUAUAUUUUAUCAUCAAAAUAUCCGAAAGAUAUCUAUCUAUCCAUAUAUAAACUCCUUGUAUGCAAGAAAUUAUAAUUAUGAAAACAUAAAUCAAGUUACAUGCUAUAAUACAUAAAGAUGACCUCACGUAAAUUUCUUACACUGACGAUAUAUAUAAGUUAUUUAUUUUUUAAAAAAAUAUGGAAAGUCAACGUAAAGAUUAUACAAUGAUGUUUGGUUUUACAUGUAUCAUGAAAUUGAUAUUUGUGCUUAUUUGGUUGUCAAUGUAAAAGGGGAUUGUCUAAAGACUGCGCAAAUGUUAUUGUACAUUAUAUUUCAAUUCUUUUGCAUGAAGAAAUAAAUAAAUAAAAAGUAUAACAAGAGACUAGCUAGUGUAUAGAUGAGAUAAUAAAAGAGUUUUAGCCUUUUUAGGAUUGUGUUGGUCCCAUGCAUGAGGCAUAAUGAUAAAAAGUGGUAAGUGGUUGGCUAAUUAGUAGAUAUAGUAUCAAAGCUUCAACAAUAAUGUCUGGGUUCUCAUUUUGUGUUCAAUGAACUACUUUACCUUACAGUAUUGUGGUGGAAAAAAAGAGUGCUUGAAAAUAUCGGAGAAAAGUGAAUAAUGGUUAGUAAUGUGUCUUGGUUAGAUUGAUGUGGAACAUGUGAUGAGUGGAUCUUUGAUCGAUUUGGGGCAUGAACCAAUGUGAAUUGUGUGUGUAGUGGCCUAGUGGGGAGCCGUACUACUGUCAAUUUUUCUUUUAAGUAUUAGUCUUGCGAUCAUAGUACUCUCUCGAAACUCAAAAGUUGUGUUAGAAAUAUAGCUAUUGGAUUGGAUCAACUCAUUAUAAAGGGGUAUUAAUUAUCUCAUUAAUUAGCUUGUUCUCCUAAACUCUACCUAUAAUGUAUAAAUAUAUCAUAGAUUUUUUUUUUUUUUAACCAUGAUAUCACGACUAGGGUUGACUAUCCAAAAGAGAUAAAAACAUUUUGCAUCCUUAAAAGAUAUCUACGUUGUGGACUAAGGAAAUUUAUCUAUUUUGUGAGAAUUCCCCGUGACCGAUGGCACGAAUCAUGGUUGUUGCAGAUCUACUUCUGCUAAGCAAUGUAACACGAGUGCCAAUUGACUCUCCUUGAACAAAGAUUCCUCAACGGUGUGGUUGGAUGUUGAUAGGAUUGUAGCUAGAGAAUCAUCGAGUAAAAGCCAUGAAAUAGAAAGUAUCCCAAUAGAAAAAAAUCCNNNNNNNNNNNNNNNNNNNNNNNNNNNNNNNNNNNNNNNNNNNNNNNNNNNNNNNNNNNNNNNNNNNNNNNNNNNNNNNNNNNNNNNNNNNNNNNNNNNNNNNNNNNNNNNNNNNNNNNNNNNNNNNNNNNNNNNNNNNNNNNNNNNNNNNNNNNNNNNNNNNNNNNNNNNNNNNNNNNNNNNNNNNNNNNNNNNNNNNNNNNNNNNNNNNNNNNNNNNNNNNNNNNNNNNNNNNNNNNNNNNNNNNNNNNNNNNNNNNNNNNNNNNNNNNNNNNNNNNNNNNNNNNNNNNNNNNNNNNNNNNNNNNNNNNNNNNNNNNNNNNNNNNNNNNNNNNNNNNNNNNNNNNNNNNNNNNNNNNNNNNNNNNNNNNNNNNNNNNNNNNNNNNNNNNNNNNNNNNNNNNNNNNNNNNNNNNNNNNNNNNNNNNNNNNNNNNNNNNNNNNNNNNNNNNNNNNNNNNNNNNNNNNNNNNNNNNNNNNNNNNNNNNNNNNCCAAAAAACAACCCCCCCCCCCCCCCCCCCCCAUAGGCCUUCUCAAUACACAUUAAUUCGAGUCUCAAAUCCAGAUACCUGACACUGAGUGGGAAAUCAAACAUGCAUGCAUGUGUGCUACCGUUAUCUAUUUCAUGAGUUGUGACUAUACAUAUAUGACCAACUUUGUUGUUGUCACUUAUGUGUAUCAUUUUCAAUAAUCACGACACAUUAUUUCUGUCCCUACUCCAUUCUUUCUUUUUCACAUUCUUGUUGUUUUGUAAAUCAAUUUCACUAAACACCGCGGUUUAUGUUCAUACAAGAGUUUUGAGAUACAUAUAUGUUACGUUACUUGAAUGAUAAUUACACGUAACACUAUUUAGUAAACAUUGAUUACUAGGAAGUACUUAAGAUAUAUAUAACCAAUUAUAACAUGUCUGAUAGUAAUAUAAUGCCGCUAUCAAUAUUAUUAUAUAACAUUAAAAUAGAAUAGUUCAAAAUAAACGAAUUUUAUCCCUAAAAGAUAAUGUGCCUUAUCACAUUGUCGGUAUGUACGUUUUGCCAAACGAUCGAUCAAUUUUAUGUGACAUAACAAUUUAUAUUCAUUAUCAUCUAUGUAUUUAUAUAAUUAUGUUACUUAAACGAUGAUUACAUGUGACAUUAUUUAAUAAAUAUUAUGACAAUAUGUUAGUAGUAUAAUACCUUUAAUUUCCGCUGACCACUCUUAAUGUAUAACACUAAAAUAAAAUAGUUCAAAAUAAGUGAAUUUGGUCCCUGGCUAAUAGACAACAUGCCUAAUCACAUCAUAUCAUCGAAAUGUUCGUUUUGCCAAAGGAUCAAUUUUAUGUGACAUAACAAUCUAUAUUCUUAAUUUAUCAUCUAUUUAUUUUUAUACAAUUACACUAUUUAAACGAUAACUAUAUAUGACACUACUUAAACAAACAUUAUUACAAUAUAAUUGAAUAAUAGUAUCUUUAAUUUUCUGUGAAUCACUAUCAAUAUAUAUAACACUCGAAUAAAGUAGUUCAAAUUAAGUGAAUUUCGUCUCUAAGAGACAACAUCAACAUCCCCUAUCACAUUGUUGAGUACUUGUACAUUUUGACAAAGGAUCAAGUUUAUGUGACAUAACAAUCUAAAUUCUCUAUCAUCUAUAUAUUUUUAUACAAUUACGUUAUUUAAACGAUAGCUACAUGUGACACUAUUUAAUUAAAUAAAUAAUAUCUUAUUACAAUAUAUCUGAUAAUAAUAUCUUUAAUUUUCUAUGGAUCACUAUCAAUAUAUAUAACACUAAAAUAAAGUAGUUCAGAAUAAGUGAGUUUCCCAUUGUUUAGGGAAAGAGUCAAUUACAUUCCUUUAUCUUAUUGUUAGAAUAUGUACAAUUUACCAAAGGAUAUUUUAUGUAACUUAACAAUCUACCAUAUAUAUAGAUAUUCUUUACCAUAUAUUAUAUGUAUAUUUGAAGAAAACAAAAAAAACAUAAAAAAAGGUAUAAUAUGCUUUUAAGGAAAACAAGUCUGAAAUUGCGUUAUCGAAUAUAUAUAGGAAUUGCAACAAAAUCUUCUUUUCUUUUUUAACCAAAGUGAUAUGUCCAAACUAUAUCUUUGUCAUUGAUAGUUAUGGGAGAAAAUUUGGAUUUUAAAUUAUCAAUAGAGUUGUAAACAAAUUAUAAUACGCGUUUGGGAAGCUGACAAAAAAAAUGGUGUGACAUGUUUUUUUUAAUACUGAUUCGAGUUAUUUCUCUUUCGAUGAUGAAGUUUAUCUCCCAUCAUAUUACUAGCCGAAUUUGACUUCUGUUAUUUUCAUCGAGGUCAUAUCUAGUAUUCAGAAUUUGGUGAAAAAAUAAUCUCUCCCCCAAUUUUUUUUUUUACUGACUUACAAAGAAAAUAUUUUGUUGCAAAUGAACAAAAUAAUAUUGAAAAAUUGUCCAUAUGUAAAAUCAAAUUAUUAAUAUGGCCUUUGGUUCCACUAUACAAAAAUUCCAAAUCAUUUUCUUAAUAAAUAAUAAUUAUCAAAAUUAUAUGGUAAGAUCGAUAAAUAAAUUAAAAGAUGAUUUGACAUUAAGCUAUGUGAGUAUAAUUGCCAAAAAUGAUAAAAUAGAAGGAAAGUGUAAGACAACUCAAUUGUGAUCCAAUGAGUGGCUGCCACGUAAUCUGAAAUUUGGUUAAGUGUAGACUGUAGAGUAACUUAUUUGCACUUCAUUAUGAAAUCGCGUCAUCUAUACGUAUUAGGAUAGAAAGUUAGUAGGCAUGAAGUAUUCGAAAAUUUAAAUUUGUUGUUAUUUGUCAUAUAUAGUAUUAGUUUUAUUCAUAUAGAUCUUCAUGUGUACAUGAAAUUUCUAUCAUCAUAUGUUGUUUAUUAUAUUUCGAUCAUCACAUUAUGAUAUUGUUAGAGAAAAUAUUUUUAUUUGAGGUGAGUAUUAUGGACGCUUUAAAGUUAAAUUCACCCCAUUAUUCUUGUUUUAACAUAAUAAUAUAAACAAAAUUAUAGUUUUUAGCUCACAUAAUUUAUUUUGUCUUUAAGAAAUUUAAUUCUAUUUUGAUUUAAUUGCUAUAUUUAUUCGUUGUAUAUAUGUUCGCUCAAUAGAACCGUGUUCAUGAAUAAAGUCACAUGUGUUACCAACUUGUAUCAAUUGUAUUUAUUCGCUCUAAUGGAUAUAUUACUUGUAUUCUUCCGAUCUAAUUUUAGUUGUAUUCAUUUGGCUCUACAUAUCAAAUUGUUACCAACUUGUAUCAUUUGUAUUCAUUUAUUCUAGUUUCAGUUAUAUUCAUUCACCCUAAUGUAUCAAUUGUUACCGACUUGUACACUUGUAUUCAUUUUCUCUAUUUUACUUUUAUUCAUUCGUAUCAACUAUGUAAUUGUUUAUAACAACGUGUAUAGGUGAUAAGCGUUCACUUAAUUUCGUUAUAUUAAAACAUACAAUCACGAUAAGUUAUAUUCCCCGUUCAACAUUAUUUUAAUAUAUCACAAUCGUAUUUAAUACGAUACACUAAAAUACAGUGAUACAAAUAGUUAUUGUUCACUAUAUUUGUGACUCCAUAGCAGAGAAUAACAAUAACAUAAAUAAUUGAGGAGGAUUUAUAUAAUUCAAUAAUUAACGAAAAAAUAUUCAAGUACUAUUAUCUCGAGUUCGAGCUUAGGGUAUGGAGAAAAUCUUGUUGGAAGCGUUAUCACUGAAUGAGCCUUGCAGAAAAUCGUAUUUACUCUUUCUAUUUCUAACCAUCAGGGAUAUUCAUCCUAGAUUAUUCCAGCGAAUAGCAGAAUCGUAGCUAGGGAACUAUACUAGUGACCUACCCAAUUUAUUGUAAAAUUUUCGCGAUCAAUGAUUGGACCAUGCAAACUAGAAAUGCUUUUUCUUAACUAAAGAAAGAGAUUACUCGAUCCAGAUUUAGUCGGGACUCCAAUCAUUGGAAAAAAAAGAAAAAAAAACAAGAAAAGUGAUUUUGUUUAUCCAUUCUUUUUGCUUAAUUCAAAAGUUUUCUAUUUAAAAUAAAAGUGAGCAAAAUUGCAAGUUGGUUGUGACAAGACAUAGUUGGUUAAUUAAUAAUUGACAAAACACGAGUGAACAUAUCAAAUGUGGAAAAAGAACUAUUACGUUUGAAAGGUAAAAAGUCACCAAAAAAGAGAUUCAUCCUAGAUUAUUCCAGCAAAUAGCAGAAUCGUGGCUAGGGAACUAUACUAGUGACCUACCCAAUUUAUUGUAAAAUUUUCGCGAUCAAUGAUUGGACCAUGCAAACUAGAAAUGCUUUUUCUUAACUAAAGAAAGAGAUUACUCGAUCCAGAUUUAGUCGGGACUCCAAUCAUUGGAAAAAAAAGAAAAAAAAACAAGAAAAGUGAUUUUGUUUAUCCAUUCUUUUUGCUUAAUUCAAAAGUUUUCUAUUUAAAAUAAAAGUGAGCAAAAUUGCAAGUUGGUUGUGACAAGACAUAGUUGGUUAAUUAAUAAUUGACAAAACACGAGUGAACAUAUCAAAUGUGGAAAAAGAACUAUUACGUUUGAAAGGUAAAAAGUCACCAAAAAACAAAGACAAUAGGGAGUCAAAGGUUUGGGAAUUCACAUGGAACGCAUCAAUUCAACAUUUAGUAAUCGCUUCGUUUUAAUCUGUUUGUCAUACUUUGUUUUAAGUUUAUUUAGAAAAAUCAUAUUUAAGAUCACAAGAUCUGAAUAUCUUUAUUACAAGAUUUAAAUUUUUUUUUUUUACUUUUUAAAUUCUAUAUCAAGUUAAAACGAUCGAGAAUAAACAAAUUAAAACAAAGGAAAUAAUUUUAAAAUAUAGUAAUAAAUGUAAUACUUUAAAUUCAAUUACCCAUUAAGAGUGUAUCUGAUAUGAAUUUGAAUUAAUUAAGUAAUCUUGAAUGUAUAUGAAAUGAUUAAAUAAUUUUUUAAAUUCAAUUAGUAAUACAAUUGAUGAUCAUCAAACAUAGAAGUAGAAGACUAUACCACCCAUUUUUCUCACCAGAAUCAUAUACUAUAUAUAUAAAAUUAAAUUACUAGACUAGACAUUGACACAAAUCUUUAAAGAUUUGGAUCAAUUUAUAUUACAAUUUCAUUUUCCUUUCACUAAGAAAUUAAAUAAUAUUACAUAAAUUUUAUUUGCGAUUCUUUUUCUUAAUACUAUAUAUUUUACUCAAAAUUUAUUUGAGUACUCGAUGAACUUUUCUAGGACCUGAGUUAGAUUUGAUGAAUCUAUUGGCAUAGAGAGCGUUUUCCCCUUUAAUAGACUCAUGUCCAUAGGGUCUCCCAUGAUCCAAUGUUAUCAUCUAAGUAAUUCAUAGGGAAAUUGUCUAAAGAUUGUUGUGGUGGUGAUAUUGUUUGUGGAGUAGAUUGGCCCAUUUCCAUACAAAUUAGUGCCAUGAAAUUUGCUUGUUGGCAUUGCAUGUUGACAAUUUCAGCUUGUGCCUUAGCCAAUUGUGCUUGAAGAUCACUAACUUGCUUUUGUAAUUGGCAAAUUGAUCCUGCACAACCAUAUACUGGAUCUCUUAGUCUUGCAUUUGCUUCAUAUACCAUGCUGCUUACAGCAUCUGCCCUUUGAGAUUCUGGUAAUUCCUAUAUAAAAAAAAAGUGAACGUAUUUAAUAGUGAUCGAAUAAAAAGACAGUCUGGUGUACAAAACAUCUCGCGUUCAUGGAUGAUUUGGGGAAAGACAAGACAGUAUGCUAAGGGGUGUGUUGUAGAGUUGUAGACAGUCUACUCUAAUGCAAGUAGUGUGAUGUAUAAUUGUAGACAGUCUACCCUAAUGCAAGUAUUAUUGACUGUUUUCACGGCUUGAAUGUAUGAUGUUUAUAAUUGCCAAUUAAAUCAAGUUGUAAAAACAACUAUAGCUAGUGCUAGUAGUAAAUUUUGAGAGAAAUAUAUAGCAAGUAAUAUCCAUCACUAAUUCGACGAGAUAUUUAGUGACAGGUAACAGGUUAACGACGAAUUUCACGAAUAAUUCUUGCUUUUGUAAUAGUGAAGUAUUUUGAUCAUCAUUUUAACUCAAGAAGCCAUAGAUAUUAUUUGGUAUAGAUAUGCUAUGAUGUAAACUUGAAAAAUAUAGAUUAUCUAUCUUUCGGUUGAUCGUCUAUAUGAAUAAUCAUUGACUAUAUUCCUUUUUUAAAACUUAUCAUGUCAUGUCAAUAUAUUAGGCAAAUACAAAUAACAAGUAUCAGAAGUUUUCUAUAUUUUCUAAACGUAUAAAUCUUUAAAAGAUUAAAACGUCUGAAAAAAAGAAGUAGAAAACUCAAUAAAUUUCGACCUUCCCGAGAAAUAGAAAAAUGAAAUAUAGAGACAUGAAAAGAGAAGUAAUUAUAUACUCCAUAUUGGAAUGAAAAGAAAGAAAAAACUUUAUUGUAAUAAUUAUAAAAAUAAAUAAAGUAGAUUGAUGUGGUUGUUGUUUCUCAUUAUUAUAGUCAAUGGAGAAAUAAACUCCUUACACUAAGAAGGGCAAUAUGAUUGAGAUAUUUCCUUGUCAAUUUCUUAUGUCUAUUUCAACCAUCAAUUUUUAGCUAGGUAUUGCUUUCCAAAUUUGCAACUAUAACCUACCUAAAUACUACUUAACUCCAAAUUUGUCUACAUUUCAUGCAUAUAUUUUUGAAAUUAUAAAAUAAAGUCUUAUUAAAUAUUAAAAUAUUCCUAAUUAAUAAUUCCCACAAAAUCAAAAGAAAUUAUAAUUAAAGUUUUUCUCAAACUAAAAACAAGAGAAUUAGAAGCUUCCCUUAUUUAUGUAUAUCAAUAAAAUUUAUUUUUAAUCUACUUAAAAAAUAAAAAUUAACAUGAAUCGAAGGGGAUUCAAUUGAAUUCCUUCCUAACAAAAAUAAACUAGACACCCAAAAAAAAAAGGCAAAUAUAUACUUUGGGAGGUAGUGUAUUAAUAACUGGUGUGGCCGAAUUCAGUAACUUUUGUUUAAAUCAUAUAGUAUUUGUACAAAAAUAUUUAUUAAAAAUGUAUAAGUAUUCAAUUAUGAAUCUAGUAAGUCGAGUUAUGACCUCCUAUUGAUAAGUAUUCAUAACCUUCAAAUUUUGACUCCAUCUCUUAAAGACGAAUACUAGUACUUGUACUUCGAGUUAUGAAUUGCUAUUCAGAAUUCAUAAACUUUAAAUGCUGACGUACCAUAUAUAUAUCAUCAGUAUAGGUAAAGACUUAUAAUAUAUACCUGCAAAAACUUAAUAAUAUUGCUAGCACCAAACACACGAUGAGCCGUAGUGAACUUAAUAGGAUCAUUUGGAGGAAAAUAAGGUGCCAACACACAUUUCUCAGCACAGCGCCGCCGUAAUAUUUUACAGGCGGCGCAAGNNNNNNNNNNNNNNNNNNNNNNNNNNNNNNNNNNNNNNNNNNNNNNNNNNNNNNNNNNNNNNNNNNNNNNNNNNNNNNNNNNNNNNNNNNNNNNNNNNNNNNNNNNNNNNNNNNNNNNNNNNNNNNNNNNNNNNNNNNNNNNNNNNNNNNNNNNNNNNNNNNNNNNNNNNNNNNNNNNNNNNNNNNNNNNNNNNNNNNNNNNNNCAGGCGGCGCAAGGGCUCACCACCACCACUGUUACUGACUGUGGUGGUGGUGAGUUAGGAGAAGAUGUAGACGAAGGCGAGACGGAUCGAGAUGAAGAUGAAGAUAUUGUGGAUUCCAUAUUUAAUUUUUUUUUUUCAAAUUUUUGAUUUUUGUAGAUAUGUGUACAAAAGGAAAAUAGUGUUUACUUGAUGUGUUCUAAGAUGGAGUGAACAAAGGGUAUAUUUAUAAGCCAAAGGAGAAAAUAAGUGGGAGUGUGAUGAUGCCAUAAAUAAUAAAAUGACGUCACUACCCUUUUGGUCUUCUUAUUUUUAUAAAAAAAAUAAAAUAAAUUUUAUAUCUUUCAUUUAUUUGGUAUUAUGAUAUGAUAAUUUGAGUCUAAUGAAAAAGUAAAAUUCAUGCAAUCGAUUUUUAUUUAUUUUGGACUGAGGCAUCGUUGUUGUUUGUUUGUUUUUCUUUUAGUCUAUAAGCUUUUUGAUCGGAGAGGAAAUUUUAAUAGUUCAGUUAGCUAUGUAAGCUUUAAUUUAUUGGCAAGAGUUUGAUUUUCUAUCUUGUAAUUUUUUACCUAGUUUUUAUUUUGUUGAAGGUUGUGGCGAUCUUUUGUUUUCACUAGUACUAGUAAAUACUCCGUCCAUCUCAAAUUAAUUACCUGGCAUGCACGUUUAUUAAGAAAAUUUUAAUAAGAAUGAGAUUUUGAUUAUUUUAUCUUUAUUUAUGUCUUAAAAUGUACUUCUACUGUUCAUUUUUACUUGUCCACGAUUUCAAACUCAUCACUUUUAGCAUAUCUCUCUAUUUUAUAUUUCUCAACAUUAAUUACUUAUUUCCCAACUAAUUCUCUAAGACCUAAGAUUGUAAGUCAAUUAAUAUUGAUAUUGUGAUAAACCACUCAUAUUAAUUAUUAUUUCUUAUAAGGCGUGUAAAGUUCAAAGUGAACAAAUAAAGAUGAACGAAGAGAGUAAUCAUCAAAUAUUUCUUCUAUUGAGAUAUUUGUGAUCUUCAAAAAUAAUUACUACAAAGAAUAAAAUAAAAUAAAAAUUAAUUUUAUCUUAAAUAUUUAAAAUAACAAAAUAUUCAAAUACAAAUUACGAAAGAUAAUUUAAAACGAACUAUUUCUAGAGAGUUCAUUGUCUUUUUGGCCUUUGCAUGUGAAAAGUCCAAAACUAGGUUUGAAUAGUUUAGCCGAUUUCUCAGAAUUAUUUUAAUAUUAGUAAUUAAUCAAUCAAGGAUGUUAAAUUAAGUCUUUAAUUAAAUAGUUGUUGUAAACCAACCUCAUGUAAAUGACUUAUAUUAAUUAAACCCAAAGUUUUUGCACUUACUAAUAUUCUUGAAAUAAAAAUAACAAUAAUAAAUAUUUGAGGAGUAAGUUUAAGUAUACAAUUUAAAAUCCAAGUGUUAUUAUUAACAAUAUUACGCGGUAUGAUUGCAAUAGAUUAUUGACCGAUAAUUUAGGGAUCAAUUUAAAAUCCAAAUAUUAGUAACAAUGUUACAUGAGACAAUUGCAACAUAUUGAUCGAUCAUUUAAGGAUCUUAGUUAGUGAUUCAAAUUGUUUUUCUUUCGAUGUUGAAGUGUCGAGAUUAACUUAUCAUGUGGUACUACUUGAAGUUGCGAAGAAGUUCUUGUGCCAAUAAAAUUAUUUAAAUAUUUAUUAAUAUAUGACUCGAAAUAAUAUUUUAAUUCCUCAUUUUUUCCAAGGAAAGAAAAAAAAAAGACUUCUUUUUUCUUGAUUAUUUUUUUAUGCAUAAAUAUUAUAUGUUGAGAAUGUGGAAAAAUUAUUGCAUGGGAAGUCAUUAUUAAUUAGGAAUUAAUUGAGAGUAAAAAAUGGGGUAGUGCUUCCUAACGACCUAUCUUUCCUUAGUCGAAUAUUUAUUAUAUUUUUCUAAGCAAUCCAAAGUGUUUCACACCUAAAAAUUGGAUAUGUUUCCUUUCUAGAAGAAUGCAGGUGAAGUUAAUUGAUAGUGAUUCGAUGCACAAAGUAUUCUGAAUUUAGAAUAAUGAAUAUCUAAGAGGGUAUAAUGUAGGGUUUAUUUGAUAUGUCGCGAUUCUACACGCAAUACAAAUUUAAGUUUUAAAUUCAAAAUUUAAAAGUAAAAUUUCACUUCAUGAAUGUUUUUGUAUACUAAUUUAUCAACUAUUCAAUUUGUUCACUUUGAAUUAUUCACAACACUAAAAAUAUAUAUUCACUUGCACCUUUAGCCUAUCAAAAGAAAAAUAUUUUUUAUCUUCAUCUUUUGUUUUUAACAUUUUUUACUUAUUCUCCAAAUGAUUUCUCAAAACCUAUGAUUAGGCAUCAAUUAUAUAAAAUUAAUAAUAAAUUACUCAUAUCAAUUAUUAUUUCUUAGUUAGAUGCAUGCAAAUUUCAAAUUGGAUAAAUAAUAAAAGCAAACAAAGAGCGUAUAAUUACUCUACCUCCCAUCCGCUCGCAACACUACUGAGAAAAACAAAUUUUGACACUUAUAAAAACAUUCAUUGGAAAUUAGCUAUUCGAUCACGACUUUCAUCAGAAAUUAGCUAGUCAAAAUAAUUUUUAAUGAAUUUUUCAUCAAAAAUCUCUUAAUAACAAGCAAAAUUGACGAAACGUCCAUCAGAAUUUGCAUUGUUUACUAAUAUAUAGUAAAUUGGUUAAUCUUUUGUGAUAUAUACAUCAUGAAGAUUUUUAAGUUCAACUCGAUUAAAAGAAAAUGGAGAUGAUUUUUUCCUUUUUCCAUCUCUCAUUGGAAAAGAAUAAACAAAAGUCCUCCAUCUUUCUUGGACUUGGAAGUCACAACUAAUAGAAAGUCAAUGGUCACUAACAAUUAAUCUUUAACAUAGAAAAUAGGAUCAAUUUUUUUUGUUGUUGGCUCUUUUUGGUUUUUGAUUGACAUUAAAAUAUAUGGCUUUAUCAAACUUCAUUAAUUUGAAACUAAUUUAUUCUCUUGCAAUUAAAUUAAGCCACGUGUAAUAUAAAAUUUGAACGUGGAAAAUAGCUGUUAUCUUGGUAUUUUGUUUUCGUUAUUUCCUUUCGAUUCUACUUUGAUCACACCUCUUUAUGGUUGAGGCCUAUCGAAAACAAUUUCUCUAUCUAAAAAAAAAGAAAAAAUCUACGUAUAUCUUAUUUCUAUACCAAAAGGAUCCAGAAUUAAGUGGUUGGCAUUUUGGGUUUCUAUAAUUAGUGAGACAGAGAGACAAUAAUUCCUACUACCUUAACCACCAUCUCAUUACGUGUCUUCAAAGUAGAAAUAAAAAAUGACAAAAUAAUAUUCAUAUCACGUUAUUUAUAUUAUUUUUUAUAAUAAAGACAAAGGUUAGCUCGUUUGGCACAUGCUUUAGAAAAAAAAAACUUCUUAAUUUUAGCUUCUUUUUUUUUUUGCCUGAUUAUGACCUUUUUUUAAAAAAAAUCAUAAUAAUUUAUGGGUAAAAAACCUAAUUAUUUAUCUACUUUCAAUGUAAUUUUAUAGAAAAUUAUAUUUUGAAUUUACAUAGCUGAUCUUUAACUUGUUCGAAAUUGAAGUACAAUAAUUGUUAUAUCCAAUAUGUUUAAUUUGACAUCGAUUAUGUCAUAAAAGCAAUAUGUUUCUAGUUCUUAUUCAUCAAGAUUCAAGCUCGAGAUUUUUUUAUAUAUGACAUUAUCCGUGCAUGAGCUCGAGAUUUUUUUUGAUAUAUGAAAUUAUCCAUGCUUCAUGCACGAAUAUUUUAUGGUGUUAGAAUUAAACUAUUCAAUUUCAAAUUAUAUAAAAGAAAGAAAAAAACAAAAGAAUAUUGUUGACUGAUUUUUUUUCCUUUGUGAAUUCACAAGUAAUUUCCCACGGUUUACACAACUUGUUAGGUAAUAGUCAUAGUAAUUUAAUGAGUUUCUCGAGUUUUUUAUUUAUUUUUUAAAACAAUUUAAUUUUCAUAAUGAUAUGAAUUAUUUAUUAUGUUUAAAUAUGAUGCAUUUCAAAUUAAAUGAGAGGUCUUCGAACCUUGUUACAAACUAUAAAGUCCUAAAUAAAGACAACCGCAAGCUCUCAUUUCCAACUCAAGUCAAAGAUCGAUCAUUCUUCGAACCUUUUGAUAUGUAUUGCACCUCCCCAAUAUCAAACAGAUCCACUAGAGAAAAAAACUCAAUUUUGCACUACUACGAUCAAUCGUUGAAUUUAUCCAAGGAAUUCAUGGGAUUUUUGUGGAUUGUGUUGCUGAAAACUAUCUAACCGUUUAAUAUUCAUAAAAAAUCCAAUUUAUUUUCUGUUAUUAUUAUUAUUAUUUGAAGAGUUAUGAAGUAUUUUUGCCACUCUAGCUUUAAUUUUGCACAGAUAUUUUAAAGUAUUUUUCAGCUAUUGUUAUAUAUAUAUAUAUAGCUUCUAUUAUAUUUUUUUUUACGUUUGUUAUGUUUUACCUGAGAUGAGUAUUUAUAAAAAUAAUUCCUCAAUAGAAAUACGAUUGCGUACACGUUGUCUUUGUAAAUUUUCAAAAAAUGAAAAUAUCAAAGUAUCUGAAUUCAUGCAAAAAAUUAUGUAAAGUAUGUUUGACCCUCGAAUCCUAUAAUUUCUGAAAUAAACAUUAAUUGUAUCUUUUAACAUUUUGUUAUAAUUAACAUGUUAUCUUUGAACAUUUUGUUAUAAUUAACAUGUUAUCUUUGACCAAAAAAUAAAACAUGUUAUCAGCAUAGCUAAUACGUCCAAAAGUACACAUCUAAUUUCUAACUUUUCAACCCAAAUGAUAGAGAGAAAAAAAUAAAUCUACUAAUUAAAUAAACUUUUUAAACUUAUAAAUUUGUCAGUGGAAGCAGUUAGACUCAAUUGCAAAGUAAAAAUUCUAGGAUGGAAAAUAUAUAUAUAAAAAAGAAAAAUUAGAUAUAUUUCGUGUGGACUUUGUUAAAGAGAAAAUAAUAUAAUAGAUGACAGUUGAGAAAUAUAUAUAUAAUUUUAAAAAAAUAAUAUUUAAGAUCUUUUAUUAUAAUUUUGCUUUAGAUCAUUAAUUCUAUUAGCCAGUACUAAUAUUUUGUAUCUUUUAAAAGAGGAAGAGAAGACUGCCAUAUGGCUUCGGAAUGGAGCCCUACACGUUAUAAAUUUAAAUUAGUCGAAUUUCAGUACAAAUAUUCGGAAAAAAAAAGGUACCAUAUGAAGCACGUCAUUGUGAUAUAUAGGAAAUAGCACGUGUACAUUUGAAAGGAAAAUUAAGUAAAAAGAACAUGUAGUGAAGGAGAUUUGAUCCCUAAUAAUUUUCUUAACAUGAUGGCCUCCACUUUGUGUUGAAAUUAAUUUUGUGGUUCUUGACCUUUUUUGAAUUUUUAUUUUUCAUCGGUGUUUAAUAUUUAUAUUGAAGUUCGAUAAAUACUAUUUGUAUUGAAGUUUGAUAAUCAUAAUCUGUAUUGAAGUUUGAUUAAAUUUGAAUGUGUGUAUUGUAGAGUCUGACGACACUUUUAAUAAGUUUUUCUUUUUUAAGAAUUUGAACCCAAAAUCUAUGAUUAAAGAUGAAGGAUAAUGUUGAUGAGAAUGAUCUCAAGUCAGUUCGAAACGAAAACUCUAAACUUCUUAUAAGACUUGAACAAUCUUCAUCCCUUUACGCAUCAGGGCGAAAGGGGGGAUAUUAAUGAAAAUAAUUCACAUCGGACUAGGACGAAAAUUCUGAUUCUUUAUAAGACUUGAAAUUUCUCUCUAAGACAUUAUUGAUCUUAGGUGAGAAAUUUUAUCAAUUUAAAUUUUGAAAACACAUUUCCAAAUAUGCAACUUUAUCAUUAUUUUCUAAGUAAUUUAUGUAUUUGAAAAUAAUCAAUUGUCUUGUUAUGCGAUAGAGUAUAUUAAAAUAUUAUCUUCUCAUUUUUCAUAGUAAUACUUUUAAUUUGAGAAUAAGUCUAAUACUAUAUUAAUAUAUCUAGGCAACAUUAUGUUUUAAGAAAUUUUUAUUUUUAAGACAACAUUUUUUUUCAUGUUCCUAUUUAUACCAAAUAAUCUCAAAAUUUUACCACUAAUUGCUUUGAGUUGUUUGAAUCUAUUUUGAAGGGUUUUUAAUUAAAAAUUGUCAAUCUAUAUGUGUAUUUUUUUUUAGAUGAAGAUGUAUCAAAAAUAAUUUCUCUAUCUUAUAGAAAUAGAAAUAAAAUCUACAUAUAUCUUAUUAUGUUGAAAUUUCAUUUAUAGAAUUAUAUUGAGUAUUAUAAUGCUAUUAUUGUAAUAAUCUAUAUAUCUAUUUACGUUUAUUUAAUGAUUAAUUUCCGAUAGCAAUUUGUUGGAGAGAUUUACAUUCUACAUCCAAAAAAAGAGAGAGCAAAAGAAGGGAUAAUUACACAAAUUAUACAAUUUAGAAUUUAGAUAACUAUAUCAUCUCGAUCAUAUUCUAAAACAAUAAUAGCGAUAAAAAAAAUAAUGAUGAUAAUAAAGUAAACCGCAAAUGUCUUAAUUAGUCCUAAAUCUCAUAUUGUUUUUAAAAAAUAUAUAUUCAAGAAGUGAAUUUUAAUUUUAGAGAACUUCUUUUUUUCACUAAAAUAUAUAAAAUAUGCAAAUGUAUUAUUAUUUUAUAAACAAUAUAUGUAUUUAAAAAUAAUCAAUUGUCUUGUUAUCUGAUAGAGUAUAUUACAAUAUUAUCUUCUAUUUAUGUCAUUUUUCAUAGUAAUACUUUUAAGGGAUAAAUGUCUGAAAAAUACCCCAACUUUGGUCGAAUUUCCUGUUGCAAUACUAAACUUUCAUGAGGACCUAUUACCUCCCUAGACUAUUUAAUACCGUAUUUUAAACAUAUAUAUUUGCCCACGUGGACAUAAAAAAUAAUGCAAAAUUAUAAAUAGUAAUGUGUCCACGUGGGCACAUAUAUACCUUUAAAUACACUAUUAAAUAGUUCAGGGGGUAAAAAAUACGGUAUUAAAUAGUCUAGGGAGGUAAUAGGUCAUUAUGAAAGUUUAGUAUCGCAACAGCAAAUCCAACCAAAGUUGGGGUNNNNNNNNNNNNNNNNNNNNNNNNNNNNNNNNNNNNNNNNNNNNNNNNNNNNNNNNNNNNNNNNNNNNNNNNNNNNNNNNNNNNNNNNNNNNNNNNNNNNNNNNNNNNNNNNNNNNNNNNNNNNNNNAAUAAAGGUGUCCCCGUGGGCCCAUAUAUCCCUUUAAUACACUAUUAAAUAGUUCAGGGGGUAAAAACUACACUAUUAAAUAGUCUAGGGAGGUAAUAGGCCCUCAUGAAAGUUUAGUAUUGCAACAACAAAUUCGACCAAAGUUGGGGUAUUUUUUAGAUCCUUAUCCCUACUUUUAAUUUGGGAAUAAGUCUAAACUAUAUUAAUAUCUAGGUAACAUUAUGUUUUAAGAAAUUUUUAUUUUUAAGACGACAUUUUUUUUUUCAUGUUCCUAUUACCCAAUAAUCUCAAAAUUUUACCACUAAUUGCUUCGAGUUGUUUGAAUCUAUUUUGAAGGGGUUUUAAUAAAAAUAUUGUCAAUCUAUAUGUGAUUUUUUUAUUUUUUAGAUGAGGGCGUAUCAUAAAUAAUUUCUCUAUUCUAUAAAAAUAGGAACAAAAUCUACUUAUAUAUGAUUCUGUUCAAAUUUCACUUAUAAAAUUAUACUAAGUAUUAUGUUAUUGUUGUAAUAAUCUAUAUAUCUAUUUACGUUUACUUAAUGAUAAAUUUCCGAUAGCAAUUUGUUGGAGAGAUUUACAUUCUACAUCCAAAAAAAGAGAGCAAAAGAAGGGCUAAUUACACAAAUUAUACAAUUUCAAAUUUAGAUAACUAUAUCAUCUCGAUCAUAUUCUAAAAACAAUAUUAGCGAUUAAAAAUAAUAAGGAUGAUUAUAAAGUAAGCCACAAAUGUCUUAAUUAGUCCUAAAUCUCAUAUUGUCUUUUUUACCUAUCCAAGAAGUGAAUUUCAAUUUUAGAGAACUUUUUUCUUUCUAUAAAAUAUAUACAAGGAGAAGUCAUAAAAGAAAAGAAGACAUCUAUUGAUGAUUUUUGUUGUAUUUUUAUAUCAACUCUGAUUUGAAGCAUUUUCAUAAUUUUAUCUUUUUAUUCCAUCGUGGGUUUAUUGAGCUCCAUCGUUACACGAUGUAAUGACCCGGAAGGUCAUUUUUAGAAAUUUGGAUUAUUCGUUUAACUUGAGUUAAUUAAUUGAUGGGUAAUUAUAGAUAAUUGACGGUUAAUAUGCUAAAAUGAUCAUUUAUUUAAGACCCUAUGCCAUUUGACCCAUAUAUAUCAAAAUAAAAUAGUGAAUUUGUCACUUUUUAAUAAAUAAUUAAUUUAGUAAAGAAAGGGAAGCAGAAACUUACCUAGGCGGAUGAACAAAAGAGGAAAAUCAGCGGCCGUACUUCAUGUUUCAGAUAGGUACGCCUUUAAAUAAUGAAUUGAGUAUAUGCAUAAAGGUUACAUUUUGUUAAUUUAUUAUUACCAUAUGUUAGAGGUAACAGAUUAGUUUUAAUAUUUGCUUAAGAUCGUUAUUCUUAUUGGUGGGUGUGUCAUGUUGGUGGGUUUAUGUAUGCAAGACCUUGGUGAUGUGGAAUAUAAUAUUAAAGGCAAAGGUGUUCAAUGGGUAUAGAAUGAGGAAGUGAUAUGGGUGUUGUUAGUUUCGAAAUCUUAUUGUGAUUAUUAAUGUGAAUAGGUUGCUUUGAGUUGGAAGUACAACGAAAAGGAAAGGCUCAAGUCCCGGAGUGACUGCUCGAUUAUUUGAGACUUGUGUUUUUCUUUUGAAUCAAUUGUAAUAUUGUAGAGGCUUGUACACGUGACAACCAAAUUUUGGGGGUAUUUUUGAGUUGAUUAUAAAAUUUCCGCAUUUUAUUGUAAUGAUUGAGUUUUAGGCUGACUUGUCUUGGUGGGAUAAGACGAGUGCCAUCACGUCCAUUUUUGGGUCGUGACACAUGACUUCAAAGAAUAUAUUUCUUUAAUUUCGUUAAUUUAUUAUGUUACCUUUUAUUUAUUUUUUCUUAAUGUCUGAUUUCUCUUGUGUCUUGUCUACUUUAUUGAUAUGUAGAGGUGACAAAUGAACGAGUUAAGUUGAAAUUGAAAAUACUAAAAUUCUGAAUAAAUUGAACAUAUAUUUUAUUUAUAUUUCGCUAUUUAUAUUGCGUGUUGAACUACUCCUUAAGUAAUAAUAUGAUCUUUAUAAGUGAUAUUUGUCACUUUGACUCAUCAUACUAUUGUCUCAUUGACCAAACAAAACAAUGCCAUGAUAUAUCCAAAGGGAAAAGGGUCAUAUUUGUCACUUCACUUUUGAAAAAAAGUUUUGAAUAUUAUCUUCUUUGUUAUAUUAUUGGUCUAUAUAUAUAUAUAUUUUAUGUCUAUACUAUCGGUCCAUAUGUGUUCUUAACGCUAUGUUCGUGGUGAUAGUACAUAUGGUGAAGGUAUUGGUGACUUUGGAUAUUGAAAAAAAGAAGAAGUUGAUAUAACAUUUUGAUUAUAAUUGAUGGAUUAACAGAUCAAGAAGGACAAAUUUAAGUCAUUUUUAUAAUAUCAUGAAUAUAUAUGAACUGAUGAUACAAUAUUAAAGACAUAUAUAAAUCACCAGUAUAACAAAAAACAAUAUUAAACCUUUUUCGAUAGCAAAGGGACAAAUUAUUCUUACAUUGACCAAAUUAAAUGAAUUCAAUUUUCUCCAUUUACUAGUCGUAUGUACUAUAUACUAUAAUAAUGUAUUAUUUGCUAAAUUAUCUUGAAGUAUAUUAAACGUGGAAAGAGGAGGAGAAUUUUGUGUAGGACAUUGGGCUAAGACCAAACAUUCCUGACUAUAUAGUUAUUACUUAUCACCAUCAAUUAGCUCAAUUUUACCUAAGUUGUGUACCUAAUUAAUGCUGUAUAGAGAGACUAAUAAAUAUUCCAUCAUCAUUAUACUUGAAGAAUACUACUUCCUCCGUCCCAUUGUAUAUGAGUUAAUUUGAUUUAACACGAAGUUUAAGAAAGAAUGAUUUUUUUAAAAAUUUGUGGUCUAAAAUAAGUGAUACAUGCUUGUGUGGCUAUAAAUUAUUUUAUUAAGAGUAAAAUAUACAUUUUAAAGUUAAAUUAUUACUUAAUAUAGAAAUACGUGAUUGUCCAAAAAAAAGUACAAAUAGCAGCCCUCGACCCCCCUAGGGUAUGGCCUACUGGCCCGCAGAUGCAGGAAGGCUGCCUGCCUGCUAACCAAACUGCGUAACCAAAGCGACUCCUUGUUGGUGGUUGAUAGGUGUUGGUAGUAGCUUUUUCCUUCAUUUUCAACUAUCGUUUUAGCUCAAAAUUUAUUAAUUACAAAAAUAAUUUUCGAAUUCAAAGUUAAAAAUUGAUAAUUAUUUUUAAUUAUACCUUUAAUAUUAAGAGCUAUGCAUAUCAUUUAAUAGAAAAAAUCAAUCGAUCUUUAUUAAAUAUAGUUAACUUAAUAAAAUAUAUCUUAUAUUUAUGAUUUUCGUAGUUAGCGUGAAAAAAUUAAAACAAUAAUUAAAAUGAGACGGAGAAAGUACUAGCUAGUUCAUUGGGUUUCUAGAGCUUUCUUUCAUGUCAAAUACUUGUGCAAUUGUCUUAAGUUCUACUCAUUAUUGUACUUGACCUCAAAUACAAGUAGGGUAAUAAAAUUAUAAAUGGUUCGGAUUAUGACUUGAUUUUUAAUUCAUUUUUGUCCAAUCUAACUUAAAUAACUCAUCUAUUUAUAAAUUUAUUUCAUUUUAAUAUUCUCAAAUUCAGUUUAACCCUUUUACUCAAUAUUCCUAAAUACAAGUAUAAUAUAUGAAAGAAUUGAUUACAAUUAAUAAUGAAUCCAAUAUAAAAGUAAGUAUUUUUUUUUUAUGAUUACUAUUGACUUAUAACGAUCAAAUUAAGGCUUUUAUCGAUCAUAUUUGCCCUAACUCACUAUAGUCCUUUUUUCUUGUACUUGUGUACACAUUUUCUCUUAUUUUUUCCAAAAGGAAAAAAAAAUAAAAAAUAGAGUCCAAGUUGUCAACUUGGCUGUGUUAAUUAGCAGAGGAUGUAUAACAUAUACUCCUUCCGUCCCAUUUUAUGUGACAACAUUUGAUUGGGUACGAAGUUUAAGAAAUAAAUAAAGACUUUGAAAUGUUACCAAAUUGCCCUUUAAAAAGUAUACUCUUUUUUCUCUCUCCUCAUAAAUGUAUUGGAGUAUUAUUUUAAGAUUAAGUGGGACCAACAAGGAUAAAAGAGGAAUUGUACCUUUAUAAACUUACCAUAUAAGGAAAUGUGACAUUCUUUUUGGGAUUGACCAAAAAGGAAAUGGUGCCACAUAAAAUGGGACGGAGGGAGUACAUAUAAUUCCAUUUUAGUCGUUUGAAAUCAGUAGCGGAAUCACAUUUUUUAUUAAGGAAUCUAAAAUACAAAGUAGUAUCCACGUAAAGAAGUCAAAAGGAUUCAAUAUCUACUAUAUAUAUGUAAAAAAUAAUUUUAAUUAUUUAUAAAUAGUAUAAUUUUUUAUCGAAAGGGGUUUCAUCCUAUAUGAAAUAAUUUAAUAAAAAAUAAGUCAUGAAAAAAGAAAAGAAAAAAAAAGGUCCACACGGCUUUGAAUUUAAUUUUAAGCCAGUUUCCCAUUGAGACCUCCGGCUUAUAUAUUCUUUAGCGACCGAUUAUCAGAAAAUAUUAUUAAUUUUGAACAAUUUAAGAAUUUAACGAUGAAUUUGAUAGCUAAAUUUAAUUUUUUUUAAAUAGCAAAUUAAGUGUUAGCUUAGAGUCAUGUUAAUUUAUAGUAUCUUUUUCUUCUUUGAAAUUUUAAUGAUUUCAUAUUGUAUACGUUGACAAUAUAGAUUUAUUUUAUAUUAACAAAUUAAGUUAAUUUAUAAUAAUAAAUUAAGGGUGCAACAAUUAUAUGGAGUGUCAAAAAAAGAGAUAGAUAUCUUCAUAUGCUUUUUGAAUAUUUUUGAAUCAUGAUUAUAUAAAUUUUAAAUUAAAAAACUUAAAAAGUCUAUGUUCGAAGUCACACUAAAAAAAUUGAUGGUUCAACUUUGGUAUAUCGUUUUACAUAAAAAGUGAGAUGGAGGGAAUAUUAUUUAAUGGUUCAUGUGAAACAUCUCUACUACUCAAAAUUAAAAUUAAUUUAAAAUCAUGAAACACAUUUCUUCUUCUUUUUUUUUUAUAAAAAAAUAAAACAAAAUUGUUAUGGUGGUGAAAUGUGUAAUCAAAUAGUUUUAAAACAUGAGUACUUUAGUAUAAGAAAUAUUAGUUGUGAAACAUACUUUUUUUCUUUUAAAGCAAAGACAUGGUCAUGUAAUGUGUAUUCAAACUUGGUCCUAAAAUAAAACUACCUUAUAAGAAUAUUUGACUAAAAUAUUGGUUAAGUAGAAGUUUCUUUGUGGGAAUUGAAGGAUAAUUUUAUUUUCCAUUGCCAUUUUUUUCCUUUUUUAAGUCUAGUCAUUCCCUAAGAAUAUUGAUUUUGAGUCUAUUGAUAAGAUUGAGAAUGAUAGCCUAAGUUGAAUACAAUAUAGUCAAUACUCAAUAACUAACCCUUCAUUUCUAGCUUGCAAGUAGUAGUACUAGUUAGUGUCACAUUCAUACCAACAAAAUAAAGAAAAUAAAUGUGGGGGGUGUGGGGGGGGGGGGGUAGGNNNNNNNNNNNNNNNNNNNNNNNNNNNNNNNNNNNNNNNNNNNNNNNNGGUCAUUUUGCAUUGUUCUGAGAAUCCCCACCAAAGAAAGACUUGCCAAAUUCUAAAUGACCCCACCCUAAUCAAUUUUAUGAAAUUAAAUAAUGAUGUGAGCAAGAUUCGUCAUAUAUCUCCAUAUCAGAGUUUUAAUCAAGUGAAAUGAUAAUUAUGAGAGAUCAGAGUUUAAAUUCGAGGUAUGCAUGCAAAACAAAGAUGGUUUCUUCAUAGAACUAACAGAUAUUUAGUGAAAUAAUUGAAGUACAAUGCAAGUUAAUUCAGAUGCUAUCGACAUAAAAAUAGUGAUAUAUUAUGGGAGUGGGAAUUUUAGGACUAGAGCUUCAAAGAAGGGCAAAGAAAUAGAAGAAGUCAAUUUUAGUCUCUCAAAAGUCUUGAUAUGCUAGUUGAGUUAGGUUUGGCUUGACCAAAUACACAAUAUUUACGCAUUCAAAAUAAUUAACUCCUGUUAAUUUUCAAUUUUUUAAAAUUUAAAAGUUGAUUUUUAAGUUAACCUAGCUAGUUGUACACAUAUGAUUAGGGGUUAUGAUAUAUAGUAGGUAGUUACAGUACUAAUUAGCUACCAACAUGAUUCAAUUAUGACUGUUUGGUACAAAAUUAUGAUUAUGAAAUUACAAAAUGAUUUUCUAGAACUAAUAACUCCUACUCAAAUAGUUGAAAAAACAUCAAGUCUUGAAAAAGUUAAAACAAUAGAACCUCUACAAAUUAUAUUGAAUUAUCAACUACUGUGUUUUAAUCUCAAAUUAUAUUGUUCUAUUAUGUGAUACUUGAAGCGAGAGUCUUUGGAAAAUAGGCUCUCUACUACCUCACGAGGUAGGAGGUAAGAUUUGCAUACACUUUGUCCUCCUCAAACUUCAAUUUGAGAUCGACUAUACUUUGUGACCCUCACAUGGGCGGAGUUAAUUGUGUGUUGAUGAAUAUGCAUGUUACCUUUCUCGAAAAAAAAAGUCACAUCGAUCAUUAGCCAUAUCAUCACCUUUCAAAGCAAUUACCUACUUAUAUACAAGGACCCAAAUAACAUUAAACCCAAAAGCAACAUUAAUAUCAAACUUACAUAUUAUAGACUGAUAGUCUGAUACUUACUAAUAAAUAAAAAGAGAUUUUAAAAUGUCAUAUAUAGUAUUAAGGAAAGACUACGUAAUUAGACAUACUUUACUAUUAUAUAUAUUAUUAUUAUUAUACUUUCAAUAGUAUUACUUAUCUUACCAUUAAUUAAGAAUUUCCUACUAGAUAUUGAGGAAAAUAAACUUGAAUAUACAUUUUUUUACUGCCACAUAGACUAAAAUAGGGAGAGAGGCAAGCGAGAUUCGUCAUGUAUCCCCAGAUACAUGCAGAUCACACUAAAUAUACACUAGAUACAUAUAUAUGUAUGCAUAUGGUGUUAUUCACAUGUAUCUAGGAUAACAAAUACAUUGGAGAGUGGCGAUCCAAAUGGGAGAGAGGUGAUGGAGGCAAGCGAGAUUUGUUAUAUCUCAAAUACAUGCGAAUCCACUUAAAUACAAAUAUACAAUUACAUUUAAUUUGAUCCCAUGUAUACCGAGAUACAUGUAUCUGAACGUAUCUAAACAUAUCUAGAUGCACCAAAAUCCAUGUAUACUGCGAUACAUGUAUUUGGACGUAUCUAAACAUAUCUGGAUGCACCAAAAUCUGGUAAAAUACGUAAUAUUACAAACUGGAGUAUCUUGGUGAUUAGCUCCUAAAUUAGUAGGAUUUAUAUAUAUAAAAAAAAAAUUGCAGUAUGGAAGGUGAAUGAUGUCUAUCGUAUAUUCAUAAUUUCUCAACUUGUUAUCUAGAUAGUAUACAUAAACUUUCUACGUAUUAAAAUAUUUAAUUUUAAUUAGUUUUAAAAGAAAUACUAUGUGGUUUAAAUAGUUUAAUUCUUUGUAGGUACAAUACAACUAGUUUCAAGUAUAAUUUGUUUUCUUCAGUAACAUAAGAAGUUAGAGGAAGAUGACUUCUUGCCUAUUUCUUUAAUCAACAACCGCCAAAUAAGAUCUAAACAUCAAAUGAUAUUAUGGUGUGUAACAAUAACAAUCAUUCGCUAUAGCAGCCAAAAAUAUGUCCGUCAUUAUAAAGAGAUCCAACUUUGUCUUUCGUAAUUACACUUAUAAAUCUCAAUCCUGAACACUCUCAAGGACAACAUAGCAAUAUUUGCUACUUCGCCUUAACUAAGAUCUUAUGCAUAACUUGAAAUAACAUCACUUCCAAAACAAGAAACUGAUGUUUUAACCAUUGUGCUAAAAAUCGAAAUACUGACAAAAGUGAUGUUUUAGCUAUUGUGAUAAAGAUCCAAAUACUAUGCACACCCGGCUGACAUAUCUACCAACGUAAAUGGUAAAAUAUUUGUAGUACAUUAGCAUUACUUUGUGCUAUCAACCUUCUAGAGCAAAUUAUCAAUUCUAACCUACACUCGGUUUCUUUUACAAUGACUCAGAGCAAGUGUAAAGAUUACAUUAGUUGCAACAUAUCACCUUUUUGUCAUCUAAAAUUAGAAUGAAAAUUCUUCGCUCCACACGGUCGCAAUAGAUGAUCCACACUGUUCAACAGUACUAAGAAAAACAAGAAGAAUUAACAAACAAGGAUAAGGAAGGUAAACAGAAAAACGGAAAUAGGAAACAAACUUUGUGUCUUGUAUACCUCUGAAUUCUAUUAGAGCUAUGCAUUUACGAGUGAGCAUGUUCAUUACUCUAAACCUCCAUUCUCCUUAGUCCUUUGAUCAACUAACUCACUGAAAAACGGAAAGAACAAGAAUACAUGAAAUGCUAUCAACUUUCCGAAGCAAAUAAUUUCAACUCCUACUUAUACCAGCUUUCGCUCUAUCACCUUUUUUGCUGUCAUCUAAAAGUAAAUUCAUCCCGAUCCAAAGAUGAUUCCUCAGCUUCACAGUGGCAAUAGACGCUUUGUGCUGCUCAAGGAUUUAACAAAGGAAAAGAAUUAACAAGCAAGUAAAGGGAAGUAAACAGAAAAAUAAAUGAAAAAAAAAAGAAUUCUAACUUACAAUUUGUCAGAGCACCAUUUUUUUUAAUCAUUACUGGUAUUCUCCAUCAAUAUAUAUGGUGGGAAUAUGAGCAAUUUUUGGCCAGUAAUCCCCCUUGUUAAAUUCUAGGAGUGGUUUGAGCAAUGGGCAAUUGCAAAUAUUUAGUUUAGAGAUGGAAGUGGGCAUCCCCGAUUCGGGAAGAGAUUGGAGAUUAGGGCAAUCCUCAAUCUUUAGAUGUCGAAUAUGUCAUGCAGCACCCUCUUGCUAAGAUGGCACCAACACAGCUGGAUAUUAUGGGAAGCAAUGUCCUCAAUUGCUCCAAUCUGUUGAGGGUUUUCAGUUUACCAAAAUCACCAUCACCCAUUGAAUAUGACAAGUGUCGAGUUUGUUCCAACAUAUGAGAUCCUUGGUUCUCUUCCAACCUGUUACACAGAUUUGAAGAUGCAAUUUGGGCCAAAUCAUUGACAAGGUCAUGCAUUAAGAAUUCCUCCGGAUUCCAUUCAGAAGACUCUCGGACCUUUUCAAACAAUGAUCUCGAUCUCAACUCGAGAAAGUAUUGGUUAGCUGAAUGCAACUUCUGUACAAGACCAUUAGCAAUCCACAGGUGAAUAACUUGUUCUUUGCUAAACAGAUGAUCUUUUUGGAUAUAUUGCACAAAAAAGCAAAAACAUUGCUUCAAAUGUGGACGAAGAUCAUUGUAGCUCAACAUCAGUGCUGGUAAGAUUCCAUUUGAAUGACGUGGCAGCUCCCAUAUUUCACUUCUUAAAAUGUCUCUCCACUCAUUCACCUCGAAUUUGGAGCGUAAAAUGCCAGCAAGUGUCUUUAGAGCUAAUGGCAAUCCUUUGCACUUGUUUGCAAUUUGUUUUCCAACCUCUUGAAAUUCUGAAUAUUCCUCAGGAUCCCUAUUUUCAAAUGAAUGCCGUUUGAAUAAAGCCCAAGAGACUUCACUAGAUAGAGUCCCCACAUUGAUUGCCCCACUACCCAUCAUCAAGGCAACACUCUCCUUACGUGUCAUCACAAUGAUCUUACUUCCUACAUCUCCUUGUACAAAAAGAUUUCUCAAGUCAUCCCACUCUUAUAGUUUUCAUUCCACACAUCAUCUAGGACAAUAAGAAACUUUUUUCCCUUUAAGCCUUCCUUCAAUUUGACUUGAAGUUGAUUCAGAUUAUUAUCAACCUUUAAACCAAUUUCUUGAAGUAACUCCUUAAUUAAUCUGACGGCAUCAUAUGGUUCAGACACACAGAUCCAAGCUUUCAAACCAAAAUGUUUUUUUACCUUCUCAUCAUUGUAAACAGAUUUAGCAAGUGUUGUCUUACCCACACCCCCCAUUCCAACAACAGGAACUACAGUCAGAUUUUUUCCAUUUCCAUCCUCAGACAACAAACGGUCAAUCAAUUCCUCUAUUUCAUUCUGCCUGCCAAAGUUUUCAGACUCAACAACCACAGAAGUUGAAAAUUCCCUUGCUUCUUGUUUACUCGAAUCAAGAUAUUUUGUUAGAUCAAGAAAACCAAUUUGCUUUUGCAACUCCUCCAAUGUUUCAAUGUUUUCUUCCACCUUAUCCUUUAUGUUAAGAAAAAUUCAUCACUCAAGGACAAGCUGAGGUGACUUAUCUGUGGGUUGCUUGUUUCUCCAAGAUUUUGAUGCUGACUUUCCACCUUUAGUCUCAAAACCUCAUAAUUGACUUGUUUAAUUAAGUUUUCAGCGCCAUCCACAGCUUCUUGAAGCUCAUUAAGCCACUGGCUCUCAUAUGGAUUUGAUGCUUUCUUAUUCUCUGCAUCACUUAGCACAGCCUGAAGGCCAAGCAAAGUCAUCCUCAGCUUCUUUAAGAGCCGAACAUCACACUUGUCCCUCUGAAACAUCUUCAGCAGGUCGCCCUGAGGAGCAAACCUAUCGAAUAGGACUUGCAGGACUGAAGAGAGAAAUGCACCGCCAACUGCUAAGCCAAUAUCCAUUUCUGAAAGCUGCAGUACAAAGUAGACGGAGGGUAUCCACAUAUAUAUAUAUAUAUAUAUAUAUAUAAAAUUCCAUCUUUAGUCUUUUGAAAUCAGUAACAGAAUCAAAUUUUUUUAUCAAAGAAUCUAAAAUACAAAGUAGUAUUCACAUAAAGAAGUCAAAAAGAAUUCAACAUCUACUACAUAUAUGUAAAAAAUAAUUUUAAUUAUUUAUAAAUUGUAUAAUUUUUUAUCGAAAGGGGUUUCUUUCAUUCUAUCUGACUCCGACCCUAUAUGAAAUAAUUUAAUUAAAAAAAGUGAUGAAAAAAGAAAAGAAAAAAAAAGGUUCACACGGCUUUGAAUUUAAUUUUAAGCCAGUUUCCUAUUGAGACCUCCGGCUUAUAUAGUCUUUAGCGAUGGAUUAUCAAAAAAUAUUAUUAAUUUCGAACAUUUUAAAGAUGAAGUUGAUAGCUAUAUUUAAUUUUUUUUAAAUAGCAAAUUAAGUGUUAGCUUAGGGUCAUGUUAAUUUGUAGUAUCUUUUUCUUCUUUGAAAUUUUAAUGAUUUCAUAUUGUGUACGUUGACAGUAUGAAUUUAUUUUGUAUUAACAAAUUAAGCUAAAUUAUAAUAAUAAAUUAAGAUGCAAUAGUUAUAUGGAGUGUCAAAAAAAGAGAUAGAUAUCUUCAUAUGCUUUUUGAAUAUUUUUCAAUAUGAUUGUAUAAAUUUUACAUCAAAAAACUAAAAAAAUCUAUGUUUGAAGUAACACUAAAAAAAUUGACAGUUCAACUUUCAUAUAUCGUUUUACAUAAAAAAAAAUGUGAUGGAAAGAAUAUUAUUUAAUGGUUCAUGUGAAACAUCUCUACUACUCAAAAUUAAAAUUAAUUUGAAAUCAUGAGACACAAUUCUUUAUAUAUAUAUAUAUAUAAAUAAAAUAAAAUUGGCAUGGUGGUGAAAUGUGUAACCAAAUAGUCCUAAAACAUGAGUACUUUAUUAGUAUAAGAAGUAUUAGUUGUGAAACAUACUUUUUUUCUUUUAAAGCAAAGACAUGGUCAUGUAAUGUGUAUUCAAACUUGGUCCUAAAAUAAAAUUACCUUAUAAGAAUAUUUGACUAAAAUAUUGGUUCUAGAAGUUUCUUUGUGGGAAUUGAAGGAUAAUUUUAUUUUCCAUUGCCAUUUUUUUUUCUUUUUUAAGUCUAGUCAUUCCCAAAGAAUAUUGAUUUUGAGUCUAUUGAUAAGAUUGAGAAUGAUAGCCUAAGUUGAAUACAAUAUAGUCAAUACUCAAUAACUAACCCUUCAUUUCUAGCUUGCAACUAGUAGUACUAGUUAGUGUCACAUUCAUACCAACAAAAUAAAGAAAAUAAAUGUGGGGGGUGUGGGGGGGGGGGGGUAGGNNNNNNNNNNNNNNNNNNNNNNNNNNNNNNNNNNNNNNNNNNNNNNNNNNNNNNNNNNNNNNNNNNNNNNNNNNNNNNNNNNNNNNNNNNNNNNNNNNNNNNNNNNNNNNNNNNNNNNNNNNNNNNNNNNNNCCCUAUCCGGACGCAAAAUUUCACUGUGACGUGGCGGGACGUGACAUUCUCCCCCACCUAUUGAUGCGACGACCGCGUCGCAUUACUGCUACAUUGUCAUCCGAGCCUUGGGCAUGCGCGACCAAUAGUCCAUUGACUCGAUCAAGGCCCUUGCGCAACGCCUUCAUUGUCUUCCAUAUCGUUUCUAGCUCGGACUUAGGACCGUCCUCCUUCUUAGGAGGCAAGCGCCUCGGUGGCUUCUUUGGCAUUACGGCAUUGUUCCCUUUUGGAACCUUCUUCAUGCGUGGCGGCAGGGACCCUUUUGCACCAUUGUCUUUCUUCGAACUUGCAAUGGUGGCUCUAGACGCUGGCUCCUUCUUCUUAGGUCUUCUCUCGAGCUGCAUGGCCGUUAGGCGGACUUGUCCUUCCGUCUUCGGCACCUGGACCAUGUGCACCAUACAUGAUCUUCCUUGCUCCAUGACUAGAAGUCGUUGGAGGUGAGGGUCGAUCGCCGCGUGGCACUGCUGGAAGAACUCCUGCCCAAGAAUUAUGUCAAAAAGAUCUACAGGAGCAACAGUGAAGUUGGUCUUACCUUGCCACUCGCCCAGCGUGAUGCUUACUCCAUGCGCAACUCCAUUCACAGGAGUCGGGGGUGCAUUGACUGUCCUGAGUUGGGCGCUGCUUGGACUGUAACUCAGCCCUAACCUCGUUGCUGCCUUCUUGGUCAUGAGAUUGACCUCUGCACCCGUGUCGACCAAAGCACAAGCGGGCUUUCCAUUGAUCUUAAGGUCGACAUAUUGCACGCCGCAUCCUUUUAGCUUCUCUGGCUGCUUGGUGAUUGCUCCGCAUAGCCCUAUCAAGCCCAACUGCGUCGUCCCUUCGCCUUGUUCUUGCUCCUGGGCGCCUUUCUCCUUCCGCUCUCGCAGGAUGGCACCAAGGCUCUUCAGUUCAGGGCACUUUGCNNNNNNNNNNNNNNNNNNNNNNNNNNNNNNNNNNNNNNNNNNNNNNNNNNNNNNNNNNNNNNNNNNNNNNNNNNNNNNNNNNNNNNNNNNNNNNNNNNNNNNNNNNNNNNNNNNNNNNNNNNNNNNNNNNNNNNNNNNNNNNNNNNNNNNNNNNNNNNNNNNNNNNNNNNNNNNNNNNNNNNNNNNNNNNNNNNNNNNNNNNNNNNNNNNNNNNNNNNNNNNNNNNNNNNNNNNNNNNNNNNNNNNNNNNNNNNNNNNNNNNNNNNNNNNNNNNNNNNNNNNNNNNNNNNNNNNNNNNNNNNNNNNNNNNNNNNNNNNNNNNNNNNNNNNNNNNNNNNNNNNNNNNNNNNNNNNNNNNNNNNNNNNNNNNNNNNNNNNNNNNNNNNNNNNNNNNNNNNNNNNNNNNNNNNNNNNNNNNNNNNNNNNNNNNNNNNNNNNNNNNNNNNNNNNNNNNNNNNNNNNNNNNNNNNNNNNNNNNNNNNNNNNNNNNNNNNNNNNNNNNNNNNNNNNNNNNNNNNNNNNNNNNNNNNNNNNNNNNNNNNNNNNNNNNNNNNNNNNNNNNNNNNNNNNNNNNNNNNNNNNNNNNNNNNNNNNNNNNNNNNNNNNNNNNNNNNNNNNNNNNNNNNNNNNNNNNNNNNNNNNNNNNNNNNNNNNNNNNNNNNNNNNNNNNNNNNNNNNNNNNNNNNNNNNNNNNNNNNNNNNNNNNNNNNNNNNNNNNNNNNNNNNNNNNNNNNNNNNNAGUUCCCUAAACUUGCGCUUCGCCUCAUAGAUGACGUUGUUGGGGAAGAAGGCUUUCUUGAACUCUUCUCGGAAUUUCUCCCAGGUGUUGAUAGUGCACGACCCCUUCCCUAUCUCGGCCUCCUUACGCCUCCACCAUAGCAUGGCCAUCUCCGAAAGAUACAACACAGCGGUGUUGANNNNNNNNNNNNNNNNNNNNNNNNNNNNNNNNNNNNNNNNNNNNNNNNNNNNNNNNNNNNNNNNNNNNNNNNNNNNNNNNNNNNNNNNNNNNNNNNNNNNNNNNNNNNNNNNNNNNNNNNNNNNNNNNNNNNNNNNNNNNNNNNNNNNNNNNNNNNNNNNNNNNNNNNNNNNNNNNNNNNNNNNNNNNNNNNNNNNNNNNNNNNNNNNNNNNNNNNNNNNNNNNNNNNNNNNNNNNNNNNNNNNNNNNNNNNNNNNNNNNNNNNNNNNNNNNNNNNNNNNNNNNNNNNNNNNNNNNNNNNNNNNNNNNNNNNNNNNNNNNNNNNNNNNNNNNNNNNNNNNNNNNNNNNNNNNNNNNNNNNNNNNNNNNNNNNNNNNNNNNNNNNNNNNNNNNNNNNNNNNNNNNNNNNNNNNNNNNNNNNNNNNNNNNNNNNNNNNNNNNNNNNNNNNNNNNNNNNNNNNNNNNNNNNNNNNNNNNNNNNNNNNNNNNNNNNNNNNNNNNNNNNNNNNNNNNNNNNNNNNNNNNNNNNNNNNNNNNNNNNNNNNNNNNNNNNNNNNNNNNNNNNNNNNNNNNNNNNNNNNNNNNNNNNNNNNNNNNNNNNNNNNNNNNNNNNNNNNNNNNNNNNNNNNNNNNNNNNNNNNNNNNNNNNNNNNNNNNNNNNNNNNNNNNNNNNNNNNNNNNNNNNNNNNNNNNNNNNNNNNNNNNNNNUCUUCCGGAAACCUCUCCACAACUCUAGACCCUUCCGCCCCUAUCCGGACGUAAAAUUCUACUGCGAAGUGGCGGGACGUGACACUAAGUUGAAUACAAUAUAUUCAAUACUCAAUAACUAACCCUUCAUUUCUAGCUUGCAACUAGUAGUACUAGUUAGUGUCACAUUCAUACCAACAAAAUAAAGAAAAUAAAUGUGGGGGGUGUGGGGGGGGGGGGGUAGGNNNNNNNNNNNNNNNNNNNNNNNNNNNNNNNNNNNNNNNNNNNNNNNNNNNNNNNNNNNNNNNNNNNNNNNNNNNNNNNNNNNNNNNNNNNNNNNNNNNNNNNNNNNNNNNNNNNNNNNNNNNNNNNNNNNNNNNNNNNNNNNNNNNNNNNNNNNNNNNNNNNNNNNNNNNNNNNNNNNNNNNNNNNNNNNNNNNNNNNNNNNNNNNNNNNNNNNNNNNNNNNNNNNNNNNNNNNNNNNNNNNNNNNNNNNNNNNNNNNNNNNNNNNNNNNNNNNNNNNNNNNNNNNNNNNNNNNNNNNNNNNNNNNNNNNNNNNNNNNNNNNNNNNNNNNNNNNNNNNNNNNNNNNNNNNNNNNNNNNNNNNNNNNNNNNNNNNNNNNNNNNNNNNNNNNNNNNNNNNNNNNNNNNNNNNNNNNNNNNNNNNNNNNNNNNNNNNNNNNNNNNNNNNNNNNNNNNNNNNNNNNNNNNNNNNNNNNNNNNNNNNNNNNNNNNNNNNNNNNNNNNNNNNNNNNNNNNNNNNNNNNNNNNNNNNNNNNNNNNNNNNNNNNNNNNNNNNNNNNNNNNNNNNNNNNNNNNNNNNNNNNNNNNNNNNNNNNNNNNNNNNNNNNNNNGCUAUCGACAUAAAAAUAGUGAUAUAUUAUGGGAGUGGGAAUUUUAGGACUAGAGCUUCAAAGAAGGGCAAAGAAAUAGAAGAAGUCAAUUUUAGUCUCUCAAAAGUCUUGAUAUGCUAGUUGAGUUAGGUUUGGCUUGACCAAAUACACAAUAUUUACCCAUACAAAAUAAUUAACUCCUGUUAAUUUUCAAUUUUUUAAAAUUUAAAAGUUGAUUUUUAAGUUAACCUAGCUAGUUGUACACAUAUGAUUAGGGGUUAUGAUAUAUAGUAGGUAGUUACAGUACUAAUUAGUUACCAACAUGAUUCAAUUAUGACUGUUUGGUACAAAAUUAUGAUUAUGAAAUUACAAAAUGAUUUUCUAGAACUAAUAACUCCUACUCAAAUAGUUGAAAAAACAUCAAGACUUGAAAAAGUUAAAACAAUAGAACCUAUACAAAUUAUAUUGAAUUAUCAACUACUGUGUUUUAAUCUCAAAUUAUAUUGUUCUGUUAUGUGAAACUUGAAGCGAGAGUCUUUCGGAAAUAGGCUCUCUACUACCUCACUAGAUAGGAGGUAAGAUUUGCAUACACUUUAUCCUCCUCAAACUUCAAUUUGAGAUCGACUAUACUUUGUGACCCUCACAUGGGCGGAGUUAAUUGUGUGUUGAUGAAUAUACAUGUUACCUUUCUUGGAAAAAAAGAAGUCACAUCGAUCAUUAGCCAUAUCAUCACCUUUCAAAGCAAUUACCUACUUAUAUACAAAGACCCAAGUAACAAUAAACCCUAAAGCAACAUUAAUAUCAAACUUACAUAUUAUAGACUGAUAGUCUGAUACUUACUAAUAAAUAAAAAAAUAUUUUAAAAUGUCAUAUAGUAUUAAGGAAAAACUACAUAAUUAGACAUACUUUACUAUCAUAUAUUAUUAUUAUUAUUAUUAUUUAUACUUUUAAAAUAUUACGUAUUUUACCAUUAAUUAAGAAUUUCCUACCAGAUAUUGUCACGACCCGAUUUCUCAAGUCAUGAUGGCACCUACUAUAACCCACCAGUAGGUAAGCCAACCCGUAACCCGGAACAACAAGUAAUGGGUCUGAGGGUAGAAACUAAACAAGAAUAGGCAAAUAACAAUAUAAACAGGCGGAAGCAAACCAAAAAUAUAUAUACAAAUAAAGAUCCCUUCCAGAACCUGGAAGUCACUAGUACAGAGCUGCUAACAAAAUGAGUACAAGUCCCAAAAAUGGACAACAGAGACUGGACUGUCUCGAAAGGUAAAAGACAAGUCUAUAUAUACAGAUGGAGACUGAAAUAGUACAAAACGUCGUGUGCUCACUCCCGUCUCCGAAUCAGUCUGCUCCAAGCUCGAUCAACGCUGGCUACUAGUGCCCGGACUUGCAUCACGAAAUAGAUGCAGAGCGUAGCAUGAGUACCAAAACAACAGGUACCCAGUAGGCAUCAUAGGCCGACUGAACUUGAAAAGUAAAGACAAUAUGAAAAGAAGGAAUAACACAAACCGAGGGUCAAGAACUAAAAUCUAACUAACAAUGGAAUGCACACGAGUGUAGAAAGAACUUACUAAAGUAAUCUAUAAGCUAACUAUACCUAACUGGGCCCCCAUAAGCCCAGAAGGUACACUCGUGCGCAAGUUAAAUAAAAACCCGAACGGACCCCCAUAAGCCCGACGAGUACACAGAAUAACUAUAACUAAAGAGAAUUGCAUAAAAGAACCCAAGAACGAAGAACACGAAUCAGAACCUCAACCCUAAUGAGUAAAAUCUGACAGUACGGAGGCCGGACUUCGAACCGGAUGCUCACCAGAAGUACCCAAGUAACCAAUCACAAGUAACAAGUAUAAGAGGCCGGAACUCUAACAGGAUGCUCUAUAUAGGUAUCUGAGCAAUAGAGGCCGGACCUCGAACCGAAUGCUCUAUAUAAGUAUCUGGGCGAUAGAGGCCGGACCUUAAACCGGAUGCUCUAUAUAAGUAUCUGGGCGAUAGAGGCCGGACCUUAAACCGGAUGCUCUAUAUAAGUAUCUGGGCGAUAGAGGCCGGACCUUAAACCGGAUGCUCUAUAUAAGUAUCUGGGCGAUAGAGGCCGGACCUUAAACCGGAUGCUCUAUAUAAGUAUCUGGGCGAUAGAGGCCGGACCUUAAACCGGAUGCUCUAUAUAAGUAUCUGGGCGAUAGAGGCCGGACCUUAAACCGGAUGCUCUAUAUAAGUAUCUGGGCGAUAGAGGCCGGACCUUAAACCGGAUGCUCUAUAUAAGUAUCUGGGCGAUAGAGGCCGGACCUUAAACCGGAUGCUCUAUAUAAGUAUCUGGGCGAUAGAGGCCGGACCUUAAACCGGAUGCUCUAUAUAAGUAUCUGGGCGAUAGAGGCCGGACCUUAAACCGGAUGCUCUAUAUAAGUAUCUGGGCGAUAGAGGCCGGACCUUAAACCGGAUGCUCUAUAUAAGUAUCUGGGCGAUAGAGGCCGGACCUUAAACCGGAUGCUCUAUAUAAGUAUCUGGGCGAUAGAGGCCGGACCUUAAACCGGAUGCUCUAUAUAAGUAUCUGGGCGAUAGAGGCCGGACCUUAAACCGGAUGCUCUAUAAAGGNNNNNNNNNNNNNNNNNNNNNNNNNNNNNNNNNNNNNNNNNNNNNNNNNNNNNNNNNNNNNNNNNNNNNNNNNNNNNNNNNNNNNNNNNNNNNNNNNNNNNNNNNNNNNNNNNNNNNNNNNNNNNNNNNNNNNNNNNNNNNNNNNNNNNNNNNNNNNNNNNNNNNNNNNNNNNNNNNNNNNNNNNNNNNNNNNNNNNNNNNNNNNNNNNNNNNNNNNNNNNNNNNNNNNNNNNNNNNNNNNNNNNNNNNNNNNNNNNNNNNNNNNNNNNNNNNNNNNNNNNNNNNNNNNNNNNNNNNNNNNNNNNNNNNNNNNNNNNNNNNNNNNNNNNNNNNNNNNNNNNNNNNNNNNNNNNNNNNNNNNNNNNNNNNNNNNNNNNNNNNNNNNNNNNNNNNNNNNNNNNNNNNNNNNNNNNNNNNNNNNNNNNNNNNNNNNNNNNNNNNNNNNNNNNNNNNNNNNNNNNNNNNNNNNNNNNNNNNNNNNNNNNNNNNNNNNNNNNNNNNNNNNNNNNNNNNNNNNNNNNNNNNNNNNNNNNNNNNNNNNNNNNNNNNNNNNNNNNNNNNNNNNNNNNNNNNNNNNNNNNNNNNNNNNNNNNNNNNNNNNNNNNNNNNNNNNNNNNNNNNNNNNNNNNNNNNNNNNNNGCUAUCGACAUAAAAAUAGUGAUAUAUUAUGGGAGUGGGAAUUUUAGGACUAGAGCUUCAAAGAAGGGCAAAGAAAUAGAAGAAGUCAAUUUUAGUCUCUCAAAAGUCUUGAUAUGCUAGUUGAGUUAGGUUUGGCUUGACCAAAUACACAAUAUUUACGCAUUCAAAAUAAUUAACUCCUGUUAAUUUUCAAUUUUUUAAAAUUUAAAAGUUGAUUUUUAAGUUAACCUAGCUAGUUGUACACAUAUGAUUAGGGGUUAUGAUAUAUAGUAGGUAGUUACAGUACUAAUUAGCUACCAACAUGAUUCAAUUAUGACUGUUUGGUACAAAAUUAUGAUUAUGAAAUUACAAAAUGAUUUUCUAGAACUAAUAACUCCUACUCAAAUAGUUGAAAAAACAUCAAGUCUUGAAAAAGUUAAAACAAUAGAACCUCUACAAAUUAUAUUGAAUUAUCAACUACUGUGUUUUAAUCUCAAAUUAUAUUGUUCUAUUAUGUGAUACUUGAAGCGAGAGUCUUUGGAAAAUAGGCUCUCUACUACCUCACGAGGUAGGAGGUAAGAUUUGCAUACACUUUGUCCUCCUCAAACUUCAAUUUGAGAUCGACUAUACUUUGUGACCCUCACAUGGGCGGAGUUAAUUGUGUGUUGAUGAAUAUGCAUGUUACCUUUCUCGAAAAAAAAAGUCACAUCGAUCAUUAGCCAUAUCAUCACCUUUCAAAGCAAUUACCUACUUAUAUACAAAGACCCAAGUAACAAUAAACCCUAAAGCAACAUUAAUAUCAAACUUACAUAUUAUAGACUGAUAGUCUGAUACUUACUAAUAAAUAAAAAGAGAUUUUAAAAUGUCAUAUAUAGUAUUAAGGAAAGACUACGUAAUUAGACAUACUUUACUAUUAUAUAUAUUAUUAUUAUUAUACUUUCAAUAGUAUUACUUAUCUUACCAUUAAUUAAGAAUUUCCUACUAGAUAUUGAGGAAAAUAAACUUGAAUAUACAUUUUUUUACUGCCACAUAGACUAAAAUAGGGAGAGAGGCGAGCGAGAAUCGUCAUGUAUCUCCAUAUACAUGCAAAUCACACUAAAUAUACACUAGAUACAUGUAUAUGUAUGUAUCUGGUGUUAUUCACAUGUAUCUAGGAUAACAAAUACAUUGGAGAGUGGCGAUCCAGAUGGGAGAGAGGUGAUGGAGGCAAGCGAGAUUUGUUAUAUAUCUCAAAUACAUGCGAAUCCACUUAAAUACAAAUAUACAAUUACAUUUAAUUUUGAUCCCAUGUAUACCGAGAUACAUGCAUAGGGACGUAUCUAAACAUAUCUGAAACGCCAAAAUCUGGUAAAAUACGUAAUAUUACAAACUGGAGUGUUUUGGUGAUUAGCUCCUAAAUUAAUAGGAUUUAUAUAUAUAUAAUUGCAGUAUGGAAGGUGAAAGAUGUCUGUCGUAUAUUCAUAAUUUCCCAACAACUCGUUAUCUAGAUAGUAUACAUAAACUUUCUACGUAUUAAAAUAUGGAUUAAUUACUUGUGUGGAUCCCUUUUAAAGAAUAAUUACUUAUUUUAAAUAUAUUCUCUAAUUAUUACCAUUUAUAGCAAUAUAUAACAAUACUAUGUAUUUUUAUUAGAUUUUUUGUUUUCUCUCUCGCCUCUUUCUCCUUUUUCUCUCUCGCCACUUUCUCCCCUUUUUUUUCUCUGUACGAGGUAUCUAAUUUUUAAAGCUACAGUUAAAAGAUCCACAAUCUUGAGCCACAACUUCAGUUUUAUGGCUCUAAAGGGAGAAUAAAGUCCAUGAAAAUUAAGUUGUCAACCACUAUAAUGGUAUUUAAGUUGUUGAUCCUUUUAUAUUUAAUGUGAUUCAAGAAAUGACGUGGAUCAAAAUAAAUGUUAAGGUAUCUAUAGAAAUUUUUUAUGGGCAUGACCAUUCUUGUAGCAUGCAUCUUUCAUUUGAACAAAUAGAAAAAAAAAAUGAAAAAAGAAGGCAGAAAUGUAAUACCUAAUAAAGAACGAAGACAAGUAUUAAUAUUACCUCAAAUUGAUUGCAUGCACGUAUGCAAUAUCAAAGUAGUGCGUGAAGAAAAGGACAUUUGACAGUCCAAGCAGUUGCUCUUAAAAUUGGGAUGACAAUGUUUGUUAUGGGACUUCAUCUUGAUAAUUGACGGGUGAAUAUCAAUUUUACAGUGAUACAUCUCCACUUUCUUUGACAUGGAUCAAAUUAUGCAUGUGUUAUAUUGUAUUAUAAGUGUAUUAUAAAUUAUUUGGGCUGGGAUCAUUAAAAAAAGAGUGAAGUGUGCAAGAUUUAUUUAUUGUUAAUGAAUAAAUCAUGUAUUAUACAUGUCUUAUAAUCAUGUUUUUUUCCUACGCAUCACCAAUAAACUACAAAAUGAAUUAAACUCGAAUUAAAAAUGUAUCACAAACAUAUUAAAAUUGAAUUAGAAGAGAAAUAAAUGUGAAUGCAAAAUGUAGCAAACGAAAGAGCAUUCUAUGAUCUGUAAANNNNNNNNNNNNNNNNNNNNNNNNNNNNNNNNNNNNNNNNNNNNNNNNNNNNNNNNNNNNNNNNNNNNNNNNNNNNNNNNNNNNNNNNNNNNNNNNNNNNNNNNNNNNNNNNNNNNNNNNNNNNNNNNNNNNNNNNNNNNNNNNNNNNNNNNNNNNNNNNNNNNNNNNNNNNNNNNNNNNNNNNNNNNNNNNNNNNNNNNNNNNNNNNNNNNNNNNNNNNNNNNNNNNNNNNNNNNNNNNNNNNNNNNNNNNNNNNNNNNNNNNNNNNNNNNNNNNNNNNNNNNNNNNNNNNNNNNNNNNNNNNNNNNNNNNNNNNNNNNNNNNNNNNNNNNNNNNNNNNNNNNNNNNNNNNNNNNNNNNNNNNNNNNNNNNNNNNNNNNNNNNNNNNNNNNNNNNNNNNNNNNNNNNNNNNNNNNNNNNNNNNNNNNNNNNNNNNNNNNNNNNNNNNNNNNNNNNNNNNNNNNNNNNNNNNNNNNNNNNNNNNNNNNNNNNNNNNNNNNNNNNNNNNNNNNNNNNNNNNNNNNNNNNNNNNNNNNNNNNNNNNNNNNNNNNNNNNNNNNNNNNNNNNNNNNNNNNNNNNNNNNNNNNNNNNNNNNNNNNNNNNNNNNNNNNNNNNNNNNNNNNNNNNNNNNNNNNNNNNNNNNNNNNNNNNNNNNNNNNNNNNNNNNNNNNNNNNNNNNNNNNNNNNNNNNNNNNNNNNNNNNNNNNNNNNNNNNNNNNNNNNNNNNNNNNNNNNNNNNNNNNNNNNNNNNNNNNNNNNNNNNNNNNAAAUCUAAGUUGGAAUUAGAUAGUGACAGAAAUGGUCAUAUGUGCUCCACAUGUGUCUUAUAAAUUAUUUUGAUUUAUCACUAAGAAAAUGAGUGACAGAUGCAAUAUGUAUUAAAAAUGUAUUGUUGCAUGUUUUAUAAAUGUAUUAUUAGUGUGUUACCUAAAUUAUUCUUGUUGGUAUGACUAAGAAAUGAGUGAAGUGUGCAAUAUGUAUUAUAAAUAUACUAUUCAUGAAUAAAACAUGUAUAUAUAUAUCUUAUAAAUUAUUUUCAUUUGUAUCACUAAGAAAAAGAGCGAUGUUUGCAAUAUGUAUUACAAAUGUAUUGUGCCUAUCUUAUAAAUGUAUUGCAAGUGUGUUACUUAAAUUAUUUUGGUUGAUAUCACUAAAAAGGGAGUGAAGGUUACAAUAUGUAUUAUAAAUGCAUUGUUCAUGAUUUUAAUUCAAUUUUAAUACAAUUAUGAAACAUAUCUAAUAUAACUUUAAUACAAUUGUGAUACAAUUCCAUAAGCUUCACCUUUUUCGAGUUUCAAUCUAAUAUUUCUCCUAAAAUCAAUUAUAAACUUAACUAAAUCCUCUUAAAAUUAAGAUAUAAACUUCAAACGACAUUUUCAAUUAUUUGUAGGAACAACCUAUUCAAACUAAUCACAAUUUCGUAAAAUUCAUAUAAUGAAUUCAAAAUUUGAAGCUUUAUAAUGACCAUUAAUAGUGAACUCUUGCUACUGCAAUUUUAGAGAUUUGAAAUUUCUUCUUGAGAACAUGAUUUUGUACAAAUUUUCGGUCUUUCUGUUUCUCUUCUCGUCGUGUUUUUGGAUAAAAAUAGUGAAAUGCGAGCAAAAACUGAUUUAAGAAUAGUUAUUUAAAUGAAAAUUUCAUCACAGAAGAAGAAGAAAAAAGAAAGAGGAGCAGGAAGAGAAGAAUGACAGAAAGAGACGAAGAAGAAGAAUAAAAGAAGAAGAGGAGAAGAGAAAAAAGGUCAGAGAAAGAGGCGAAGCGCAGAUAGACAGAACAAUUUUUUUAAUUUCAAAGAAUUGUUAUAUUUAGUUAGAAAAAUUAUAUUGCCAUAAAUGGUAAAUAUUUUUUUAAUAUAACAUAUUUAUGUGAUUUACCCUUAAAAUAUUUAAUAUGAAUUAGUUUUAAAAGAAAUAGUAUGUGGUUUAGAUAGUUUAAUUCUUUGUAGGUACAAUACAACUAGUUUCAAGUAUAAUUUGUUUUCUUCAGCAAAAUAAAAGAAGUUGGAGGAAAAUGACUUCUUGCCACCGCCAAAUAAGAUCUGAACGUCAAAUGUUAUUAUGGUGUGUAACAAUAACAAUCAUUCGCUAUAGCAGCCAAAAAUAUGUAUGUCAUUACGAAGAGGUUCAACUUUGUCUUUCGUAAUUACACUUAUAAUCUCAAUCCUCAACAUUCUUGAGGAAAACAUAGCAAUAUUUGCUACUUCACCUUAACUAAGAUAUUAUGCAUAACUUGAAAUAACAUCAUACAUACAAAAUAAAAUUCCAUUUGAUGCUUCAAACUCGCUCACAACAGAGUAAUAUCGAGGAUGGAAGUAUUACCAAACUCGUGGACGACACCAUCUGGACAUAUCAACUUGGCCUUGGGACCUGCUGAUCUAAAUGCGGUUCAGCAUUUCAAGCGUAGUCAUUCUUUGAGCCAGAGGAGCAUAUUUUAGGCAUACUGCUGGAAGAAAAUCUCGCGAUAAACAUGUUUACCUGUUAAAGACACAAAAUGAUACAAUGGGGAUUUGAGCAAUUACAGUUUCUCAAUUUUGAAGUGCAGCUGGAGCAGUGAAAAAACAUCAGAAUUUCAUACGCGAAAAACUCCUUGCUCAAUAUUUCCUUCUUAUACUGAUGAAAGAAAAGUGAAAUUCGAGAGAAAAGAGAAAGUACCUUUCUUCACCUACACUCUGCGGACAGAUCACAGUUGAGCUGAUAUUUGUCUAUUCAGUAGAGAAUUUCGGCACAACUGACGAAAGAAAGAAAAAAGAUGGUUAAGCUGAGAUCAGAUAAUAAAGUUAAGAUUGUGCUUAGGCUUUUAGAUGUUAAGUUAUGGGAAGACAAGCUUUCUGUCUCGUGUGCGUUUGAACUCUCUCAGUAGAAAUAUCAAAAAUCAAGAGUUAAACAUGUGCAUUACUCUAAAGUCUAAACCAUCUCCUCCUUCCUCAACCCAUGGGAAAAGAAACAAUACGUUUCUUUGAUAAGUUAGAAGAAAAUUAAACCUGGAUGUAGUCCAUUUAAGUGAACAUUUUUAAGCCGGUGAACUUGGUAGAGCAAUUGAAUGUUAAUCAAGGUUGAACUGUACAAUACAUAGAGCUUGUGUCAGCCUCAGCUGUAACAAGUCAAGCUAAUAGAAAAAAAAGAAGGAGAAUACCGCAAAAUUGAAUUCUCAGGACAGUAAAUUGCAACAAACUCAUUAGAUAAGACUACAUCAUAUUUUGAACAGGUUAUGCUGUCAGCUACUACUACUACUACUACUACAAUAUAAGCAUCUCGGCAACUGAAACAUGAGUAAAUCGUUUUUGUUAUCUAACCUUGAAUUUGUUCCGAGUAGGAUACACUUCCUUGCCUUUCCCCUAGUUCUGAGGUCGCACUCGAGGAUGAGUACUAAUGGGAAUAAUUUGACGGAAAUUUCAUAAUCUCCAAAGUUAUCAGCUUACUGUAUAUAUCUUCAGCCAAAUUUCUGAAUAUCCAAAACAAGAAACUGAUGUUUUAACCAUUGUGCUAAAAAUCGAUAUACUGACAAAAGUGAUGUUUUAGCUAUUGUGAUAAAGAACCAUAUCUACCUAUGUAAAUGGUAAAAGAUUUGUAGUACAUUAGCAUUACUUUGUGCUAUCAACCUUCUAGGGAAAAUUAUCAAUUCUAACCUACACUUGGUUUCUUUUACAAUGACUCAGAGCAAGUUUAAAGAUUACAUUAGUUGCAACAUAUCACCUUUUUGUCAUCUAAUAUUUGAAUGAAAAUGCUUCGCUCCACACAGUGGCAAUAGAUGAUCCACACUGUUCAACACUACUAAGAAAAACAAGAAGAAUUAACAAACAAGGAAAUGGAAUGUAAACAGAAAAACGGAGAUAGGAAACAAACUUUGUGUCUUGUAUACCUCUGAAUUCUAUUAGAGCUAUGCAUUUAUGAGUGAGCAUGUGCAUUACUCUAAACCUCCAUUCUCCUUAGUCCAAGCGCUGAAAAACGGAAAGAAGAAGACUACAUGAAGUGCUAUUCAGAUGAAAUUUCAAGCAAUACAAGAACUAAAUAUUUUCAAGUAAGAUUUAUAACAAGAAUACAUGAAUUGCUGUUGAAUUGAAUUUACAAAGACAUUAAACAUCCGGCUGAUAUAUAUGUUCCUGGUAAAAGAUUAUUAGUUCGUUAUAUUACAUUGAGCUAUCAACUUUCCGAAGCAAAUAAUUUCAAUUCCUACAUAUACCAGCUUCUGUUUUAUCACCUUUUUUGAUGUCAUCUAAAAUUAAAUUCAUCCCGAUCCAAAGAUGAUUCCUCAGCUUCACAUUGGCAAUAGACGCUUUGUGCUGCUCAAGGAUUUAACAAAGGAAAAGAAUUAACAAGCAAGAAAAGGGAAGUAAACAAAAACAUAAAUGAAAAAAUAACUUACAAUUUUUUUUAAUCAUUACUGGUAUUCCCAAUCAAUAUCUAUGGUGGGAAUAUGAGCAAUUUUUGGCCAGUAAUCUCCCUUGUCAAAUUGUAGGAGUGGUUUGAGCAAUGGGCAUUUGUAAAUAAAUAGUUUAGAGAUGGAAGGGGGCAUCCCUUUUACUGGAAGUGAUUUGAGAUUAGGGCAAGCCUUAAUGCACAGCUCAGAGAGAGAGGAGGGCAUCCCUGUUACUGGAAGAGAUCGGAGAUUAAGGCAAUUAGAAAUGUUCAGUACAGAGAGGGAGGAGGGCAUUCCCGAUUCAGGAAGGGAUUGGAGAUUAGAGCAAUGUUGGAUGGUUAGCUUAGAGAGGGAAGAGGGCAUCCCUGAUUCGGGAAGAGAUCGGAGAUUAAGGCAAUUAGAAAUGUACAGCACAGAGAGGGAGGAGGGCAUUCCCGAUUCAGGAAGAGAUUGGAGAUUAGGGCAACCCCAAAUCUCUAGACACCGAAGCCACAUGAGACGCUGAAGACCUUCGGUUGGUAGUGAAUGGAGAUUAUGAUGGUGAUGUAAGUGUAGCUCAGAAAGAGAGGAGGGAAGCCCUUCUUCCAGCAGUGACUGAAUUUGAGGUAAAUUAACAGCAUUUAGGCACUCUAGAGAGGUGAGGCUUUUUAGAAGUUGGCUGCUUAAUGUUUUCAGAUUGGAUAUAGUAAGCCUUCGAAUAGAGCAAGGCAACUCCCAUUUUUCACCAGCAAGAACCUCUUCAUCGCUACCAUCAUGGUGGAUGGUGAAAUCUAUGAGACAGGGGAGUCUCUGUAAAUGCCACUCCUUUGGCCAUUCACCAGUUCUGCAAUAGUCGAUCUGAAGGACUUGUAAAUUGAAGGGCAAUCCUCCUUCAGGAAAGGACUCUAUUUCUGGACAACGCCAUAGUUGCAGUUCCUUAAGAGAUGGAAGAAGUUCCUGCAUAUGCUCUGGCAACGACUUCAACAUCUUGCAGUCGUGAAUAUGCAAUGACGUCAUCAUCUGAGACCCACAUGCCACUGAAAGUAUUUCAAGAUUCUCACAAUCUCUAAUACUGACUGUUUCAGUGGCAGUAGGAAUCAAAAGCCUAGUAAGGUUGUUGCAACUUCUUACACUCAAAUUGCGUACUCUUGGGAACAACUCAGGUGAAUCACAUCCUUGUAGAGACAAUUCCUCGAGAAACAUAGCAUUCAUUGAUGCCUCCAAUUUCAGUUCCCCGCAACCAGAGACUUCUAUACUUUUCAUAGUACUCGGCAGAAUACUAAUUGGUAAGGAGGUAAGAGACUUACAAUCAGUAAUUACUAAUUUAACAAUCUGUUUCAUUCCUUCAAGUUGAGAUGUAAACAGUUGAGCAUUCGCAAAAAGAACUCCAACCUUAGGAGAAUAAGCAACUUCAAACUCUUUUAAAUUUGAAAGUUGGAUAGGUGUCUCCAAACUGAGUUCAGGGCAUUUUGAAAUUCUCAAUCUUUUCAGAGAAGAAAGAUUUUCAGGCAAUUUUCCUAUCAACUUUGGGCAAUCUUCAAUUGAAAGUUGCUCGAGUAGAGGGAAUUCUCCCUUCCCCAGUACAUGCCACUGCUUCCACUCCGGCAUCUCUGCGAAUUCAAGCUCCUCAAGGGACUUAAAUGGCUUUGUGAUGGACAAACUACCAUAGAACUCUUCACUCACCUCUGUUAUUUGAUGCAUCCCUCUAAUGUUAAGGAAUUUUAAACAAGGAAGCUGUCCUAGUGCUGGCAAGGAAUCACAGCCCUGGCAGUAGCUAAGAGACAAUUCCAUUAGCUUAUGAAAUGAAUGAUCAGCUAGCCAAUUUGGAAAUUUUGUCCAUCUAUAUCCGUUAAUUUGGAGUACUUUUAUGUUUGUAUUUGGUUGUAGCUCAUCAAGUAUCUCUCUUUCAGUUUGUGAAUUGUCAGCAAAACUUCCGCUCCACUCCAAAGAUAACCUUUCAACAUGUUCCUUUUUCCUCAUGUUUGCCUUCAGAGAUUCCCUUCCAUCUACCAUAUGUUGCAACUCUAGAAUUGAUAGAGAUCCAUACAAGUUAUGUAGCUCACCCAAAUCUUCCAUUCUCGAACCACCGCGACCAGUAAGAAGAAACUUGGCUCCCACUAGCACAUGGAGACUUUUCAACUUGUUCAGAUGUAGGGGUCUCCUCAAAUGAGCUUCGCUAAUUUCAAGGUGACGCAAGUUGAUCAAUUUUUCCAUAUGCAGAGGUAGCUCCUUAAGAUAACUACAAUGUGACAAGAGUAGUGUCUCUAAGUUGUACAGUACACAAAUUGAAUCUGGCAACUUUUUUAUCUUUGUCCAAGAGAGGUCCAAAAAUCUUAGGUGCUUUAAUUUGAUAAACAAGUCAUUUGGCAACUCCUCAUUCUGAUAAUCAGACAAUGAUAGUGCCCUUAGGGAUGUUAGUCUUGGCAAAAUGUCAUGCAGCACCCUCUUGCUUAGACAGUAUAAAUUCUGCUGGAUAUUGAUGGGAAGCAAUGUCCUCAGCUGCUCCAAUUUGUACAAGGGUUUCAACUUUUUAAAGUCACCUUGGCCCAUUGAAUAGGAUAUGUGCCUACUUUGUUCCAACAUAUGAGAUCCUUGGUUCUCUUCCAACCUGAUACACAGAUUUGAAGAUGCAAUUUGGGCCAAAUCAUUGACAAGGUCAUGCAUUAAGAAUUCCCCCGGAUUCCAAACAGAAGACUCUUGGGCCCUUUCAAACAAUGAUCUCGAUCUCAACUCAAGAAAGUAUUGGUUAGCUGAAUGCAACUGCUGUACAAGACCAUUAGCAAUCCACAGGUAAAUAACUUGUUCUUUGCAAAAUAGAUAAUCUUUGGGAUAUAUUGCACAAAAAGCAAAACACCGCUUCAAAUGUGGACGAAGAUCAUUGUAGCUCAACAUCAACGCUGGUAAGAUUCCAUUCGAACAACUUUGCAGCUCCCAUAUUUCACUUCUUAAAAUGCCUCUCCACUCAUCCACCUCUGAUUUGGAGCGUAAAAUACCAGCAAGUGCCUUUAGAGCUAAAGGCAAUCCUUUGCACUUGUGUGCAAUUUGUAUUCCAACCUCUUCAAGUUCUGGAUGUUCCUCAGGAUCCCUAUUUUCAAAUGAAUGCCGCUUGAAUAGAUCCCAAGAGACUUCACUAGACAGAGUUCCCACGUUGAUUGCGCCACAACCCAUCAUCAAGGCAACAUUCUCCUUACGUGUCGUCACAAUGAUCUUACUUCCUACAUCUCCUUGUACAAAAAGAUUUCUCAAGUCAUCCCACUCUUUAUAGUUUUCAUUCCACACAUCAUCUAGGACAAUAAGAAACUUUUUCCCCUUUAAGGCUUCCUUCAAUUUGACUUGAAGUUGAUUCAGAUUGUUAUCAACCUUUAAACCAACUUCUUGAAGUAACUCCUUUGUUAUUCUGAGAAUAUCAUAUGGUUCAGACACACAGAUCCAAGCUUUCAAACCAAAAUGGUUUUUUACUUUCUCAUCAUUGUAAACAGCUUUAGCAAGUGUUGUCUUGCCCACGCCCCCCAUUCCAACAACAGGAACUACCGUCAGAUUCUUUCCAUCCUCAGACAACAAACGGUCAAUCAAUCCCUCUAUUUCGUUCUGCCUACCUAAGAUAUCUGAUUCAUCAACAACAGAAGUUGAAGAUUCCCUUGUUUCUUGUUUACCCGAAUCAAGAUACUUUGUUAGAUCAAGGCGACCAAUUUGCUUUUCCAACUCCUCCAAUGUUUCAAUGGUGUCUUCCAACUUCUCCUUUAUGUUAAGAAAGAAAUCAUCACUCAAGCUCAGGUUAAGGUCACUUACUUGCUGGUUGCUUGUUUCUGCAAGAUUUUGAUGCUGACCUUCCACCUUUAGUCUCAAAACCUCAUAAUUGACUUCUUCUAUUAAGUUUUCAGCACCGUCCACAGCAUCUUGAAGCUCAUUAAGCCACUGGCUCACGUAUGGAUUUGAUGUUUGCUUGAUCUCUGCAUCACUUAAAACAGCCUGAAGACCAAGCAAAGUCAUCCUCAGCUUCUUUAAGAGCCGAACAUCACACUUGUCCCUCUUAAACAUCUUCAGCAGAUCACCGUUAGGAGCAAGCCUAUCAAAGAGAACAUUCAAAGCUGAAGAGAGAAAUGCACCACCAACUGCUAAGCCAACCUCCAUUUCUGAAAUCUGCAAAGCAAAAUAGGAAACCACAAAAUGAUUAUAAGAAUUUGGAGAAGAUUAUUGUCCUGUUUCUUUACUAAGAGCUUUAUUUUACCUGUUGAAUGAUAAGAGUAAUUUGCAACUAUGAAUGAUCACUGAUUUCUCUCUCUCUUGCUAGGGGUUUUACUUGUAAUUGGUACAACUAUGUCUGCUACUAUUAACUAUUGUCCUUUUUUUCUCUUUUCCAAAAGUAUUACUUUUCACCCAACAAGAUGACAAAGACUAGUCAUUACUCUCUCAAUGCCUUUAAUAAUUGAAGCAAGAGAGGAUAAGAAAGGGGUCGUUUGGUGUGAUGGAUAAAACUAGUUAAUUGAGGAUUUUUUUUAGUCCCCUUUAGGGAACGUUUGGUUUGAAGACAAGUUAUGUUAGGAUUAGUUAUCAUGUGAUAAGUUAUGAAAGGAUUAGUUCUGUUGAUUUAUUGGUUUGUCAUAGUCAAAUGAUAUGCAUGGCAUAAUUUUUAAGAAUAAGGGGUCGUUUGGUGUGAUGGAUAAAAGGAAUUAAUCCCGAAAUAAUUUUUGAGUGCCCUUUAAUUCGUUGUUUGGUUGCAAAGGCUGAAAUAACUUAUCCCAAGAUUAAUGGUUAGUCUUGGGAUAAUUUAUCCCUCUCUGAGGUGGAAUAGUAAUCCAACAAUAACUUAUCCUGGUAUAAAGUAUGUAAAAUAACAAAAAUACCUCCCUUAAACUCUCUUUUAUACACCACUUUACAUUCAUGUAUAUUAACAUAAUUUUUAAUAAUAUUUAUGAUAAUAUUCACAACCUUAAUUAUUCAUUGUUUUUAUGAUAUUAUAUUUUUCUAUUAAAAAAUUGCAUUUUAUAAAUAUAAUUUUUAUUAUGAAUACAUUAUAAGUUGAACUUAUUUGCCUAAUUCUUAUGUUUAUUUAUAUUUUGAUUUCUCUUAAAAUGUUCAAUCCACUACUAAAUUACAUAUUUUUAAUUAUGCUUCUGAAACACCUUGAACAGCUCACCGUUAGGAGCAAGCCUAUCUCCAUUUCUGAAACCUGAAAAACAAAACAAAGAAUCACAAAAUGGUUUAAUAUUUCUACUAGUAAUAGAUUUAAUUUACCUGUUGAAUGCUAGAGCAAUAUGCAAACAAUAUACUGACUGUCUGCUAAUUAAUUUGCAAUUGUUAUACCAAUUUGGAGAAUGACUUUUCUCUCUUAGCUGUGUCCUUCUUUACUUUGAGGCAUAUAUAUUAAAAAACUAAAAAUAACAGAACUUGUUAUAUUUUAAUUGAAUCAAACUUGUAACUUUUGGUUUGAUUAUCAAAUUCCAUACCAUAAUAAUAAAUUAUUGGUGGACACUACCAUUAUAUAAAGGCGAAUGAGUAAAUUAUAAGUAGUGGUUGUAACAAAUUGUUUUUUAAAUAAUUUUUCAUAGAAGAUGCCUUUUUUGAAGUUGAAAUCUAACCACUACAUUGUCUUGUUUUCAACACUUCAAUUUAUUUUUUUAAAAGUCAUUUGAUUUAAUUCAAAGACUACACUAAUCUCCUAUUAAUUUAAUUCAACGACCUUCAUACGAUUGGUCUCUUCAAUCAACUAGCAUUAGCUUUAUAAAAUGACCAGAAACUUCCUACUAAUUGUUUUCUUUGAGUUGGUUUUUUUUUCUUGAAAUUAAUGUGUUUUAAAAGUGUUCCUUUUAUAAUUUUCUCUUUAUUUGAUGAAAUCAAAUACUAUGAAAAGAUAGCCCAAGCAGAAAGGCACCCUCUUUUGCUCUAGCAAAUAAAUUCAAUUUUAAAUAGUCUUGUGUAUCAUAGGUUGCCACAAUAUAUUCAACUUUUCGGGACAAGUUCAGACGGAUUUUAUGUCUUUUACCUGUUAAGUAUUUUGUUUUCUUCUAUAACAUAAAAAGUCAAGAGGAAAUGACUUCUUGCAUAUUUCUUUUAUCAAUAACCACCAAAUAAGAUCUAAACGUCAAAUAUUAUUAAGGUGUGUAACAAUAGCAAUCAUUCAUUAUAGCAGCCCAAAAGAUGUCCGUCAUUGUAAAGAAGUCCAACUGUGUCUUUCGUAAUUAUACUAAACUAACUUCACUUGUAAUCUCAAUCCUGAACAUUCUCAAGGACAACAUAGCAAUAUUUGCUGCUUCAACUCAACUAAGAUCAUAUACAUAACUUGAUAAACAAACAAAGAGAAGUCUUGAAAAUUAUUUGGAGAAUCACUUACCAAUGAUCUUGCUCGCUAUAUAUAAGUUCACUAUCGAAUCAUACAUUGUGUUUGAGCAAUCUCUGGCCACUCCUCCAUCAAUAUGCAAUUUGAGCAUCACUCUCGGCUAUAUUAAAAAUAGACCUUUUAAAUAUCAGUUCUGAAAAUUAUUUGAAAGCACAACUAUAGAAUGAAAAGGAUAACAUUGGGUAGAGAUUCCAUGAAACAAAAAAGAUGAAUUUAUAUAGAUAUUUAUGGAGGAAUACCAAACGAUAUCUUAAAGUUCUAAAUUUAAUAUGUGGAGGUUAUGAAUAUAAAAAAACAUGAGAGUUAUGAAAAUUAAUUCCAAAAAUAAAGCAAAUAAAGGAGUAGCAAUUGAAAAGGUAAUUAGAUAAGAGUCAUGAAAGAGAAUAUAUAAAGCAAAUAAAGGAGAAAAAUAAAUAAAUGAAGGAGGAAAAAAGAAUAGUGCAAUUGAUAUUUAAGUGUGACCAUAGAAAAAAAUCAAAUUAUAAUUAAAUAUUAAUAUUAUAUAUAUAAUUGUUUGCGGGAAAGGAUCCAUCAAACGACAUUUAUAUAACCAAUUCAAUGAUAACCACAAAACAGAUUAAUAAGAAAAAAAAUGCCCAAAUCCAUAAAUUGAGAUUGAGUUACAAUUGACCUUUAAGAAUAUUUGCACCACUUUUAAUAUAAUAUGAUGAUAUGAUAUGAUGAUUACAGUGUUCCCAUCCGAAUAUAAAUAUUUUUUCACCUUCUUUUUUGUAAUCAAACAUUAAAUUCAUCCUGAUCUGAAGAUGAUUCCUCGGCUUCACAGUGCAACAGACGCUACACACUGCACAAAACAAUAUAACAAAGGAAAAGAAUCAACAAACAAGCAAAGAGAAGUAACGAAAAAUAAAAAGCUGCUGAGAUAAAAAAGAGUUCUUACAUCUGUCAGAGUACCAUUUGUUUUUAUCAUCACAGGUAUUCCCUAUUGAUCUGUAUAGUUGAAAUAUGAGCAAUAUUUGGCCAGUAUUCCCCCUUCAUAAAUUCUAGACGUGGAUUGAGCAAUGGACAGUCUGAAAUAUAUAGCUUAGAGAGGGCAGAGGGCAUCCCUUUUACUGGAAGAGUCAACUUCACUAGCUUAAGAAAGGAAUGAUCAGCCAACCAGUUCGGAAAUUUUGUACCUCUAUAUCCAGAGAUUUCCAGUUCUUUUAUGUUUGUGUUUGGUUGUAGUUCAUCGAGUAUGCCUCUUUCAGUUUGUGAAUUAUCAGCAAUACUUCUACCCCACGACAAUGAUAACCUCUCAAUAUGCUCCUUUUCCCUCAUGUUCGCCUUCAGAGCUUCCCUUCUAUCAAUUACAUUUUGCAACUCUUUAAUUGAUAGAGAUCCAUACAAGUUGCAGAGUUCACCCAAAUCUUUGAGUUUCAAACCACUUGGAAGACAUGUAACUCCUAAUAGCACCUGGAGGUUUUUCAACUUGCUAGGAUGUAGCGGCAUCUUCAACCGAGAACACCUCCUAAUGUCAAGGUAAUGCAAGUUGAUCAAAUUUCCCAUCUGCAGCGGUAACUCCUCAAGAUAAUCACAAGACGACACAAUAAGUGUCUCUAAGUUGUACAACACACAAAUUGAAUCUGGUAACUGUUUUAUAUCUGUCCAAGAAAGGUCCAAAAAUCUUAGGAGUUUUAAUUUGAUAAAUAAGUCAUUUGCUAACUCCUUGAUGUUAUAACGAGACAAUGACAAUGCCCUUAAGAAUGUUAGUCUUGGAAGUAUGUUAUGCAGCACCCUCUUGCUUAGAUUAACUGAAAACAAAUGGAGCUGGAUAUUUAUCGGAAGCAAUGUCCUUAAUUGCUCCAAUUUGUAGAGGGUUUUCAGUUUACCAAAACCACCCCUUGAUGAAUAUGACGAAAAGUUACCAUCACCCAUGGAAUACGACAAGUGUCGAGUUCGUUCCAACAUAUGAUAACCUUCGAUGUCUUCCAACCUGGUACAGCGUUUUGAAGAUGUAAUUUGGGCAAGAUCAUUGACAAGGUCAUGCAUAAAGAAUUUCUCACCAUCCAUUUCAGAAUAUCUGGACAAGUUCAGGCCUACGAACGUCCCUUCCUUCCAUUUAAAAGAAUCAGGGACCCUGUCUAACAAUGAUCUUGAUCUCAUCUCGAGAAUGUACUGGUUGCCUAGUUCUUCAACCGUUUCAUCUUUUUGCAACUUCUGUAUUUGCAACUUCUGUACUAGACCAUUAGCGAUCCACAGUUGAAUGACUUGUUCUUUGUAAAAUUGAUAAUCUUUUGGAAAUAUUGCGCAAUAGGAAAAGCAUCGCUUCAAAUGUGGGGGAAGCUCAUUGUAGCUCAACAUCAAUGCUGGUAAGAUUCCAUUGUCUGGAAGCUCCCAUAUUUCACUUCUCAAAAUGCGUUUCCACUCUUCAAUCGUUGAUUUUGAGCGUAACUUCCCAGCAAGGAUCUUUAUAGCUAAAGGCAAUCCUUUGCAUUUCUCUGCAAUUUUCUUUCCAAUCUCUUCAAGUUCUAGAUGUUCCUCAGCAUCCCUGUUUUCUAAUGAAUGUCGUUUGAAAAAAGCCCAAGAGACUUCAUUAGACAGAAUCCCCACAUNNNNNNNNNNNNNNNNNNNNNNNNNNNNNNNNNNNNNNNNNNNNNNNNNNNNNNNNNNNNNNNNNNNNNNNNNNNNNNNNNNNNNNNNNNNNNNNNNNNNAAAUUCAUCCUGAUCUGAAGAUGAUUCCUCGGCUUCAUGGUGCAACAGACGCUACACACUGCACAAAACAAUAUAACAAAGGAAAAAAAUCAACAAACAAGCAAAGAGAAGUAAUGAACAAUAAAAAGCUACUGAGAUAAAAAAGAGUUCUUACAUCUGUCAGAGUACCAUUUGUUUUGAUCAUCACAGGCAUUCCCCAUUGAUCUCUAUAGUGGAAAUAUGAGCAAUAUUUGGCCAGUAUUCCCCCUUCAUAAAUUCUAGACAUGGACUGAGCAAUGGGCAGUGUGUAAUAGAUAGUUUAGAGAGGGCAGAGGGCAUCCCUUUUUCUGGAAGGUGUUGGAGUUUAGGACAAGAAUGGAUGGUCAGCUUAGAGAGGGAGGAGGGAAGCGCUGAUUCUGGAAGAGAUUGGAGUUGAACGCAGGAGCUAAUCUCUAGACGCCUAAGAGAAGUGAGGCCCUGAAGACCUUCAGUUGACAGUGAAUGGAGCUCAUCAUGGUGUCUUAAUUUUAGUGAAGAAAGAGACAAGGGAAGCCCUUCUUCGAUCAGUGACUGGAUUUGAGGUAAAUUAGCAAUGGAUAGAGAUUCAAGAGAGGUGAGGCUUUUGAGAAGUUGGCUGCUUAAUGUUUUCAUAUUGGAUAUGCAAAGCGAUUUAAUUGAGCAAGGCAACUCCCAAUCAAUCUCUUCGUCAGUAGAAUGAUGGAAGAUUUUAAGUUCUCUGAGGCAAGGGAGUCUCUGUAAAUGCCACUCCUUUCGAUCAUUCUCCAGUUUCUCACAAUUCCAGAUCUGAAGGACUUCUAGACUGAAAGGCAAGCCUCCUUCAGGGAAGGACUUUAUUUCUGGACAAUCAUACAGGUUGAGAUAAUUAAGAGAUGGAAGAAGUUCCUGCAUAUGUUUUGGCAGCGACUUCAGCUUCUUGCAGCUGUGAAUAUGCAAAUUUCGCAACGUUGGAGUCCUGGAUGCCACCAAAAGCAUUUCAAGAUUUUCACAUCCAGAAAUAUGGAGAUCUUCAGUCCCAGUAGGAAUCAAAAGCCUAGUAAGGCUGUGGCACCUAUUUACACUCAAAUAGUGUGCUCUUGGGACCAGCUCAGGUGAUAUCUCAUUCAUAGAAUUACAUUCAGUUAGUACCAGACUCUUGAGAAACAUCUCACUAGCUGACGGCUCCAAUUUCAAUUGAUCACAAUCAGAUAUCUCUAUUUUCUUCAAGGUUUUCGGCAGACUGCUAAUAUGAAAGGAGGUAAGAGAGUGACAACUUCUGAUAAUUAAUGACUCUAGCUGCGUCAUUCCUUGAAGUUGGGAUGCAAAUAGCUCAGCGUGAUCAAAAAGAACCCCAACCUUUAAAGAACCGAAAACUUUAAACCAUUUUAGACUUGAAAGUUGGAUAGGUGUCUCCAAAAUAAAUUCCGGACAAUUUGAAAUUGUCAAUCCUGUCAAAGAACAAAGAUUUCCAGGCAAUUUCCCCAUCAACUUGGGACAGUUGUUAAUUGAAAGGAUCUGAAGUGCAGGGAACUCUCCACUUCCUAGUACGUGCCAUUGCUUCCACCCGUUCAUCCAAUUAAAUUCAAGCCAUUCCAGAGAGUUAAAUGGCUUUAUUGAAGAUGGGCUACCAUAGAAUUCUUCGGUCACCUCUGUUAUUCGAUCCAUAUACUCAAUGGUGAGGGAUUUCAAAGAAGGAAGUUGUCCUAGUGCUGGCAAGGAAUCACAGUUGUUGCAGUGGCUAAGAGACAACAUCACUAGCUUAAGAAAGGAAAGAUCAGCCAGCCAGUUUGGAAAUUUUGUCCCUCUAUAUCCAGAGAUUUCCAGUUCUUUUAUGUUUGUGUUUGGUUGUAGUUCAUCGAAUAUGUCUCUUUCAGUUUGUGAAUUGUCAGCAAUACUUUUACCCCACGACAAUGAUAACCUCUCAAUAUCCUAGGUGCUUGUUUCAGGCCAUAAAGGGAUUUGUGCAGUCUACACACUUUAUCAUUCCCCCUAUGGCUGCCAAACCCUUGAGGAAUCUGCAUGUAUACUUCUUCAAAGAGAUCACCUUGGAGGAAUGCAUUAUGCACAUCCAUUUGAUAGAUAAACCACCUCUUAGCUGCAGCAAUGGCCACAACAGACCUGACAGUCACCAUCUUAGCAACAGGAGAAAAAGUCUUUGUGUAGUCUAGCCCUUCUUUCUGACUAAAACCUUUAGCUACCAGCCUUGCCUUAUACCUUUCAACCUCCCCAUUAGCUUUGUGCUUGAUUUUGUACACCCACUUACACCCGAUUGGAGACUUGCCUAAAGGAAGAUCAACUAUACUCCAUGUGUGAUUAUCUAGCAGAGCAUCAAUCUCAGACUGCAUGGCAGCAAUCCAUUUAGGAUCUGUAGCAUCUUCAGAGUAGGAAGUGGGCUCCAAAACAGCUGAGAAAACUGCCAAUGCUGAGCUGUAAGAAGGAGAGAUAUGAGCAUAGGACACAUAAUUGGAUAUAGGAAAAACACAGGAUGCCUUUGUUCUUGUGGGAGCAAUAUAGUCUUUCAUCCAGAUGGGAGGUUUGGGAGUUCUACAGGACUUUCUAACUGGUUCAACAGAUGGAGACACUAGCAUAGGAGCAACUUCAGUUGAUGAGGUGAACUCAGAUACAUCAGGUAGGGAAGAGUCAAUUAUAUCAGCCCUUAGAGAGGAAUCAUGAUCAGGAGAAACAUAUAUAGGAUCAGCUGGACAGUACUGAGGAGAACAUUGUUGACACCUAAUUUUGACCCUCCCCGAUAAUAACUAAUUUCGAGCUUCUUAAUUUUCAAAUGAUCUAAAGUAAUUAAUUUUAGAAAUUUCGAAUAAAUAAAUAAAUAAAUAAAUAAGAAUAAUUUGCAAGUUGUUUCAAAUAGUUUGUCACUUGUUAUAAUUUUUAAAUAAUAAUAUGUCUUUUAUAUAAUUAUGUAUAUAAUUAGUGUAUUUUAUAAAUAUUCGAAAAUCGUCUCAAAAGGAUUUUGUUUUAAUUGAAUAUUUGGUUGACUAGUUUAGUUAUAUAAUAGUUUAUAUUUUUGAAAUAGUUAGUUUAUAUCUAAGUUAAUUAUUUUAUUUCGUGGAAAUUGAGAAGCUCUUUAAUUAACUUGUAUUAAUUUGUCUUAUUUAAUUGCUAGCUAAAAUUCAAUUUAACUAAAAUUUUGAAUUCAUUUGGCCAUCAUUGUAAUCAAAUGGGCCAAUUUCUUUUUUCAGCAGACCCAACCCAUAAAACAAUUCUAAUACCCAAUGCCAAUUAAUCCCUAGCCCACUUUUAAAUUUCCCAAUCAACCCAUCCCUUAUACUCUAUUCCACCAGCAGCCCACACUCAUUUACCUGACCCGGCCCACUUUUAUGUUCACAGAACAAGACCAAGAAGCAGCAACUCACAAGAGACAAUCACAACGUCAAUCCCAAAUAGACGGAAGCAGCAUCAACACAUGCCAGAACGACAACAACGGCUCCGAACGACACCUUUUCCGUCAAGAUACACAACGUCAAAUCCCUUUGUCGUCUUCCCCUGUGUCCCUCUCAAGUCGUACAUCGCGAGCAGAGGAGCAGGGCAUGCGUCUGGCUCCCUUUCCUCUUCCGGAACGGGUCAAAUUUCGAAGAAAAAGGUGUUUAUCCUAAUUGGUGAAAGGUUUUGGGAGUUUGAUUUUUGAAUUAGGCGUUUUCUAUCCAGAUUUCACUCGUUUUUCCCUCCAUUCAAUCUACCCUAAUUUCCCCUAUAUAUAGAUUCUCUUUCUAUCUCGCCAGGGGGGGAAGAUUUUUGAUUUUUUUUGAGAAAGUAGAGGGGAUUUUUUUUGGGGAGUUGAAAAUUUUAUGUUGAAGAAAAUAUUGGGAGAAGCUUGGAAAAACAGAAGGGAAGAAAGUUUCAAAAAAAAUAAAAUAAAAAUAAAAUAUAAAUACAAGAAUACAUACAAGGAACAAUCAGUAGUUAUACUCAAGCGAGAAUCGAUAAAAGGCUUUUCUUUUGUGCUCGCCAUUGAAAAAACUUGUCGGAAUCUCGUUGUAGUAGUGAAGUUGCCGUCCCUCUGCUCGCUCUGUCUCGGUGCCGCUGCCCUCGAAAAGGUGAUACUCAUUUUGAUUUAUGUCUCCUUUAUUUUAACGUGGCGACUGUUUGGAUCUCGGACUGCAUAUAGUGUUCGAAAUGUUAAAGUUUGAGAGUAUGAUUUACUCAUCGUCGACUGUAAAUCAAUAUUGCAACUCGUUCUUAUUCGUUUUGUUGUGGUUUGUUUAGUCUGCCUUGAAGGGUUGAGGAUUCCAUUUAUUCGUGAUUCCUUUUCUCUUUAUUGACUGUCUCAUUUGGAUGGUUGAGAUAGUUGGAGAUUCAGUUGUGAAGUUCGAAGUCACCUUCUAUAAGUGAUUUCGGCUUUCGUAAUCUGAUACACAAUUUGAUCCCAUCUUCUGCUCAUUCCGAUUUAAUGCAGAUCUAUGGGUUGUUUAGCUCCCUUUUCAUGCCUGCUUAUAAAUGAUUUUUUUUUCAUACAUGAAGCUUGCCAACUAACGCAGCUUGUUUGCAUUUCCCUUUUAUUUUUUUUUAGUUAGUUACUCUAGUUUUAUUAACUUUUCUUUACUUCGUGUUUCCGUGAGCAUGAUCAUUAGCUUAUUUGGCAUGUCUAUUAUUUGAUUUAGGUCGAGUAUACCAUCUUUACUGUCUAAGAUUCUUAUGAGUUCCGUGCCUAUCGUUAAUCAGUUCCAACAGAUUGCGAGAAUAUGUAAGCCUUAGUGUAUAGUGGUUCGCACAUCCCACCCUUUCCCUCGUUUUUUUUUAGCUUUCUAUCGUGGUCGGCUUUGUCUAAGUUCAUUACUAUAUGUUAUUAUGAGUUCCCUGUUGUGCUCACAUGUUGACCAUCCUGUUUCGUUUAGUUUAAUUCAUAAGAUAAUAUAUCUCGUUGAUUUUAGUGUUAUAUGAUUCUUUUAGCCAAAUUUUGUUUUGUCUGGUCUUUUCCCUCGUUUUUCUCUACUGUCAAAUUGCCGUGUGGAGAUACUAUAUUCAAAUCCAAAUGUGCCUGUUUGUUGAUUAAGGUGUGGUGACCCCUUUAUUUGUAAACUAUAUGUUGCCAACUAUUCACUAUUUUAUUUAAUUUUAAUGGAUCAGUUUUGCUUUGCUAAAAAUGUGUUAGCUGGUUUUCCCUUGGAUACAUUAUUGUUCUCCCUAAAUUGGUAAAUCUUGUUAUCGAUUGGAACCAUGGUUUUGUAAUGUCAUUUUUGAAUACUAAUCCUUAUAAUUAUUUUUUAUGCAUGUGAAAUCUACCCGAGUUCGCCAUGAACUCACUCCGUUCCCUUGCAUUUCGGAGAGCCAUUAAAGGCUUAAAUUCCCUUUCCGAGUCAGAUCCCCCAAAAAUUUGGUGAACAGGGUUCGGAGCAGAUAUACAAGAGCGUAUACACUAAUAUACAUCUAGUGUACACGAAAGAGAGAAAAUGGGCUUAAAGAGGCCACUAAUCUUUAAAAAUUUGUAUUUUGUUAUUUAUUGGGCCUAAGCCCAUUUAAUUGUUAUUCUUAUUUUUGUUAGAAGUUUAGGACAGGUGAAAAAUUGGGCCUAAGGCCCAAAGAAAUGUCUUAUAUAUAUUAGUUUAGGACAGGUGCAGAUAACUCAAAAAAUUGGGCUAAAAGCCCCAAAACGAAAAUGGGCUCAAGUGCUGGCCCAGGCGAACAGAAACCAGACUUGGGCCUUCAAGCCUCUUUCCCUCUUUAUCUUUUUGUGUUUGUUUUGUUUGCUAAAAUCCGUUACUAAUUUUAAGGUUAAAAAAUUCAAAUCCCCGGAAGACGCUUAUUUCGUUUUAACAAUUUUACUAAAUCGAUCACCUUUAAAAGGACUUAAAGAAUUUUUGCAAGGAAAAUAUCUCACUUAGUCAAUCCUUUCCUUUUCCCCUUUUAAAAAUAAAAUAAAAUGGACUUAAUUAUAAAAUAGCAUUAUGUUUCAAGUCAAGUUAAGUUAAUUCACUUGUAGCCAAAUAAAUUAAUUGUCGGAUAACCGCAUGUUAGCGGGCAUUUUGGAUGCUUUCAAACCCUUCCCGAAAUGCUAAUAAGAACCCCCGAACCCCUUUAAGUUUUCAUUAGACUUCUGUUUUAGUCUUUUGAAAACAAUAGUUUUCUUGAUUUUUCUUUAAAAUUAAGUGGCGACUCUUAAACCAGUCUUAAAUAUAUUUUUGAAUAAAACAAACAUAAAGGGGCAGAAAAUAGAGGAGAAAAUGAAUUGGACAAGUGUUUGAAAGGAAAGAUGUCUUCCUUAAACACUACAUCUCGACUAGUAGUAAAUGUUUUUUCCUGAAGGAGAUACAUCUUGUAGCCUUUUUGAGUUAAGGAGUAACCAAGGAAAACAGCUGGAACAGCCCGAGGGUGGAACAGCCCUAGGUGCAAAUUUAUCAGACUUCUUCAAGGAAGUAACAUAACCUAGACAACCAAAGACCUUCAAGUGAGAUAAAUCUGGUGAGUUCUUAGAGAGAACCUCAACUGGUACUUUACCAUGAAGAGUAUGAGAAGGCAACCUGUUGAUCAAGUACACUGCAGUAGCCACACAAUCUCCCCAAAACCUGAGAGGAACACUGGCUUGAAAUCUGAUGGCUCGAGCAGUGUCUAAAAUAUACCUAUGUCUUCUCUCAACAACUCCAUUCUGUUGAGGAGUAUAGACACAAGAACUCUGAUGCAAUAUCCCUAAGGAUCGAAGCAAGCUGGAAACUUGAAGAGUUAAAAAACUCACAACCAUUGUCAGUGCGCAAAAUCUUAAUGACCGCAGAGUGGACAUUUUUUAGCAUUAACAAGAAAUCAGUCAAGGCAACUAUAACUUCUGACUUGGAAUUUAACAGAAAUAUCCAGGUAUACCUAGAAUAAUCAUCCACCAAGGUUAAAAAAUACUUCUUCCCAUCAUAAGUAGGUACCCUAUAGGGACCCCAUACAUCACCAUGAAUAAUAUGAAAGCAAGCAGCAGACUGUGAAGUACUCAGAGGAAAAGGAAUUCUUGUUUGCUUAGCCAAAGGGCACACAGUACAAUGUUUGUGAUCAAAAUUUACGUUGUCAACAUAGCAAUUCAAAUUUGUCAACUUCUUCAAAGUAUUUAAAGGAGCAUGGCCCAAUCUUCUGUGCCAUAGAUCUAUGUCUGUUUUAUUCUUAGACUUCUCUACUAAGAUAGAGUGACACCUAGUCUUGAUGUACUCAGGCUUGCCAUGUCCUGCAUUCAGGCAAGAAGAAUCCACCACAUACAAACCUUGAACAUGUUUACCAGUCCCCUUCACCUUUCCACUGAAGAGAUCCUGAAAAGUACAGAAAUCAGGAUAGAAAUGAACUGAGCAGUUCAAUUCCUUGGUAAGUUUUGACACAGAAAGCAAGUUAUGUUGAAACUCAGGUAUAUACAUCACAUUAUGUAUGUCGUGGCUUCCCAAAACUAUAGAGGAACCUAAGUGACUCACUUUAGCUGUGUUUCCAGUAGGUAGCAUAACAUUGCCUUUGCUUGUAUUAAGAAGAGAUCUAGUGUUGGAUAGUAGACUAGGAUCACUAACCAUAUGAUUGGUUGCUCCUGUGUCUACUAUCCAUUGGUUAGAGGGAUUAACCAUACCUGCAGAUAGAGCAGUACCACUCAUCUCACUGUUUUGUCCAAUCAUCUGCAAAAUUUGAUUUUAUUGCUCAGGAGUAAAGUGUGGAGCACUAGGAUGAGAGAUCUGAGAAGAUCUAGACUGCUGUACAUAAGCACAUGUAGGAUUGGAGGAAGUUGCACCCAAAGCAUUACUAGAGCUACCUGAAUAACCAUCCAUAUCUGAUGAAGUAUCAUGUUCACUAGCAAAGUUGACAGCAUUUCCAUGUCCUGAUGAUGCAGCUGAGUGUGAGUUAAACUUCUUCUUUGAGUUUAGUCUAAAAUCUGGAGGAUAUCCAUGCAGCUGGUAGCAUCGAUCGCUAGUAUGACCAGUGUAGUGACAGUAAUCACACUGUAGAUGACUAUUUUUUCUGUUUUUAGAGCCAGAGCUUGAGGCAUUGCCUGAAUUGCCUGACCCAGAGUUAGAACUUGUAUAGUAACCAGACCUAGUGUUCCCAGUAUGACCUUGACUAGAAGUUGGCCUAAAUUGGACUCCUCCUCCUCCGAGAUUAGGCUUAAAAUUUCCUUUGCUUGUAUAGAAAACAGCUCCUUCAUUAAUAUCAAGGUUUUGGACUGAUUUUCCAAGAGACCUUUGGCUCUCCUCUGAGAUCACCAUAGAAUAAGCUUGAUUGAUAGAGGGAGUAGGAGUCAUCAUAAGAAUUUGACUCCUACUGGGGGCAUAUGACUCAUUUAGACCAGUGAGAAACUGAAGUAAACGUUGAUAAUCAAAAUGUUGCAUGUAAUUCCUAGAUUCAGGGCAGUUACAGCCUGGGCAGGGCAUUAUGGCAUCGAAUUCAUCCCAGUAUUCACGCAAUCUAGAGAAGUAAUUGGAAACAGUGAGUGUACCUUGUGACAUAGAGUGAAUCUCCUUGUGCAGAAAAUGAAUUCGAGAUCCAUCAACCUUAUCGAACCUUUCAUUUAGGUCACUCCAAACUUUUGAUGCAUAAAUCACACUGCUCAAGAGCUCUUUCCUGAUUGAAUUGAUGAUCCAUGAGAGAACAAUGGCAUUACACUUUUCCCAUAGAUCAUGAAGAGAAGAAGGACAUGUGUCUCUGGUAUGCUUCCCAUCAACAAAACCAAGCUUACUUUUUCCCAGUAAAGCAAGGCGCAUAGAUCUACUCCAGAUGGCAUAGUUUUCAGGACCAGUGAGCUGAAUUGAAACCAAAGAGCUUCCUGAGGUAUCUGAUGGAUGCAGAUACAGGGGAUGAUAAUGAUCAAUCUCGAUUGAAUGAGGUGGGACAACUGCUGCAUCAUUGGACUCAUCAAUCGCCAUGGAUUAUAGAUCGAAGCUCUAAAAGGAACAGUAAUAAGCAAAUCAACAAAAAAUCACUACAAAGAUGAACAACUACAAGUUGAUAAAACCACAAAUUGAUGAUGAACUCCUGCUCGAACACUCAGGCUCUGAUACCAUGUAAACUUAUGGAGUAAUCACCAUCUAGAAGAUGCAAAAAGGAUCAGGAAGUAAGAAGAUACAGAGAGAAUUAUAGAAGAAAGAGAACUAAUUCUCAUUAAGCUGAAAGCAUCUUAAAAAUAUCUUUACAAUGCUAUGUCUAUAUAAAGGAAAGUUACUGUGCUAACUAACUCUAACAACUUUCUAACCUUCUAACUGAUUCUAGAAUAAUUAUCUUGUGAACUGCUCUAAUCCUAGCUGUCAUAAAUCUAACCAACAGCUUUCGAAUAGAGCAAGGCAACUCCCAAUGAAUCCCUUCAUCAGAACCAUCAUGGAGGAUGUGAAGUUUUCUGAGACAAGGGAGUCUCUGUAAAUGCCACUCCUUUCGAUCAUUCUCCAGUUUAUCGCAAAAUUCGAUCUCAAGGAAUUCUAGACUGAAGGGCAACCCUCCUUCAGGGAAGGACUUUAUUUCUGGACAAGAUUGCAGGAAGAGAUGACUAAGAGAUGGAAGAAGUUUUUGCAUAUGUUCUGGCAGCGACUUCAGCUUCUCACAGCGGUGAAUUUUCAUUUUUCGCAACAACGUUGGAGUCCUGGAUGCCACCAAAAGUAUUUCAAGACUUUCACAUUCAGAAAUACGGAGAUCUUCAGUCCCAGUAGGAAUCAAAAGCCUAGUGAGGCUAUGGCACCUAUUUACACUCAAAUAGUGUGCUCUUGGGACCAACUCAGGUGAUAUAUCAUUUAUAGAAUUACAUCCACUUAGUUCCAGUCUCUCGAGAAACAUCUCACUAGCUGACGGCUCCAAUUUCAAUUUCUGACAAUAAUCUAUUUUUAUUUUCUUCAAGGUUUUCGACAGACUGCUAAUAUGCAAGGAGGUAAGACCGUAACACCAACUGAUAAUUAAUGACUCUAGCUGCAUCAUUCCUUGAAGUUGGGAUGCAAAUAGCUCAGCAUGAUCAAAAAGAACUCCAACCUUUAAAGAACCAGCAACUUUAAACCUUUUUAGAUUUGAAAGUUGGAUAGGUGUCUCCAAAAUGAAUUUCGGACAAUCUGAAAUUGACAAUCCGGUCAAAGAACAAAGAUUUCCAGGCAACUUCCCCAUCAACUUGGGACAGCCUUCAAUUGAAAGGUUCUGAAGUGCAGGGAACUCUCCUCUUCCUAGUACAUGCCAUUGCUUCCACCCGUUCAUCCGAUUAAAUCCAAGCAAUUCCAGAGAGUUAAAUGGCUUUAUUGAAGAUGGGCUACCAUAGAAUUCUUCGGUCACCUCUGUUAUUCGAUCUAUAUACCCAAUGGUGAGGACUUUCAAAGAUGGAAGUUGUCCUAGUGCUGGCAAGGAAUCACAGUUGUUGCAGUGGCUAAGAGACAACGUCUCCAGCUUAAGAUAGGAAUAAUCAGCCAGCCAGUUCGAAAAUUUUGUCCCUCUAUAUCCAGAGAUUUCCAGGUCUUGUAUGUUUGUGUUUGGUUGUAGUUCAUCGAGUAUGUCUCUUUCAGUUUGUGAAUUCUCAGCAAUACUUAUACCCCACGACAAUGAUAACCUCUUAAUAUGUUCCUUUUCCCUCAUGUUUGCCUUCAGAGCUUCCCUUCUAUCAACCACAUUUCGCAACUCUACAAUUGAUAGAGAUCCAUACAAGUUGCAUUGUUCACCCAAAUCUUUGAGUUUCAAACCACUUGGAAGACAUGUAACUCCUAAUAGCACCUGGAGGCUUUUCAACUUGCUAGGAUGUAGCGGCAUCUUCAACCGAGAACAGUGCCUAAUGUCAAGGUAACGCAAGUUGAUCAAAUUUCCCAUCUGCAGCGGUAACUCCUCAAGAUCAAAACAAGACGACACGAUAAGUGUCUCUAAGUUGUACAACACACAAAUUGAAUCUGGUAACUGUUUUAUAUGUGUCCAAGAAAGGUCCAAAAAUCUUAGGAGUUUUAAUUUGAUAAAUAAGUCAUUCGGUACAUCCUUGAUGUAAUAACCAGAAAAUGACAAUGCCCUUAAGAAUGUUAGUCUUGGAAGUAUGUUAUGCAGCACCCUCUUGCUUAGAUUAACUGAACACCAAUGGUGCUGGAAAUUUAUCGGAAGCAAUGUCCUUAAUUGCUCCAAUUUGUGGAGGGUUUUCAAUUUACCAAAAUCACCAUCUCCUCCUGAAAAUGACAAAAGGUUACUAUCACCCGUGAUAUAUGACAAGUGUCGAGUUCGUUCCAACAUAUGAGAUCCUUCGAUGUCUUCCAACCUGGUACAGUGUUUUGAAGAUGCAAUUUGGGCAAGAUCAUUGACAAGGUCAUGCAUAAAGAAUUUCUCACCAUCCAUUUGAGAAUCAGGGACCCUGUCUAACAAUGAUCUUGAUCUCAACUCGAGAAUGUACUAGUUGCCUAGUUCUUCAACCGUUUCAUCUUUUUGCAACUUCUGAACUAGACCAUUAGCAAUCCACAGUUGAAUGAUUUGUUCUCUGUAAAAUUGAUAAUCUUUUGAAAAUAUUGCGCAAUAGGAAAAGCAUCGCUUCAAAUGUGGGGGAAGCUCAUUGUAGCUUAACAUCAAUGCUGGUAAGAUUCCAUUGUCUGGAAGCUCCCAUAUUUCACUUCUCAAAAUGCGUUUCCGCUCUUCAAUUGUUGAUUUUGAGCGUAACAUCCCAGCAAGGGUCUUUAUAGCUAAAGGCAAUCCUUUGCAUUUCUCUGCAAUUUUCUUUCCAAUCUCUUCAAGUUCUAGAUGUUCCUCAGGAUCCCUGUUUUCUAAUGAAUGUCGUUUGAAUAAAGCCCAAGAGACUUCAUUAGACAGAAUCCCCACAUUCAUUGCCCCACCACCCAUCAUCAAGGCAACACUCUCCUUACGUGUUGUCACAAUGAUCUUACUUCCGAGAUCUCCUUGCACAAAAAGAUGUCUCAAGUCAUCCCACUCAUUAUAUUGGUCAUUCCAAACAUCAUCUAGAACAAUAAGAAACUUUUUACGCUUUAAGCUCUCCUUCAAUUUGAUCUGAAUCUGAUUUAUAUUAUCAUCAACCUGUAAGCCAAUCUCUUGAAGCAAUCCUUUUGCUAUUCUGAAAGCAUCAUAUUGUUCAGACACACAAAACCAAGCUUUCAAAUCAAAAUGGUCGUUCACCUUCUCAUCAUUGUAAACAGCUUUAGCAAGUGUUGUCUUGCCCACGCCCCCCAUUCCAACAACAGGGAUUACAGUCAAACUUCUACCAUUUGCAUCAACAGAUAAUAAACGGCCCACCAAUUCCUCUGUUUCACUCUGCCUACCAAAGAUAUCAGAUUCAUCAACCACAGAAGUUGAAGGUCUUCUAGUUUCUUGUUUACCCGAAUCAAGACACGAUUUCAGGUCAAGACAACCAAUUUGCUUUUGCAACUCCUCCAAUGUUUCAAUAUUUUCUUCCAACUUAUCCUUUAUGUUAAGAAAAAAUUCAUCACUCAAGGACAAGCUGAGGUGACUUACCUGUGGGUUGCUUGUUUCUCCAAGAUUUUGACACUGACCUUCUACCUUUAGUCUCAAAACUUCAUAAUUGACUUCUUCAAUUAAGUUCUCAGCACUGUCCACAGCAUCUCGAAGCUCAUUAAGCCACUGGCUCACGUAUGGAUUUGAUGUUUGCUUAUUCUCUGCAUCACUUAACACAGCCUGAAGACCAAGCAAAGUCAUCCUCAGCUUCUUUAAGAGCCGAACAUCACACUUGUCCCUCUUAAACAUCUUCAGCAGAUCACCGUUAGGAGCAAGCCUGUCAAAGAGAACGUUCAAAGCUGAAGAGAGAAUUGCACCACCAACUGCUAAGCCAAUCUCCAUUUCUGAAAUCUGCAAAGCAAAAACAGGAAACCACAAAAUGAUUAUAAGAAUUUGGAGAAGAUUACUGUUUCUUUGCUAAGAGCUUUAUUUUACCUGUUGAAUGAUAAAGAGUAAUUUGCAACUAUGAAUGAUCACUGAUUUCUCUCUCUCUCUCUCUUGCUAGUGGUUUUACUUGUAACUGGUACAACUAUGUCUGCUACUAUUAACUAUUGUCCCUUUUUUCUCUUUUCCGAAAGUAUGACUUUUCAGCCAACAAGAUGACAAAGACUAUUCAUUACUCUCUCAAUGCCUUGAAUAAUUGAAGCAAGAGAGGAUAAGAAAGGGGUCGUUUGCUGUGAUGGAUAAAACUAGUUAAUUGAGGAUUAUUUUUUAGUGCCCUUUAGGGAUCAUUUGAUUUGAAGACAAGUUAUGUUAGGAUUAGUUAUCAUGUGAUAAGUUAUACUGAGAUAAAUUAUGAAAGGAUUAGUUCUGCUGAUUUAUUGGUUUGUCAUAGUCAAAUAAUAUGCAUGGCAUAAUUUUUAAGAAUACGGGGUCAUUUGGUGUGAUGGAUAAAAGGAAUUAAUCCCGAAACAAUUUUUGAGUGCCCUUUAAUUCGUUGUUUGGUUGCAAAGACUGGAAUAACUUAUCCCAAGAUAAUAGUUAGUCUUGGGAUAAUUUAUCCCUCCCUGAGGUGGAAUAGUAAUCCAACGAUAACUUAUCCUGGAUAAAGUAUGUAAAAUAUCAAAAAUACCUCCCUUAAACUCUCUUUAUACACCACUUUACAUUCAUGUAUAUUAAAAUAAUUUUUAACAAUAUUUAUGAUAAUAUUCACAACCUUAAUUAUUCAUUGUUUUUAUGAUAUUAUAUUUUUCUAUUAAAAAAUUGCAUUUUAUAAAUAUAAUUUUUAUUUAUGACUACAUUACAGGUUGAACUUAUUUGCCUAAUUUUUAUGUUUAUUUAUAUUUUAGUUUCUCUUAAAAUGUUCAGUCCACUACUAAUUACAUAUUUUUAAUUAUGCUUCCGAAACACCUUGAACAGCUCACCCUUAGGAGCAAGCCUAUUAAAGAGAACAUUCAAAGCUGAAGAGAGAAAUGCACCACCAACUGCUAAGCCAAUCUCCAUUUCUCAAACCUGAAAAACAAAACAAAGAAUCACAAAAUGGUUUAAUAUUUCUACUAGUAAGAGAUUUAAUUUACCUGUUGAAUGCUUGAGCAAUAUGCAAACAAUAACUGACUGUCCACUAAUUAAUUUGCAAUUGUUAUACCAAUUUUGGAGAAUGACUUUUCUCUUUUAUUUUCCACAGCAUAUAUAUUAAAAAACUAAAAAUAACACGACUUGUUAUAUUUUAAUUGAAUCAAACUUGUAACUUUUGGCUUGAUUAUCAAAUUCCAUACAAUAAUAAUAAAUUAUUGGUGGACACCACCAUUAUAUAAAGGCAAAUGAGUAAAUUAUAAGUAGUGGUUAUAAAAAAAUUUUAAUUCAACAACCUUCCUACUAUUGGUCUCUACAAUCAACUAGCAUUAGCUUUAAAAAAUGACCAGAAACUUCCUACUAAUUGUUUUCUUGAAAUUAAUGUUUUGAAAUCAAAUACUAUGAAAAGAUAGGCCAAGCAGAAAGGCACCCUCUUUUGUUGUUGCCACAAUAUAUUUGACUUUUCAGGACAAGUUCCAAUGGAUUCUAUGUCUUUUCCCUGUGAAGUAUUUCGUUUUCUUCUGUAACAUAAAAAGUUAAGAGGAAAUGACUUCUGCAUAUUUCUUUUUUCAAUAACCACCAAAUAAGAUCUAAACGUCAAAUAUUAUUAAGGUGUGUAACAAUAGCAAUCAUUCAUUAUAGCAGCCAAAAAGAUGUCUGUCAUUAUAAAGAGGUCCAACUUUGUCUUUCGUAAUUAUACUAAACUAACUUCACUUGUAAUCUCAAUCCUGAACAUUCUCAAGGACAACAUAGCAAUAUUUGCUGCUUCAACUCAACUAAGAUCAUAUACAUAACUUGAAAUAGCAUCACUUACUAUAUAUACAUACAAAAUAAAAUUCCAUCUGCUGCUACAAACUCGCGCACAACAGAGCAAUGUUGAGGAUGGAAGUAUUACCAAACUCGUGGACAACACCAUCUGGACAUACCAACUAGACCUUGUAGCACUGCUGGUCUAAAUGCAGGUUCAGCAAUUCAAGCAAAAUGUUUUAAGCAGUCAUUCUUUGAGUCUGAGGAGCACAUUUUAGGCACACAGAUGGAAGGAACUCUCACGAUCGACAUGUUUACCUGAUAAAGACCACAACAGUUAAAAUUACUAAAACACAAAAUGAUAAAAAUGGGCAUUUGAGCAAUUAAAGUUUCUCAAUUUUGAAGUGCAGCUGUAGCAGUGAACAACAACCAUCACAGUUUCAUACACAAAAAUAUCCUAUUUUUCUGAGAAUGAAAUGCCUACCAUUCUUUCGGGAGAUGGAAGGAAUUCUAGCAUUGGUUCUGGUGGCAAACUUCAGCUAAUCUCGAUGAGGAAAUGACAUCGUAUCUUGGCAGAGAAACUGAUCAAUCGAACCUUGUACUUUGUUGAGCUGCUGACAGAAGAGAAGAAAAUAGAAAUGAUCUUAACGUGCUAUAAGAGAAACUCCUUGUACAAAAGUUUGCUCAAUAUUUCCUUCUCAGUCGAAUAAAAGAAAAGUAGUAGUGUCAAAUUCCAGCGAAAAGAGAAAGUACCUUUCUGCACCUACAUUCUGUUGACCGAUCACAGUUGAGCUGAUAUUUGCCUAUUCAAAAGUUAGCAUGUGCAUUACUCUAAACCACUUCCUCCUUCCACAACUUAUUGUGAUAUGUUGGAAGAAAACCUGGAAGUAGUCCAAUAUAAAACUUGAAAUCAAUGCGAUAACAAGGCUUAAAUGUGGAAGCAGAUAUUGGAAGUUUUUUCGAAAUUCUCUAAAUUUCAAGCUUGAUGCAACUCUUUUCAAGAUUUUGGCUACCUGACUGAAAAAUGAGGUUGCAUUCCUUUGGACCCCUUAUAUCUGUGGAAGACACAAGAAAUGGGGAACAAAGCCGAACAACUUUUCAUGAUGGCAAAAAUUUUCCCAGUCUGCGAGAUUUGAGAGAGAACAUAGGUUAAAAUACAAGAAACAAUAGUCUUAAAAGAUUACCAGCUCAUUAAUAUUACAUUAAGAAAAGAGAAACGGUGAAAUAGUGUUAAUAUUCUAAGUAAGAUGAAGAGUGAAUAUAUAUAACAAGAAUUCAUGAAUUGCAAUUGAGAUGAAGAUCCAAGACGAUAAACAUCCUGCUGACAAGAUUACUAGUUCAUUAAUAUUACAUUGAGCUAUCAACUUUUCGAAGCGGAUUAUUUCAAUCCCAUACCAGCUUUCUUUUUCUCACCUUUUUGCUGUCAUCUAAAAUUAAACUCAUCCCGAUCCAAGAUUAUUCCUUGGCUUCACAGUGGCAAAAGACGCUUUGCGCUGCUUAAACAUUUAACAAAGGAAAAGAAUUAACUAACAAGCAAGGAGAAGUUAAUAAAAAUAACUAAUGAAAAAAGAAAGAAUCAAAAUUAUAUAUAUCAGAGCAUCAUUUCUCUUAAUCAUUUCUGGUAUACCUAUCAAUAAAUGGGAAGCUACAUAUAAGGUGUAGGAUUUCUUAAUGGUGUGAGGUAUUUUGGGGAAAUUCAUGCGAGCUCACACCUUGUUAAGAGUAUCAUUAAUAGAUAAUUCAUGUACCAUUCAUGCUGUACAGGAAGUGACUAGAAACAGGGGAAUAAAGAGACUAAUAACUUUUGUGAUAGAAAAAAAUUAUGCAAAGCAGUCUACAAGAUUAGCAUAGAAAAUUUAUUGAUAAACAAACAAAGAGAAGUCUUGAAAAUUAUUUAGAGAAUCACUUACCAAUGAUCUUGCUCGCUAUGUAUAAGUUCAUUAUUGAAUCAUAUGUUGUGUUUGAGCAAUCUCUGGCCACUCCUCCAUCAAUAUGCAAUUUGAGCAUCACUCUCGGAGUGGGGGUUUACCCAAUGCGCACAAAGUGCUCACCCGAAGGGCAGAGGCUGUGGCAGAGAUUGUAGCGGUUGUGGGUUAUCCUGGGGUUCCAAAAAUAAAGCAAAUAAAGGAGUAACAAUUGAAUAGGUAAUUAGAUAAGAGUCAUGAAAGAGAAUAUAUAAAGCAAAUAAAGGAGAAAAAUAAAUAAAUGAAGGAGGAAAAAAGAAUAGUGCAAUUGAUAUUUAAGUGUGACCAUAGAAAAAAAUUAAAUUAUAAUUAAAUAUUAAUAUUAUGUAUAUAAUUGUUUGCGGGAAAGGAUCCAUCAAAAGACAUUUAUAUAACCAAUUCAAUGAUAACCACAAAACAGAUUAAUAAGAAAAAAAAUGCCCAAAUCCAUAAAUUGAGAUUGAGUUACAAUUGACCUUUAAGAAUAUUUGCACCACUUUUAAUAGAAUAUGAUGAUAUGAUAUGAUGAUUACAGUGUUCCCACCCAAAUAUAAAUAUUUUUUCACCUUUCUUUUUUGUAAUCAAACAUUAUAGUCAUCCUGAUCUGAAGAUGAUUCCUCGGCUUCACAGUGCAACAGACGCUACACACUGCACAAAACAAUAUAACAAAGGAAAAGAAUCAACAAACAAGCAAAGAGAAGUAACGAAAAAUAAAAAGAGUUCUUACAUCUGUCAAAGCGCCAUUUGUUUUGAUCAUCACAGGUAUUCCCCAUUGAUCUGUAUACUGGAAAUAUGAGCAAUAUUUGGCCAGUAUUCCCCCUUCAUAAAUUCUAGACAUGGACUGAGCAAUGGGUAGUGUGAAAUAGAUAGUUUAGAGAGGGCAGAGGGCAUCCCUUUUACUGGAAGAUGUUGAAGUUUAGGACAAGAAUCGAUGGUCAGCACAGACAGGGAGGAAGGCAGUGCUGAUUCUGGAAGAGAUUGGAGUUGCUGACACCCGAAAAUCUUUAGAUGCCUAAGAGAAGUGAGUCCCCGAAGACCUUCAGUUGACAGUGAAUGGAGCUCAUGAUGGUCUCUUCAUGUUAGUGAAGAAAGAGACGAGGGAAGCCCUUCUUCGAUCAGUGACUGGAUUUGAGGUAAACAAACAGUGGAUAGAGAUUCAAGAGAGGUGAGGCUUUUGAGAAGUUGGCUGCUUAAUGUUUUCAUAUUGUAUACCUCAAGUCUUUGAAUUGAGCAAGGCAACUCCCAAUGAAUCUCUUCGUCAGUAGAACCAUGGAGGAUUGUAAGUUUUCUGAGACAAGGGAGUCUCUGUAAAUGCCACUCCUUUCGAUCAUUCUCCAGUUUAUUGCAAUACCAGAUAUGAAGGACUUUUAGACUGAAGGGCAACCCUCCUUCAGGGAAGGACUUUAUUUCUGGACAACUUUCCAGGAGGAGAUGAUUAAGAGAUGGAAGAAGUUCCUGCAUAUAUUCUGGCAGCACCUUCAGCUUCUCGCAGCUGUGAAUUUUGAUAGUUCGCAACAACGUUGGAGUCCUGGAUGCCACCAAAAGUAUUUCAAGAUUUUCACAUCCAGAAAUAUUGAGAUCUUCAGUCCCAGUAGGAAUCAAAAGCCUAGUAAGGCUGUGGCAACUAUUUACACUAAAAUAGUGUGCUCUUGGGACCAGCUCAGGUGAUAUCUUUAUAGAAUUACAUUCAGUUAGUACCAGUGUCUCGAGAAACAUCUCACUAACUGACGGCUCCAAUUUCAAUUUCUGACAAUAACAUAUCUCUAUUAUCUUCAUGGUUUUCGACAGACAGCUAAUAUGCAAGGAGCUAUUUGCAUCAUUCCUUGAAGUUGGGAUGCAAAUAGCUCAGCAUGAUCAAAAAGAAUUCCUACAUUUAAAGAACCAACAACUUCAAACCUUUUUAAGCUUGAAAGUUGGAUAGGUGUCUCCAAAAUGAAUUUCGGACAAUUUGAAAUUGUCAAUCCUGUCAAAGAACAAAGAUUUCCUGGCAACUUCCCCAUCAACUUGGGACAGCCUUCAAUUGAAAGGUUCUGAAGUGCAGGGAACUCUCCUCUUCCUAGUACGUGCCAUUGCUUCCAUCCGUUCAUCCGAUUAAAUUUAAGCCAUUCAAGAGAGUUAAUUGGCUUUACUGAAGAUGGGCUACCAUAGAAUUCUUCGGUCACCUCUGUUAUUCGAUCCAUAUACCCAAUGGUGAGGACUUUCAAAGAAGGAAGUUGUCCUAGUGCUGGCAAGGAAUCACAGUUGUUGCAGUGGCUAAGAGACAACGUCUCCAGCUUAAGAUAGGAAUAAUCAGCAACCCAGUUCGGAAAUUUUGUCCCUCUAUAUCCAGAGAUUACCAGUUCUUUUAUGUUUGUGUUUGGUUGUAGUUCAUCGAGUAUGUCUCUUUCAGUUUGUGAAUUGUCAGCAAUACGUGUACCCACAACAAUGAUAACCUCUCAAUAUGUUCCUUUUCCCUCAUGUUUGCCUUCAAAGCUUCCCUUCUAUCAACCACAUUUUGCAACUCUGCAAUUGAUAGAGAUCCAUACAAGUUGUGUAGUUCACCCAAAUCUUUGAGUUUCAAACCAAGACAUUUAACUCCUAAUAGCACCUGGAGGCUUUUCAACUUGCUAGGAUGUAGCGGCAUCUUCAACCGAGAACAGCGCCUAAUGUCAAGGUAAUGCAAGUUGAUCAAAUUUCCCAUCUGCAGUGGUAACUCCUCAAGACAUCCACAAGACGACACGAUAAGUGUCUCUAAGUUGUACAACACACAAAUUGAAUCUGGUAACUGUUUUAUCAUUGUCCAAGAAAGGUCCAAAAAUCUUAGGAGUUUUAAUUUGAUAAAUAAGUCAUUCGGUACAUCCUUGAUGUCAUAACCAGAAAAUGACAAUGCCCUUAAGACUGUUAGUCUUGGAAGUAUGUUAUGCAGCACCCUCUUGCUUAGAUUAACUGAAAACAAAUGGAGCUGGAUAUUUAUUGGAAGCAAUGUCCUUAAUUGCUCCAAUUUGUAGAGGGUUUUCAAUUUACCAAAAUCACCAUCUCCUGAUGAAUAUGACAAAAACUUACCAUCACCCGUGGAAUACGACAAGUGUCGAGUUCGUUCCAACAUAUGAGAUCCUUCGAUGUCUUCUAACCUGGUACAAUGUUUUGAAGAUGCAAUUUGGGCAAGAUCGUUGACAAGGUCAUGCAUAACGAAUUUCUCACCAUCCAUUUGAGAAUAUUUGUACAAGUCCUGGCCUGAGAAUGUCCCUCCCUUCCAUUUAAGAGAAUCAGGGACCCUGUCUAACAAUGAUCUUGAUCUCAACUCGAGAAUGUACUGGUUGCCUAGUUCUUCAACCGUUUCAUCUUUUUGCAACUUCUGUACUAGACCAUUAGCGAUCCACAGUUGAAUGAUUUGUUCUCUGUAAAAUUGAUAAUCUUUUGGAAAUAUUGCGCAAUAGGAAAAGCAUCGCUUCAAAUGUGGGGGAAGCUCAUUGUAGCUCAACAUCAAUGCUGGUAAUAUUCCAUUGUCUGGAAGCUCCCAUAUUUCACUUCUCAAAAUGCGUUUCCACUCUUCAAUCGUUGAUUUUGAGCAUAACAUCCCAGCAAGGGUCUUUAUAGCUAAAGGCAAUCCUUUGCAUUUCUCUGCAAUUUUCUUUCCAAUCUCUUCAAGUUCUAGAUGUUCCUCAGGAUCCCUGUUUUCUAAUGAAUGUCGUUUGAAUAAAGCCCAAGAGACUUCAUUAGACAGAAUCCCCACAUUCAUUGCCCCACCACCCAUCAUCAAGGCAACACUCUCCUUACGUGUUGUCACAAUGAUCUUACUUCCGAGAUCUCCUUGCACAAAAAGAUUUCUCAAGUCAUCCCACUCAUUAUAGUUGUCAUUCCAAACAUCAUCUAGAACAAUAAGAAACUUUUUACGCUUUAAGCUCUCCUUCAAUUUGAUCUGAAUCUGAUUUAUAUUAUCAUCAACCUGUAAGCCAAUCUCUUGAAGCAAUCCUUUUGCUAUUCUGAAAGCAUCAUAUUGUUCAGAAACACAAAACCAAGCUUUCAAAUCAAAGUGGUCAUUCACCUUCUCAUCAUUGUAAACAGCUUUAGCAAGUGUUGUCUUGCCCAACGCCCCCCAUUCCAACAACAGGGAUUACAGUCAAACUUCUACCAUUUGCAUCAACAGAUAAUAAACGGCCCACCUAUUCCUCUGUUUCACUCUGCCUACCAAAGAUAUCAGAUUCAUCAACCACAGAAGUUGAAGGUCUUCUAGUUUCUUGUUUACCCGAAUCAAGACACGAUUUCAGGUCAAGACAACCAAUUUGCUUUUGCAACUCCUCCAAUAUUUCAAUAUUUUCAUCCAACUUAUCCUUUAUGUUAAGAAAAAAUUCAUCACUCAAGGACAAGCUGAGGUGACUUACCUGCGGGUUGCUUGUUUCUCCAAGAUUUUGACACUGACCUUCUACCUUUAGUCUCAAAAUUUCAUAAUUGACUUCUUCAAUUAAGUUUUCAGCAGAGUCCACAGCAUCUCGAAGCUCAUUAAGCCACUGUCUCACGUAUGGAUUUGAUGUUUGCUUAUUCUCUGCAUCACUUAACACAGCCUGAAGACCAAGCAAGGUCAUCCUCAGCUUCUUUAAGAGCCGAACAUCACACUUGUCCCUCUUAAACAUGUUGAGCAGAUCACCGUUAGGAGAAAGCCUAUCAAAGAGAACAUUCAAAGCUGAAGAGAGAAAUGCACCACCAACUGCUAAGCCAACCUCCAUUUCUGAAUUCUGCAAAGCAAAACAGGAAACCACAAAAUGAUUAUAAGAAUUUGGAGAAGAUUAUUGUCCUGUUUCUUUACUAAGAGCUUUAUUUUACCUGUUGAAUGAUUAAGAGUAAUUUGCAAAGCAAAACAGGAAACCACAAAAUUAGGAGCUUUCUCUCUCUCUCUCUCUCUCUCUCUUGCUAGUGGUUUUACUUGUAAUUGGUACAACUAUGUUUGCUACUAUCAACUACUGUCCUGUUUUUUCUCUUUUCCAAAACUAUGACUUUUCACCCAACAAGAUGACAAAGACUAUUCAUGUAACAUCCGACAAUUUAAAAUGAAUAUGAAGAAGCUUGAAUUUGGAAAUAGUCAUUUUUGGAAAAAUUUAAAAUCUGGAAAUUUGGCAGUCCAGAAUCUGAAAAUUUGGCUAAGUUCAAAAAUCUGGAAAUUUGGUUAAGUGUGGAAAUCAGUGAGUUUUUGGCCAACUUUGAGCAGUCUUAACUCCUAGCUCAGGAUGAGUUAGGAGUGGUUCCAGUUAUGGUUGUGAAGCUUGUGGAACGAUCUUUCCAACGCCACCGAGUUUGCUCGAUUCCGAGUUUGUAUGAGCGAGUUAUGCCCUUUGAAAGUUGGAGCAGUUGGCAGGGAGUCCGUCCCGAAAUUUAAGGGCAUUUUGGUCUUUUCACAAAUCAUUUUGUCACGACCCGAUUUCUCGAGUCAUGAUGGCACCUACUAUACCCUACCAGUAGGUAAGCCAACCCGUAACCCAGAACAUCAAGCAAUGAUCAAAAGGGCAGAAACUAGCGAAAACAAUAAUCUAAACAAGGAUAACAAGGCGAAAGCAACCCAAAAUAAAUAUAUACAGAAAUCCCUCCCAGAACCUGGAAGUCACUAGUACAGAGCUAUCUAAUAAAGAGUACAAGUCCCAAAAGUGGACCACAACAGAGCGUGUCUCAAAGGCAACAAGACUAGCUAAAACAAAAGAAGGAGACAGAAUAAACCCCAAAACGCCAAGUGCUCGCCCUCGUCUCCGAAUCACAACUGCAAAAGAAGGCUGGAACUAAUCACCGCUGGUAACUGGUACUGGGACCUGCAUCACGAAAUAGAUGCAGAGCGUAGCAUGAGUACCAACACAACAGGUACUCAGUAGGCAUCAUAGGCCGACUGAGCAAAAAGGGUAAAAACAAUAAGAAAGGAUAGAAUCUAGACACAGAGAGGUCAAGCGGAUAAGAAAAGAAAGCACACGAGCAUACCAGAAACAAACUAAGUACAACUAAACUAAACCUAACUGGACCCCCAUAAGCCCAGAAGGUACACUCGUGCGCAAGCUCAAAUAAAACCUGAACGAACCCCCAUAAGCCCGACAUGUACACAGAAAAGCUAAGUCUACUGAGAAAGAAGAAAACCGGGCUCCCAACCCAAAGUAACUAAGAUAAUCCAUCAGACACCACCCAGCCAGCAGUGCACUCCCAGCCCAGCUAGAAAGAGUGACUCUAGGGGGCACCCAACCAAACAGUCCACUCCCAGCCCAACUAGAAAGAGGGACCCGUGANNNNNNNNNNNNNNNNNNNNNNNNNNNNNNNNNNNNNNNNNNNNNNNNNNNNNNNNNNNNNNNNNNNNNNNNNNNNNNNNNNNNNNNNNNNNNNNNNNNNNNNNNNNNNNNNNNNNNNNNNNNNNNNNNNNNNNNNNNNNNNNNNNNNNNNNNNNNNNNNNNNNNNNNNNNNNNNNNNNNNNNNNNNNNNNNNNNNNNNNNNNNNNNNNNNNNNNNNNNNNNNNNNNNNNNNNNNNNNNNNNNNNNNNNNNNNNNNNNNNNNNNNNNNNNNNNNNNNNNNNNNNNNNNNNNNNNNNNNNNNNNNNNNNNNNNNNNNNNNNNNNNNNNNNNNNNNNNNNNNNNNNNNNNNNNNNNNNNNNNNNNNNNNNNNNNNNNNNNNNNNNNNNNNNNNNNNNNNNNNNNNNNNNNNNNNNNNNNNNNNNNNNNNNNNNNNNNNNNNNNNNNNNNNNNNNNNNNNNNNNNNNNNNNNNNNNNNNNNNNNNNNNNNNNNNNNNNNNNNNNNNNNNNNNNNNNNNNNNNNNNNNNNNNNNNNNNNNNNNNNNNNNNNNNNNNNNNNNNNNNNNNNNNNNNNNNNNNNNNNNNNNNNNNNNNNNNNNNNNNNNNNNNNNNNNNNNNNNNNNNNNNNNNNNNNNNNNNNNNNNNNNNNNNNNNNNNNNNNNNNNNNNNNNNNNNNNNNNNNNNNNNNNNNNNNNNNNNNNNNNNNNNNNNNNNNNNNNNNNNNNNNNNNNNNNNNNNNNNNNNNNNNNNNNNNNNNNNNNNNNNNNNNNNNNNNNNNNNNNNNNNNNNNNNNNNNNNNNNNNNNNNNNNNNNNNNNNNNNNNNNNNNNNNNNNNNNNNNNNNNNNNNNNNNNNNNNNNNNNNNNNNNNNNNNNNNNNNNNNNNNNNNNNNNNNNNNNNNNNNNNNNNNNNNNNNNNNNNNNNNNNNNNNNNNNNNNNNNNNNNNNNNNNNNNNNNNNNNNNNNNNNNNNNNNNNNNNNNNNNNNNNNNNNNNNNNNNNNNNNNNNNNNNNNNNNNNNNNNNNNNNNNNNNNNNNNNNNNNNNNNNNNNNNNNNNNNNNNNNNNNNNNNNNNNNNNNNNNNNNNNNNNNNNNNNNNNNNNNNNNNNNNNNNNNNNNNNNNNNNNNNNNNNNNNNNNNNNNNNNNNNNNNNNNNNNNNNNNNNNNNNNNNNNNNNNNNNNNNNNNNNNNNNNNNNNNNNNNNNNNNNNNNNNNNNNNNNNNNNNNNNNNNNNNNNNNNNNNNNNNNNNNNNNNNNNNNNNNNNNNNNNNNNNNNNNNNNNNNNNNNNNNNNNNNNNNNNNNNNNNNNNNNNNNNNNNNNNNNNNNNNNNNNNNNNNNNNNNNNNNNNNNNNNNNNNNNNNNNNNNNNNNNNNNNNNNNNNNNNNNNNNNNNNNNNNNNNNNNNNNNNNNNNNNNNNNNNNNNNNNNNNNNNNNNNNNNNNNNNNNNNNNNNNNNNNNNNNNNNNNNNNNNNNNNNNNNNNNNNNNNNNNNNNNNNNNNNNNNNNNNNNNNNNNNNNNNNNNNNNNNNNNNNNNNNNNNNNNNNNNNNNNNNNNNNNNNNNNNNNNNNNNNNNNNNNNNNNNNNNNNNNNNNNNNNNNNNNNNNNNNNNNNNNNNNNNNNNNNNNNNNNNNNNNNNNNNNNNNNNNNNNNNNNNNNNNNNNNNNNNNNNNNNNNNNNNNNNNNNNNNNNNNNNNNNNNNNNNNNNNNNNNNNNNNNNNNNNNNNCUGGAAAUUUAAGGGCAUUUUGGUCUUUUCACAAAUCAUUUCUUUUGAGGUUAUAUUGUGUGUUAGGCUGAGUGGAUCAUUUUUUGUUCCAUUUUAAAAGAGAGAAAGUUAGGGUUUUUGAGAGUGAAGAAGAGGAGAAAGAGGAGAUCAACAAGUUUCCGUCGUGGAAUUUCGUCGGGGGUGAUCCCUAUCAAGGUAUGUGAGUUCUUUAGUGUGGGUUGAUCCUUUCCCCCACACACCAAGCUCAUUUUUAUGAUUUGAGAAAAUAUUGGAUUAGUUGUUAGUUGUUGUUGAUGUUGUUAGUUGUGUUGUGGAAGUUAUUGUUGGUUGUGGGACACGAUUUGGUUGUGUUCUUGAGCUGAAAGCUAUUGUAUAUUGAGGGAUUUUAUGAUCCUUAGUGUUGGUUGGUUCAUACCCCUACACACCAACUCGUUUUAAAUUUCAAGAAAAGAUCUAUUUUGGUUGUUGAAGUUGUUGGUUGUGUUGUUGAAGUUGUUGCUGAUUUAGGACAGAAUUUGAUUGUGUUUUUUAGUGUAAUCCACUCUAUGCUGAGGGGUUUAUGACCCCAAGUGUUUGGGAAAAGAACCUUUGAAGUUAAGAGGGUUUAGAGUUGGCAACAUGAAGGAGAAAAGUCAAGCUGCUUUCAGGAAACAAGUCUGUGUUCCCUCUGUGAACAAAAUCUGUUNNNNNNNNNNNNNNNNNNNNNNNNNNNNNNNNNNNNNNNNNNNNNNNNNNNNNNNNNNNNNNNNNNNNNNNNNNNNNNNNNNNNNNNNNNNNNNNNNNNNNNNNNNNNNNNNNNNNNNNNNNNNNNNNNNNNNNNNNNNNNNNNNNNNNNNNNNNNNNNNNNNNNNNNNNNNNNNNNNNNNNNNNNNNNNNNNNNNNNNNNNNNNNNNNNNNNNNNNNNNNNNNNNNNNNNNNNNNNNNNNNNNNNNNNNNNNNNNNNNNNNNNNNNNNNNNNNNNNNNNNNNNNNNNNNNNNNNNNNNNNNNNNNNNNNNNNNNNNNNNNNNNNNNNNNNNNNNNNNNNNNNNNNNNNNNNNNNNNNNNNNNNNNNNNNNNNNNNNNNNNNNNNNNNNNNNNNNNNNNNNNNNNNNNNNNNNNNNNNNNNNNNNNNNNNNNNNNNNNNNNNNNNNNNNNNNNNNNNNNNNNNNNNNNNNNNNNNNNNNNNNNNNNNNNNNNNNNNNNNNNNNNNNNNNNNNNNNNNNNNNNNNNNNNNNNNNNNNNNNNNNNNNNNNNNNNNNNNNNNNNNNNNNNNNNNNNNNNNNNNNNNNNNNNNNNNNNNNNNNNNNNNNNNNNNNNNNNNNNNNNNNNNNNNNNNNNNNNNNNNNNNNNNNNNNNNNNNNNNNNNNNNNNNNNNNNNNNNNNNNNNNNNNNNNNNNNNNAACCCACAGCCCCCAUAGAAUCAUGUUAGCCACCAUGGGUAGAAAAGGAUCAUACUUUUUAGAUGAAUCCUUUUCAGAUUAGACUAGUGGAUCCAUUAGGCAGUUCAGGUCCUAUACCUUUGGCCGGGAAUAGGAUGCUCUGGCAGCGUGAGGUCGAUCGCUGUAUCAUCACUAUAGCUCUUAUGUGAUGGUUGUCGGUUAGAGAAACUCCUACAGCAAUUAUUGCAUUUUUAUACAUAGAAAUUAUUGUAUUUUAUAUACAUCAGUUCAAUUGUAUUUCUAUAUACAUCUCAGGCUUAUUGUAUCCUUGUAUACACACAGAGUUUAUAGCAUGUUUUAAACAGUCUUUCUUUAUAUCGCACGUGUUUUAAAUUGCCGUAUAUUGGAAGAAGUCAGUCAUGUUGAGUUGAGUUGAGCCAGGUAAGCUAUUUCAGUUUCUUCCAGAUUUCCUUCUAGCCUAUGUUGUUUAGCUUUCCAGCUCGCAUACUCGUACAUUCCAUGUACUGAUGCCAGUUGGCUUGCAUCUUAUGACGAUGCAGAUAUAGGUACCCCCGGAUCAGCAUCCUGCACGUCGUUGAUCCAAUUGAGCACUCCAGAGUCAGUGGUGAGCCUCCUUGCAUUUCGGAGGACUCAAUUAUUUGUGUUCUUAGUUUUUGUUUAUUAGGAUGUUGCGGGGUCUGUCCCAGCAUCCAUCUCAGUAUUUUUCAUAGACAGACAGUCAGUCAGUUAGUUUUGAGUCUCUCAUCUAUAUAUAUAUAUGUAAAUAUUCUAUUUUUGAGAUUCGAGUUGCCUUUAUGGCCAUAUUUUAUAAGUUAAGUUGUUUUGUAAUAUUGCAUUGCAUUGAGUUAUUCUGUUCAGGUUUCCGCUGAGUUAAGAAAGUCAGGCCAAGGGUUCGCUUGGGGCCAGAAAUGGUCUCCGGGUGCCGGUCCCGCCCAGGGUGUAGGCUCGGGGCGUGACAAUUCAUUACUCUCUCAAUUUAAUAAUUGAAGCAAGAGAGGAUAGGAAAGUGGUUGAUGGAUAAGUCGAGUUAAUUCGGAAUUAUUUUUGAGUGCCCUUUAGAGGUUUUUUGGUUGGAAGACAAGUUAUAGUAGGAUUAGUUAUGAUGUGAUAAAUUAUGUAUUAGUUAGCAGAAAUUAUCAAUGUUUACUUAUAUUUUAACUCAGUACAAUUAUUAAGUAAAUAUUGAACAAAAUAAAUAUAUUUGAACUUAUAUACAUCAGUUCUCUCCAACCAUGUUCUCUAUAGUAUUAUUGAAGGGGAAAAGACUACAACUGGGGCCACAUAAGACUCAGCACAAGUUGUGCCAAAAGUAAAUGAAAAUGUUCAAUUCUUUUAUAUUUUUUAACCCCUCCCUAGCUUUUUUGCUCUCUCACCUUUUUGCUCUUUCAGUGACUUAAACUUAUACCUUUAAGAUUCAAAGUAAAAGGUAUUUACCAUCCGAGCAACUUCUUCUUGUCAAAGUUACCAGCAUCUUAUGGAUUUAAAUGACCUUUCAAAGAAACCUACUUAUAUAUAAAGACCAAAAUGACAUUAAUCCCUAAAGCAACAUUAAUAUCAAACUUACAUAUUAUAAUUCCGUGCACGCGCGUUGCACGUGUUUCCCAUAUUAAUAAUAUUUUAAAAAUACAUACAUAUUUAGUUUUGAAAAUAAAAGUAGCAAAAAUUUGCAACUAAGAUUAUUUUUGAAGAAUUAAAAUAAGUAGUUGUUCAUCCAAUUGAUUAAACUAUAAAACAAAAUGGUGAAUAUAUAAUAUAUUAUAUAUGUAUAAUUCAUUUGUAAUGUGUACGAUCAUGCGUAAUCAAUAUAUAUAUAUAUAUAUAUAUAUCCGACUAUUUAAGUGAAGAUCCCUAUAUUUUAUGGUAGCUAAAAUAGUUUCUAUUCAAUGAUAUCAUAUCAAAAGAAAAGAAAAACUUCCUUUUAAAGUUUGAUACUAUAUUUAUAUAUGACGCGGAUACUCCUAAUUCUUUCUGUAAAAUGAAUUAGUAAAUUCAAAUAUGAAUAUACAUAUGAAGAAACAUUACAGAAUACAAAAACUUAUGAAAUAAUUUUUUCAAUACCUAUCGCAUGAUGCCAUGAAGGCAUACUACAAGAAAUCAUUUUAUAACUCCCUCCAAAUACACAAAUAAUUAUCGCAUUUAUCUAUAGCCGUAAACAAUUAUAAUUACAGUACAUUAUAAGAAUAAAUCAAUUAAUGAAAAUUCUAAAAUCAGUCUUCCAAAGAAACCAACUUCCUCCUUUUCAUAGCUCAUGAAUUUCUGCUAGCACUCCUUACGGAGACAAGUGGUCUUCAUAUAUCAUCCAAUGAACGUUGAAUGUUACAUGUAAAUUGAUAUGACAAUUAUUCAAUUCCAACAUGUAUCAACUCUACAUGUUUCUCCAUCUCUCAUUUUCUUUAGUUCAUGCAAAAGGUAAAAUUUAAGGGAAAAGAAAGAAAAUUAGAAGGAAGGCCAGAUGCUCAACUAAAGAAACAAAACUUGAAGGAAAUGGAAAUCAUUUGUUACCCUUUAUAUAGUGUUUUUUUUUUAUGUUCUUUGAAAUUCCUUUUAACAUAAUAAAUGAACUAUUCAAAUUCUACUGAUUGUUAUAUUAAAAAUUCGGUUAUGAAUAUAAAUAUCCCAAAGAAUUUGAACCAUUGUGUCUAGAUGCAUGAAUUUUAAAAAAAUUAUUAAUUAAUAUUAAAUUAAUUAUAUAUUAAUAUUUAAUUUAGUUUAGGGAUAAAAUAAGGACAGAAUGGUAAUUCAACUUUUAAGUUAGGAGCUUCCCACUUAUAAUAAUACUAGCCCUAGACACGUGCAUUGCACGUGUGUCCCAUGCUAAGUUGUGUGGAGUUGUUAUAGCGAUAUAUAUAUAUAUACUCGAACAUGUAUGUUGUCAGUGUAUCUCAUGCUAUUAGUACAAGAACUUUGAAAAUAUUAUAAUAAGUGUGUGAUAAGUUGUGCACAAAAAUUGAAGAGAAAUAUACAAGCUCAAACCAAUAACUUCAAUUAUGCAAUUCUUAUAAUAUAUCAUGUAUUCAAUUUGAUAAAAGUUUCUUUUGUUUAAUAUGUCAUAACUCAUAAUUUAAAUGUCAAUUGUGAUUUCAAAAUAUUUCUUGUCUUAAAUUUUUCUUCUUUUUAAGAAAUUGUAGUCUCCACUUUUUCACAUUUGCAUACAUAUUAAGAAGUACGUGUUGUCGAAUUAAAGUAGUAUUUUACAAAAAUUAAAUAGAAAUUUGAUCAAUUCAUGUCUUCCUUAAGAUGGCUAGUAUAAAUGAUCAUUGUGCGAUAACUUGCAAAGUAGUUGAAGAGAAAAUAUACAAGCUCAAAUCAAUGAAUGGUGAACCUAUUCAAUCAAUAUUAUUAUCAUUACAAGGUACAUCAUACUGAAAUAUUGCUAUCAAAUGAAUUUUAAAAGUACACUUGAACAAUUUUAAUUAUGUAAUAUUUUAAUAUAUCAAGUAUUUAACUGGAUAAAAGUUUUUUUAAUAUGUCACAACACAUUAUUAUUUGUAUUAUUAUUAUUAUUUUUGUUGUUGUUGUGAGAGGUUAAUACAUAUUAAAUAUUGUAAUUAUAGAGUACAUAAAAAGUCGGUUACGAAUACAAAUAUUUAUUAGAUAAAACUUAUUGAAAAUGUCAAUUACUCGUGUUGGCAGAUAUAAUGGCGAGUGGAGUACUCUUUAUUUUGAGAUAAAUGGAACCAUUAUUAUUUUAUUUAGUAAAAAAUAGAGUAAAUGAACAGGAAAAAGUUAUAUAUAUACUUUUUGAUUUAUAAUAGUGGCAAAAUAGUAAUCAAACUUUGAUAUUAAAAUGAUAAUCUACUUGUGAUUUUCUGAAUCUUAAUAUAAAUUUAUAUCCCAAUAUUAAAUUUUAAAUGGUGCACAUAUAUCUUAAUACUUUCUUUGAUCUAUAAUUAAUACUUUUCCAUAAUAAAAUUAAAAUCCAAGAUAUUAAACUCAUUAAUGACCAAUAAAAAGCUUCGUGUAACCCAUAAAGCAAGAUAUUAAACUCAUUAAUGAUACAAACUUCUAUUUUGUAUAUUUAUUGUUUGCAAGCUUUCAUCAAGAUUGUUGAAUUUUCUUAUAGAUGAAUAUUAUCAUUCUUUACUCAAAAAAAGAAAAGAGAAUAUUAUUACUCAAUUCAUCAAAGUAUUGUGUUGACAAAAAUGUUCGGUCACAUUUGUACUUUUAAACAAACCUUUUGCAAUUUAAGGGUGAAUAAUACCCAAAAAAAAUUCACCAAAGGAAGUUCAAAAUAUUAAAAGACAAAUGACAUCAAAAUAUACAAGCAGAAGAAGAAGAAAGACAACUUUGAUUUCAUAGUUACUGUUCCAAAGGUUCACGAUGAUAACUAAAUAUAAAGUUUGCAACUAUACCGAGUUGAUGAAAAUCGGAAACAAAUAAAUUAUAAAGGAUAAAAAUCUUGUAAUGGAAAAAAAGAAAGCAAGUGUGAGGAGUUGAUGAUAUAUAUUGCAAAGCAAGUUUGAAGUUCCCACGUGCUGAUGAAUAAAUAACAAAUAGGAACUUUCUUAUUGUUGGCGUCAAACAUAUUAACAUACAGUCUGUUUCUUCUACACCUAUAUUUAAUCUACUUUUCUUUUUUGUGCUGCUUUUGUUUCUUCUUCUUGAUUAGCAGCUUCUCCAGUAUUUUUUUGUUAUCUCCCUCAUUUGCAGUUUCCAACUCUCUUUUCUUCUCAUGUUGUAUUGUGCAAUUCAUACAAUCUCAUGUGAUUAACAUCCAUCUUAAAUAGUAUUAGAUAAUGACCUUUUAAUUUCAAAACUGAUUCCUAGAUAAUAAUGAGAAUCGACCCUUCAUAUUCAAUCUUUAAUUAUGUAUAGUAGUGGCUAUUCAAAAUGAAAACAUUUAUUUAAUAAUUCUUGGUAACAUUGUAAUUGCCAAAGAAUUAUGUUUAUUUAAUUUAUAUAAUCCAAUGAAUUUAGUCUACAUUAAAUUAUUCUUUUCAACUUUCUAUCUUCUCCACAUUCUCGACAUAUGAUUAAUUAGUGAUGUAGAGAAUUAAUGUUAUUUUUGAAUGGAAAAAGUUUUUAAAAUAAUGAUUACUAUUUACUAUUUAAUAAUUAGAUAUUUAAUUAUUGUAUUUUAUUUUAGGGGCAAAAUGGUAAUUCAACUUUGAGGUUAGGAGCUUCCCACUUUUAGUAAUAUAUGAUAUGAUAGAUGAUAUAUAACAAUAGUGUUUAGAUCAGUUUGUACACAAUUUCAUUAAUUCGUUAAGAUAUCAUGUUCAAGUCAAAUUUUAGAGUAAUAAUUAUCCAUGACGGCAGUAAUGAAGGUGAAUGAUGUCUACGUAUAUUCAUAACUAGGUAAUGAGCCCGCGCUUCGCGCGGGUGUAAACCGUAUAUAUGUGUUAUUGUUGUAAUUUGAUAUUUUAUAUAUUUAUGCAAGAUAGAAUAUAUUAAAUUUAUGUGACAUUUUUUCUUGUUUUGAAGUUCAAACCAUUCAUUUUAAGAUUUCAUGGUCUAAAUAAUUUAUUUAACUUUUGAAAUUCAAAUUGUGACACAUAAAUUAAGAAUGAAAGAAGUAUAAUUUGAGAGAAAUGUAAGAAAAUAUAAAUAACAUUUGUCCUUAAAUUUCUUCAGAUAAACUUGAUUUCUGUUUCUCUCAAUAGAUCUAGUUGGAUUUGGGGCUUAAUUUUCGUCUGAAGUAACUUCACAACUCGGAAAUUCAAUCUUAACAAUUUCAUCUUUAUAUGAUUGAUGCAACAAAUUAAAUAAUAUGAUUGACAGAAAAUUCAUGAACAAUUAUAUUUAAGAAAUCAAAAACAUAAGUAAUGAGCAUUACAAAUUUAUUUAUAUAUGUGGAGUGAGAAGAUUUCAUGUUGAAGUCCAAUCUUGAACUGAGAUUAGGUAACCAUUGCAUAAAAGUACACACACAAAAUGUAGCUACGUAACAAACAUGUAUCCCCAUCAUUUCGAACACAGAGCUACAAAUUAUGACUAAUAUUAGAGUUAUCAGGAGAUGGUAACUGCUCCAAUACUGGAUCACAUUCCUUAAUAGCCAGAAGUGUUGGAGGUUUCAAGUUCGAAACUCCUUGUCAAUGAAAGCAAUGGAUUUGCCUUCUAGAUCGAGCUCAUACACUGAACUUACCUAGUUGCGGGUUACCUUUCCUGUGUGGUCCGAGACACAUUAUUUGUGAUCUUAUCAUUACCGGGUCUAAAGUGUGAUUAGUUACAUGAGAAAAUCUUGAUGUGAAAUGUCGCGUAGCUUAUGUCUUUUAGAACUAUCCGACAUUAAACUUUUCAUGGCCAUCUAACAACUGACUAAUAAUGUGUUGCAUGAAAUGCUAUGCCAUAAAUUAUUGAGUUAGUUUGAUACUUCUACAUAUGAUAUCCUACAAAGUAUUUACAUAAAUAUGGUACAUCAAAAGGUAAAUUACAGAGCAUUGAAUAAUCCGUAGAUAAUUUAACACACUGUUAAAGUAGAUUAAAAUUGAGGAGCAACAUAUAUAGAAUAUGCUAAUCAGAUGAUGAUCAAACUUGUAUCUCCUAAUAAUUCUAACAUAAAAGUAUUUACACGGAUAAAAAUAACUGUAUCAGUCAAAUUCAAAACAUAUCAAAUCUAUCUGUUUUUUAACAAUGUCAAAUUACCUAGCCUGAGCGUCCCAAAUCUGUGCACUUGAUAGUCUUAUGAACGAUUUCUAAGGUCCUCGUCUGGAAUUCAACACCUCUAUAAUCUCUCUAAGCUCGUUCAGCCAGUAGCUACAACUAAAAUCCGAUCGACCAAAUUGAAGAUAUGUAGAAUGGGUUCGUGAGGCAGGGGCGGAUCUACAUGGAUUCGAAGGGUUCAUCCGAACCCCCUUCAUUGAAAAAAUUACACGGUAUAUAUAGGAUCAAUUUUUCGAUUUAUAUGUAUAUACCAAGUGAUGAACCCCGUGAACAUAAGCUAAGGGCUUGGUUCAGUGGUAAAGGGGGUUCAAGAAUUCGCAAUAUAAGUUCUAGGUCGCGGGUUUGACUCCCUGUAAUAGCGUUUUUCCCCAUAUUUCAGCUGAUUUUCAUUUAAUUUUCUAAAUAAAUGAAAANNNNNNNNNNNNNNNNNNNNNNNNNNNNNNNNNNNNNNNNNNNNNNNNNNNNNNNNNNNNNNNNNNNNNNNNNNNUUGAGAUUUAUACUAUUUUAUUAGAUAUUAAAAAAUAAAUUUAUUUUCCAUUUUUAUAAAAUUAAGUAAAACUUAUAACGUUGUUUUCAUAAUUAAAAUUAAAAAUACAUUCUCUCAUACUCAUUUUAAGUCAAACGUUUAAUUUAUAUUUGAUUAAGGAAUAAUAUAAUUAUAAGUAAGAUUAAAUAAAUAAGAGUAAUCAUUUAAAAUUUAUAAAUAAAUACAAUUGUCGCGAUAUUUUUCAAUCUUGAUAAUUAUUUUCUCGACACGAAUUUUAUUGCUACAAUAUGAUUGGAUUUAGAAGUAUUCCUUAGUUAGUUGAAAAAUUAAAUAACGUUUAUAUACAACAAUGACAGAGACAAAACUCAUAUAGUUUUAAAAAAUACAUUCUCUCAUACUUAUUUUAAUGUUAUGUCAAACAUAUACUUACUCGAUUUUAUUGUUUGUGUUGAGGUAGAGUUGAAAUUUUUUUAGUUGCUUAUAUCUGAUCCGACCCAUUUAUAUUUGACCCACUCCGCCCACCCCGCUUAUAUGAAUACUAAUAGUGUCCUUACUUAUCAUUUUGAACCCCCUCGAUGGAAAUCCUGCAUCCGCCACUGUCGUGAGGAAGGAAAAAGAAGCAAGGGAAACGCAAAUAAGAUGUUCAACAUCGAAGCAAUGUUUCAAAAUCCAAAAUUUAACAAAACAUGCUUUUUCAUUCGUGUAAAAGUAAAAGGCUUAAAAUUUUAGAAAAGCAAACAGUGGAAUUUCUUAGUUGUGGUGCUGCCACGUAGGUGAGUCUAGGAUCCUAUUUUAUAUAUAUGAUAUACAAGUUGUUGGCACAUGCUUGUGAUACAUUUACUGUAAUAAUCCUAAUUUAUUUAUUUCCCUCAUUACCAUAAGACCAAACUACAAAAUUAACAAAACAAAAAAAGCAAGACAAUAUAUACCUCAAGCAUAAAUAAAUCAAUGGAGAUUCAAGAGUGACUGUUGUAGGGAAUUAUUCUACACUACAUUCACGUAAGCCCUCUCAAAAAUUGUGGUACAAAAAUCAGAAACGAAGGAAAAUAGUAGAAGAACUUUUCAUGCAAAAUUUCAAUACAUAAACACAUGUAAGAACACAAAUACAAAUCAAAUAAUUAACUAAAUAUGGUAGUACAUACCGAAAGAGGUUUAAAAUUGAAAAGUUUCAUACAUGUGUCCAUUGUAGUAUUUUGUUCGUCCCAAACGAUAAUUCUCAUAGUAGUUUUGUCAAUAUUUAAGUAAAACAGAAUUUGUUGCCUCUGAAUGUGCCAUGUCACCGGGAUGAAGGUUUUCUUUAUAUGAUAUAUGAUUUCCUAACAACUCGUUAUCCAAAUAGUAUACUGAAACUUUCUAUUUAAAAUAUUUAAUUUUAAUUAGUUUUAAAAGAAGUACUGUGUGGUUUAAUUUUAAGUAUUUUUUUUCUUUAGUAAAACAUAAGAAGUUAGAGGAAAAUGACUUCUUGCCUAUUUCUUUUGUCAAUAAGAAUCAAAUAAGAUCUAAACGUCAAAUGUUAUUAUGGUGUGUAACAAUAACAAUCAUUCGCUAUAGCAGCCAAAAAAAUAUCCGUCAUUAUAAAGAGGUCCAAUUUUUGUCUUUCGUAAUUACACUUAUAAUCUCAAUCCUCAACAUUCUUAAGGAAAAAAUAGAAAUAUUUGCUGCUUCACCUUAACUAAGAUCAUAUGCAUAACUUGAAAUAACAUCACUUACUAUAUAUAUACAUACAAAAUAAAAUUCCAUCUGAUGCUUCAAACUCGCGCACAACAGAGUAAUAUCGAGGAUGAAGUAUUACCAAACUCGUGGACGACACCAUCUGGACAUAUCAACUUGGCCUUGUAACACUGCUGGUCUAAAUGCAGGUUAGCAUUUCAAGCAUAAUCAUUCUUUGAGCCAGAGGAGCACAUUUUAGACAUACUGCCGGAAGGAAAUCUCGCAGUAAACAUGUUUACCUGUUAGAGGCACAAAAUGAUACAAUGGGAAUUUGAGCAAUUACAGUUUCUCAAUUUUGAAGUGCAGCUGGAGCAGUGAAAAAUCAUCAGAGGUUCAUACGCGAAAAACUCCUUGCUCAAUAUAUCCUUAUCGGACUGAUGAAAGAAAAGUGAAAUUCGAGAGAAAAGAGAAAGUAGCUUUCUUCACCUACACUCUGCGGACAGAUCACAUAUGAGCUGAUAUUUGUCUAUUCAGUAGAGAAUUUUGGCACAACUGACGAAAGAAAGAAAAAAGAUGGUUAAGUUGAGAUCAGAUAAUAAAGUUAAGAUUAUGCUUAGGCUUUUAGAUGUUAAGUUAUGGGAAGACAAGCUUUCUGUCUCGUGUGCAUUUGAACUCUCUCCGUAGAAAUAUCAAAAAUCAAGAGUUGAACAUGUGCAUUACUCUAAAGUCUAAACCAUCUCCUCCUUCCUCAACCCACGGGAAAAAGAAGCAAUACGUUCUUUGAUAAAGUUAGAAGAAAACCUGGAUGUAGUCCAUUUCAAGUGAACAUUUUUAAGCCGGUGAACUUGGUAGAGCAAUUGAAUGUUAAUCAAGGUUGAACUGCACAAUACACAGAACUUGUGUCAGCCUCAGCUAUAACAAGCCAAGCUAAUAUAAAAAAAAAGGAGAUAGGAAAAGAAGACUCAGAGCAAGUUUAAAGAUUACAUUAGUUGCAACGUAUCACCUUAUAGUCAUCUAAAAUUAGAAUGAAAAUGCUUCGCUCCACACAGUGGCAAUAGAUGAUCCACACUGUUCAACACUACUAAGAAAAACAAGAAGAAAUAACAAACAAGGAAAAGGAAUGUAAACAGGAAAACGGAGACAGGAAACAAACUUUGUGUCUUGUAUACCUCUGAAUUCUAUUAGAGCUAUGCAUUUAUGAGUGAACAAGAAUACAUGAAGUGCUAUCAACUUUCCGAAGCAAAUAAUUUCAAUUCCUACUUUUACCAGCUUUCGGUUUAUCACCUUUUUUGCUGUCAUCUAAAAUUAAAUUCAUCCCGAUCCAAAGAUAAUUCCUCAGCUUCACAGUGGCAAUAGACGCUUUGUGCUGCUCAAGGAUUUAACAAAGGAAAAGAAUUAACAAGCAAGAAAAGGGAAGUAAUCAGAAAAAUAAAUGAAAAAAUAAAGAAUUUUAACUUACAAUUUAUCAGAGCACCAUUUUUUUUAAUCAUUACUGGGAUUCCAAAUCAAUAAAUAUGGUGGGAAUAUGAGCAAUUUUUGGCCAGUAAUCCCCCUUGUUAAAUUCUAGGAGUGGUUUGAGCAAUGGGCAUUUGGAAAUAUAUAGAUUAGAGAUAGAAGGGGGCAUCCCCGAUUCGGGAAGAGAUUGGACAUUAGAGCAAUUCCAAAUGCGCAGCUCAGAGAGGGAGGAGGGCAACCCCGAUUCGGGAAGAGAUUGGAGAUUAGAGCAAUGUUGGAUGGUCAACUUAGAGAGGGAAGAGGGCAUCCCUGAUUCGGGAAGAGAUUGGAGACUAUGGCAAUCCCGAAUCUCUAGAUGUCGAAGCCACGUGAGACGCUGAAGACCUUCGGUCGGUAGUGAAUGAAGAUCAUGAUUGCGAAAUAAUUUUAGCUCAGAAAGAGAGGAAGGAAGCCCUUCUUCCAGCAAUGACUGCAUUUGAGGUAAAUUAUUAGCAAAUAGGUACUCAAGAGAGGUGAGGCUUUUGAGAAGUUGGCUGCUUAAUGUUUUCAGAUUCCAUAUGCUAAGCCUUCGAAUAGAGCAAGGCAACUCCCAUUUUUCACCAGCAAGAACCACUUCGUCGCUACCAUCAUGGUGGAUAGUUAAAUCUCUGAGACAGGGGAGUCUCUGUAAAUGCCACUCUUUUCGGCCAUUCACCAGUUUCUUACAACAGGAGAUCCAAAGUUGUUGUAAAUUGAAGGGCAAUCCUCCUACAGGAAAGGACUCUAUUUGUGAACAAUUAACCAGUUUCAGUUCCUUAAGAGAUGGAAGGAGUUGUUGCAUAUGUUCUGGCAGCGAAUUCAGCUUCUCGCAGUUGUAAAUAUGCAAUGAUGUCAUCUGAGUCCCACAUGCCACUGAAAGUAUUUCAAGAUUAUCACAAUCUCUAAUACUGACUGUUUCAGUGGCAGUAGGAAUCAAAAACCUAGUAAGGUUGUUGCAACUUCUUACACUCAAAGAGCGUGCUCUCGGGAGAAACUCGGGUGAAUCACAUCCUACUAGAGACAAUUCCUUCAGACAAAUAGCAUUGAUCGGCGCCUCCAAUUUCAGUUCCCUACAACCAGAGAUUCUUAUUCUCUUCAAGGUACUCGGCAGAAUGCUAAUAGGUAAGGAGGCAAGAGACUUACAAUCAGUAAUAUCUAAUUUAACAAUCUGUUUCAUUCCCUCAAGUUGAGACGUAAACAAUUGAGCAUCAUCAAAAACAACUCCAACCUUAGGAGAAUUAGCAACUUCAAAUUCUUUCAAAUUUGAAAGUUGGAUAGGUGUCUCCAAACUGAGUUCAGGGCAUUUUGAUAUCCUCAAUCUUCUCAGAGAAGAAAGAUUUUCAGGCAACUUCCCAAUCAACUUUGGGCAACCAUCAAUCGAAAGUUCCUCAAGUACAGGGA